rnacentral:lncRNA from 1 species
AUGCUCCAAAUGCUGCAGAUUGAGUCAUUGAGCUGGUACAAGAAGACAUGAAUUGAAUCACUCUAUUUGCAGAGGAAGAAAUUUGACAGAGGGGAAAGGCAACAUCUUUUACAACAUUUCUAUAUUUAAAUCUUAAACGAUACUUGUCCACAAACACACCAACAGUAAAACCAACCCUGAUGAGCAAAGGCUAAUUUGAACACAAUCUCAUUGACAACUAAUAUGUCUCCAGGUGAUGGAGGUUUAACCCACGCCAACUCUCAGACCCCUCCAGAGUGAUCAAACGGUCUAAUUAUUAUCCACAUUUGCUCUUCACAGACGUUGUGAGAGCCUUUUAGGAACGCUGGGACGCGGCAGGCAGAGCGCUUAACUGUGGAGCUAAACUUAAAAUCAACAUGAUUACAUAACCCGCGGCUGGAGCUCAGGCCACUCUGAUGGAGAGGCUACUUGAAUUUCAUCAGCGUCCAAAUCUGUGGAGGACUGGACAGAGCAGAGCCAAUUCUAUUUCACUAGCACUCUUUUGUUAUCAGAGAUACGGAGGAGGAACAUUCAUCUUCAUUUACAUGUCUGAAAUAGUGACACAUUUGAUAUGAGAGUAAUUAAUUUAUGUUAUCUAAUGUAUGCAACCAUCUGCUAAUAUGACAAACAUCCUCAUAUGUUUGAGGACGUUUUACAAUAAUUAUAAUUAUAGAUAGGAUGGUCAACUUUUAAUGGUCAGUGAAUUUAUUGUGCAAACUCAAAAUGAGUCUAAAACUGUGUUAUAGUUUCAGCAAGAAGCUGAGUUAUACAUAGUUGUCUUCUCUUCUAAAAAUAACCAGGAGAAGCAAUUCUUAUAACUUACAACUGGUUGAAACACUUUUACAUUCAAAUGAGCAAUACCAGACAGCCCACAGGCUCUUACCCACUUAUUUCUGAAAGCUCAGCAAGAUUUUAGGAUCUCUUCAACACAUUAUUUUCACCAGCAGCCUGAUUGUCCACUGUCUUUUCUUAAAUAGAAGCAGACCCAGUUAUUAAAACUGUUGACAAUAAUUGAUUGAUUUCCCUCAUCUGUUAAGAAUGCCAUCAGUCAAAUGCUAAUGUUAAGUCUUUUUCAUGAACCAAAAUGUGAGGUCCAAUGUUGAUUGAACUCUUUGAUAGGCCGAUUAGAACCACAGCGAUAGAAGUGCCACCAACAAAAAGGGACUUUUUUUCAAAUUUAUCACAUUAUUUAUAACAUUAUAUCAUUUAAUAUAACUUUUCGCUCUUGUUUAUGCUGUAAGACAUAACAGGAGUAUGUAGGUUUAGCGUCUGCAAAUAGUGCAAAAAAGAUCAAGCUUAGAGAGUGUAUAGAGUGAGCGUUGAGAACAGUGUUUUAUUUGGAUUUAGUCAGAAAUAACCUAACCCACUACUAUUGACUAUUUUCUCAUUCAGCCUCAAUUACAAAAAAAGACCUAUCCCUUUAAUCUUUGUACUUUUUUAUUGUAUGGCCAAGGUGAAGUUUUUCAUUAAUGCUUUGAAAUAGAAGUUCAACAGGCUGAAAUUGCAAUGUUCAAUUUUAUUUAGUGGAUGUUUUUAUCCAAAGCAACAACCAUCUGUGAGUAACAAAAGCGAGGAGCUAGACAGGAGACAACAGUAAGUGCCAUAAGACUGCGUCAAGUCCAGCCGAACACAGGUGCAAACGGGCAGAGGUACAUUGAGCUCGGUCUGGAUCAUUUGCAGAGGUUUAAGAUUCAUGCAUGAAGGCCUACCAAAGCAAGUUAUGUCAGUCAAUGCAGGAUAUAAGGAAUCUAUAUGGUCUGAUCUUCCUGAUGUUGUACAAGGUCUAUCAAUAUGACUGAGAAAUAGAGGUGAGAUGUACCCUAAGGUUAGCAGGUUUCCAAUCAUAGCCUUGUCAGGAUGCAGUUACCCUCCUGCACUGCCUCCAAAAGGUGAAGAGGAUUUCCCCUUUUGAGACAUUAACUCAAAAUGGAGAUAUCCACCCCAGAAACAAUUAAUCUGGCUAUUUAUUCUCGCAUUACGGCCAGAUAAAACUUCUCCAUCAUGGGGAAUGUGCUGCGUGUCUCCCUGAUCUUUAUUCUAAUGAGGCUUAAUGAGGUAUACCCCCUUUAAUUAGGUCUCUCUUAGCAUGUCAGAGUUUCAAUUCCACUGUUGAUCAAUGGGGUGGAGACAAGCCAUUUCAUUUACCUCAAGGCUAAAAGUGUCAGACAACAUUUGGUGGGAAUCCCAAGCUUUUAAUGAUUCUAAAUGCCAAGGCUGACUAUGCAACUAGAACCACACAGGAAACACAGUUAAGGAAAAGCAAGAGCGGGUCACCUACAGGGCAUGAUUACGGCUAAUGUAACAUGUAUGUGAGUUGCUUGUACAGCACAGUAAGGUCUGCACAUGGUCUUUUUUCCCUCUUCUUGUCAAUGCAGUAGUAAAGCUCAGUGGGUUCGGGGGUACAUCUGAAAGUUAAUGCUCCUAAACCAAGAUCAAAAACCACCUGAUCAAACAGAAGAGAUACCUGGUCUUCCCCUUGAACAUUUUAUACUGUAAAUAAAUGAAACAUUCUCGAGGGCGUCAUGGACUGACACGCUCAGAUUGGAAAACCCAAGGUUUUUUGAGAUCAGCACAUAAGAUGGAUGAGGUUAGUUCAUCUUUUCUCUACAUAAAAGACUGAUAAUGGCUGGGUGAUUUCUGAACUCAGCUCUACUGAAGGCAGUGAUCUGUGGGGAACAGGGGAAAAAAUCCGUGUUGAAGUGUAACAAACACUCACUUUAGCACUGCACUGAGUCUGAAAAGCCUGUGAGCCGAGUUAUUAGCUAACAUAAGGACAAUAAUUACAAAAUAAAGUGUCCAACAGACUGUGACUGAGUAAACAUUGAUCAGUUGAAUUUCAGUAUAAAGUGGUGAUCCAUUGUGAUGAGGCAUCAAAGCUAAAACAGUCCCACAGCAAACUUCCAACUUUGUUUUUAAGGGUAUAAGAGUUUAUCCGUGCAACAGAUUGAAUGGUUAAAAUUCAUGACUCAACUUCAUGGCUGUGCAGUGACUCAGAACAUUUUGGUAAAAUAAUGAUGUUAAUAGCAUAGUGCAUGUCAAAGUGCACCAGCAACUACAGCAACAAGCUCCGAUUAAACUCACUAAUGCUUGCGCCUGGCAAAAUGAAAAAUAGACUGCCUGCUCAUAAUUGUCUAUGACAUGUGGUGUACAUUAGAAACAACCUUUUCAAAAAGGAAUUUAGGUUUUGACUUAAUGUGAUAACAUAGGAUCAAAAAGGGUUCAAGCAGGAGGUGGGCAGUUUGUUAUAUAUGGUUGGGGUUACAAGAACUAAGAUCUUCUGCCUACACUAGCGAUGCUGUUGUCUAGAUAGAUUACUGUUUUGUUGACUCAGUGGCUUAAUCAGAAAAGCAAAUGCACUCAAAGAGCUCAGCAGCUUACAGCAACACAAAUAAGCAGCGUUGUACAUAUUCAGUAAAUAACAGAAAAUUGACAAGAGGCCAUUACUCCCAUGGUUUCUCCUGAUCUCUGCAGUUUAAUGCAUGUUGUGCUUUUCUUUUACUGUUACCUACAAUGUGAACAUUUUGACAAGGACAUUGGCAAGAAAUUAUUAUAUGUUAUUGAAUGAAUAUUGUUAUUGAUCAAUUACCAUCACCAUAAUUUUGGUCCUCUAAGUGACCCAUAGGUGGCAUUUUACUGUUAAUAUCCAAAAUAUAAUUCUAUGAUGUUUGUCUACAAGCCUGCAGGCAUAAUCAAAGAUUAGUAGUGUGAGCAAAUAAAUUCAUUGAAUAAAAAGAACAUUUUUAAUUAACAUCUGAAAAAACAUCAUCUGAUGUUGGGCACAAUUAAGAGCAGCAGAUUUAAGUGUUGCUACUUUGUUGAGUUAACUUUUUAAACUUUAAAAUGAUAAAAGAUGAUAACAUUUUUCUUUCACAUUCUAUCAGAAUUGUGCCUAAAACCUAGGUUAAGGUUAAACCCCAAAUGUUAACCACACCUGGCCACCCCUGCAAAAGUGGUGUUGGGCCACCUCAGUCAAAAAAAAAAUCUGGUUCCACCACUGCUUUCCAGGAGACAUGGCUUUACUUGACAAAUGGUGAGUUUUGAGCCCAUGAAAAGCCUUGUGGGAGUAGCAGUUGGCUGACAAGGAGGACAAGUAACUUAAUGCCAUCCAAAAAGUUAAGAUGGUAUGAGCAGUAGUCCAGUUAUGAAAAAAAAAUCAGGGGAGAUGGUGGAUUUUAUUGUUUGGGACAGAUAUUUUGUUCUGCUGACAGUGCACAUAAUGGGAAACCAACUGUGUCCCCAUUUAAGAUAAUUAUAUUACAUUAUCCCUCAGAUUGAGCUGUCCAUGUCGCUUGGCCAUGAUACUGAAAUCACAAAAGCAUCACCAGUGCUGCUCACUGUCAUUUUUUUAAAAAGGGGAAAAUAAUAGUGAUUUUCACUCAUUUUGUAUUUUACUAAAUAUGUGCAAAGCCUCCUGUCGUGGGGUUCUCGCGCAAACAAUCACAAUAGUGGAAAAACACUAGCAUAGUGGAAAACAAAGUGAUGGUGAUAUUUAUUUACAGCUGGCCUUCUAAGGUGUUGUGCAAAAAUAUUUACAAAAGUGCAAAACAUUUCCAAAUACUAUUUAUAAAAUAUAAAAGGCAAAAAAGAGUUCCACUAAAACUCAAGAUUCUCACUCAAGAGAUAAAAACACAACAUCACUACAAAAGUUACUUUUGCAGUUACCUUCCAUACAACAAACUCCUCUAGCCCCUCCUAGUGGGCGUUAUCAAUUACAUAAGUUUAGAAAAAAAAAAACAUUUAUUCACAUUAAAACCAUUUUUUACCAUUUUUAACCAUCAGGCCUUUUUCUGUAAGUUUUUGUCAUUUUAACUAAGUUUUUACACAAAUCAAUAGAGCAUUAAUUUUUUAUUGGGGGGAUUCAUGACAAGCAACAAGGGAAUUAUUUUUUCUUGCAUCAUGUGACCACUUUGACCCUCCAUACCCACCUAUUUCACACACGGAAAUCACACGCUCUGUUUCCUCAUUUGCAAACAUGAGCCGACGUGAUGGCGUGAAUGGACACCCGGCAGGUAAGUGGAGGGAUAAAUGUCUACGUGAAUGUAUGUGUAAGUUAACUGAUAGAUCUCCAAGUGUGCACCCUUGGUUACCCUAUCCAACAGAGAAGGACGAAGGAAAAGUAGCGCUGUUUAGUUGGUAAUUAGCAACGCUGUCAAGGAGUGAAAUGUUUGGCGUGUAUGUAGGUAUGCGUGUCUCCAUGCGCUGCCCACAGUCAAUGAGGACGCGGCUCCUUCACACCCACCAAACGUUAAGAGUUGCCGUAAUUUGUCAAAAGUUAAAAUAGUAGUAAUAUUUCCACAUUCAUUGACAAAAAUGGCUCGAGGGAUGUACAGUUGGGAUGACCAUUUCAGAAAGGGGACGAUUUUGACCAUUUUCAUAUCAGUGCUGGUUGUGGGGUAAGUGAGAGUUUUACUUUCUUGUGUUAACUGUAUGUUCAGGUUACCGUGGUCGUAUUUGUAUGUAUUUGUUAACUUUUAAUAUCAUCGUAUCGGGGCCGUCUGCGGAUAACUGCAGACCACUGUUUCCAAUGUGAAGCGGCUAAAGUUAAUGAAUUGUUAGCUCGUAAAUGCCUGAAAACGCAAACGAGAGUCUGCUUCUUUUUUUAAUUAAAAAUUUGAACUGCGACAUUUAAAACGGCUGAUCGAUCAGCUGGUGACGUGACGCGCACGAGUUUUUAACGGUCGUUCUGUUUGAAUGUUCGCGAGCGCAUUGUUGUACGUUGCGUGGCAGACAUGAGCAAAAGCGAGUUAACAAUUGGGAUUAUAUGUUGCUAAAAAGCUAGAAAUGAUAAAUAGACAGGUACAAGUAUUCCUUAAGCAUGGUAGAGGUAUUUUUGACUAGUUUUUGGAGUGUUAUGGUGUUUUAUAUUCAGUUAAGUGCAAUUGUACAGCUGCAGUUUAGCUACGUUUACUAGCUUUAGCUUACUACAGUUUAACAGCCAAAGCUAAUAUUACUGUUUAUUUUGUUUGUCGCAGCCAUUGCCAGUAUUAAAGUGAUGAUUUUACAAGGAAACACAAAGUAACAGUAAAAUUUGUCAUCCAGAGCAGGUGUGUAGUUGUUUCAGUAACAAGUCUACUAAAGGAGCAAAAAUGCAAGUUAUUUUAGGGGAUUUUGCUCAGUCUGGUUGCACUGUCAAUCGUGUAAGUGAACAUGUGUGAGGAAAAAUAAGUACUGGUCAUAUCUGCAGUGUUAGAGGGAUGAAUGCAGAAAAACAAGGAGCAAAUACUGUCGAAACACCCAUCGGAUUGAUAAAUAAUCUUAAUUAUGUUCUGUGUUUGCUUAUACUUUACGUAAUCAACUCACAUAUAUUCUUCUAUUUUCUAUGUUGUUGAAAAGCAAUAAGGCUGAGAGAGGUGUUAUCUUGGACCAAGACAAAAUCUUAACCUGUAUUCAGGACCCCGCUCCCACCAGGAGGCUCAGACAUCGCAGUCUCUGCAGGGUAAGUGAUGGGUGUCAUCUCAGUGUUGUUUUACAACUUAAAGUAUUGGUUUAUCUGUGUAAAUGACUCCAGUCAAAGUUUUGUGGUGAAAAGUUUAGUUUUUAGCCAUAUUGCAUUUCUUUAGGCCAAGAGUAGUCAUAACUUCACCAUAAAGUUCCUCUGGCAUUAGUUUUGUGGCAGAGGUUUGAAGAUUUUACUGUGGAAUCACUCUUGUUGUUUUUUAUUAGGUCAUUUUGACUUUUCCCCAUCUGCAAAACAAACUGCAAGUGAGUGGUAUAUUCUGAAUCUAAAGCUAUAUUAUUUAUUGUGUCCCUAUCAGCCGACCAAAUAUGAUGGUCAUCUCCCUGAUGACCAUCAUCUCUGUAUAUUUAGAUUAUGUAAAGUAGGAUGCAGUGCUCUGCUCUGCUCAUCUUGGCAGCAAAGCUGAUUGUGCAGUGACUACAGUUUAUACAGUGAUUUAUAGAUGCUGCCUGAUCUGCCAAAGACAAUCCCAAUUUAAUUUUUUUAAUCCUUGGAGUUCAAGGAUGAAAUUCUUUAGUGCCGUGGGAUAUAAAAAGCUCUUAUUAGAUGUGGAUUUUGCUGACAAACAAGGCUAAAGGGGAAACUAUUGAAUAUAUCAGACAGCUAGCUUUCAGCAGCCCUUUAAAUCACUAACCAAAACAAAACAAAAAAACAAACAAAUAAACAAACAAACAAAAAAUCAAUUUGUGGUGAUAAUGGGGCAUCAAAUGAGUUGUAAAUGCUGGCUGUUUUGGAGCAUAGGCCUGGAUUGUGGACAGUUGGUUGGAAACUGUUCUACCUCGAUAAUGAGAUUCAGGAAGGGCCGUGCUGCUGCCUCAGCCAGAGGGCUUACCCAGGCUUAUCUACAAGCUGUACCACAGAGGGGGGGAUGGAGGGGUGGGAUGGAAGAAGGAGAAAGGAUGGUGUUUUAGCAUAGAUACUUGCUUUUUAUAGCAGACACUUCUACAUAUCCAGGGCCUCUGUCAGUUUGAGAACAUCCAUGACAGUUUUAAGAGGAGUUUUUACAACAAGUGGAUCAAUCAGCCACACAUUGUUCCAUUUGUCUGUUUUAAACACAGUUUUAAAUAACAGUGAGAACAUAACAUAUGUGCUUCCUUAAUUUACUUACAGUUUAGAACAUGAACAUAAUCUGGAGAUGCAAACCACUUGUCUAAAGUUAGGGUCCUGUUUUUCCAUCUAUUUGGUGGAGGAAAUUUGGAAACUAUUUUGCUCAGCUUUGACGUAUCUACUGUCUGUCACUGUUCUGCUUACUUUACACUUUUGGCCUUUUUGUCAGAUCAUUUUUUUCCCUCAGUAAAGGGUGUAAUUUUUUAUUUUUUUUUGGCCUGUAAAUGCGACACAAGCAAAUGAGCAGUUGCCUCAUAUUUCUGGUUCUCCCUGACUGUGGAUGAAAAACACUCAAAACAUAAACACUAUUUCCGCAUGUAUAUCAGCACCAGCGUGCAUUUGACAUCGGCCAGUCGUAUUUACUUCUGUCAAUGCACCUGCCAUCUCUCACCUUAGAUGCAAAAUGUCAGGAUAGCUGACUUGAGAAUCCUUGAAUUUCUUGAUGUGCAUUCGAGUGUGUCCCACAGGAUGAUGGUGUGCUUAUGGGGUUUGGGCAUACUAUGUACAUUCAUUGCUCUUGCAACUAAAAUAUGUCAUGACUCUCAGCAAUGCCCAUUCCAGUUUGAUUAACACAAUCUGAUUAUUUUGAGCUUCAAACAUUUUGUUUCUUGUAUUCUUAAGAUUUUGUGGAGUCAGUCUGUGCCUUUUCUGCCCCAUUUCAAAAUAAUAUUGAUAAGAGCUGUCCCUUUUUGUCUGAAGCUGUAGUCUGGGUUUGGACUUGGGGGGUAAAAGUUUAUUUUCACAUUGUAAUGAGCUGCUCCAAUUCAAAAUCUACAGUUUAUCAUUGCAUCAGGUUGUCUUGCUGAUUGAUCCAGCAGAGGGCACUCUCAUCAUUACCUGACCACUGAAUGGCACUCUUGACCUCAGUAAUUUAAAGCUUUGGUCUACAAUUUGGAAGCUUGGUACUUAUUGAUAACACUGUUUAUAAGGCCGUUAUAGUCCUAUGGUCCGAUCUACGCAAUAUAAAGAUAAAAAAGAACGAAAAAAAUCCAUUCGGUAUAUCCGCUGCAAAAAGGCAUAAUCAUCGACCAAUCCGAACCGCCUUAACCCCAGCGGUUCGGAUUGGUCUAUGAGUCCAUCCAAUCCCCUGUCUCCCCUGCUCCGCACUGUCCCGCCCAUGGUCCCGCCCAUGGUCCCGCCCAUGGUCCCGCCUCCUCCCCACUACCCCCCUCACGUACAUGUGAUUAGCGAGCUGCACAGCUACUGAAGCGUAAUGGAGCCGGAGAAGACAAACACCGAAACCAGGGGGCCGCCUCUGUUACCCUCCACAUCGUAGGGAAGGAAACAUGAAAGUUUCAAGGAAAAGGCUGAAGUAAGGAAGAAAUAUGAGCGAUACAGGUGCCAAUGGAGAGUCUAAAUUGGAGAAAACGUACGACCGAUGGAAAAAGCUGCAUAAGGAUUUGGGACUGAAAACUGACGCUGAGACAGCCGAAUUUCUGUUGAACAGGCAAUUACUUUGUUUACUACAGUGGGAGAUGUCUGCUGAAUAACUCUGGUUAGUCUGUGCCUCUACUGGCUAAUGACUGAACUUUGCUGGUCGGAACAGGUAGGCUCUGUCAAUAGAUUUUAGCAUAAGUUAGCCACACAUCUUAAGCAUUGUAAACUGAGCUGGUGAAGACACGCCGAAAAAGGUAAAGCCUCCCCCACGAUCGGCUCUGCUCUGACCGGCUAGCAGUGGCGAUGCCAGACCCGCUUUUCCCCGCUAAUAUAUGGUUUUGCUCGUGCCGGUCCAAUUAAAAUGGCUACCACUGUGUGUUACAAGAUAUUUUCUGCCCGCCAGCUUCUUGCUCUAUCGGAGGGGGCGUGUUGUUAGGAAGCGACACGAGCUGGGGCCACAGGAUCUUGGAACACAGAGGGGAGGGGUGAGUGAAGGGGGGGCAGGCUGCGUUUUUCAAAUCUGUCCCAACAGCCAAACUGGUUUUCAGAUCGUAGACCAUAGCUUUAACGUAGCGAUAAUUUUCUAUAAAAAUGUAGGAUGUUCCCUGAAAUCAGAGCCAUUGGACAGUCAUGGCUGUAAGACAUCUGAGAUGCACCUUGUGGAAGAAUGUGGGGUUCUACACCACAGAUAGCAAGAUAAAUGGCAAAGAUAGGGGCUAAAUGUCGACUUUGUAGAAAGCAGCUGUCUCACUGUUAAACGACAAAAAAAUCUGCUGGCUCAACUGUGAGGCAGCAGGGGAAGCACGGAGCUGCUGAGCAUGCAAUGUCAGUAGGUGAUAUUAAAAGGAGAGCUGCAGUCAAUUCUGAUCAAGAGGUAGAUUUGUGUUUCCGGUGAAUAAUGUAAAAAGAAAAAAAAGGUUGUCAGACUGGCUCUUGGCUGCUGGUUGAAUGCAAAUAUUGUUACGGUUUAAGUCAAAUGUGUCAAAUUCUUUUCAUCAAUGUCUGAGAUGGCAUUUUAUGUACAAGACCACAUUUUCAUUGUAAGUUUUAUUGGGGUGGUAUUUCUGGUGUGUUGUGCCACUGUUAGUGAAACCAUAAAAUAAAGUGAUAUGAAUGUUUAGAAUAAAUAAUGUCUUUGAGACGUGGUUUAGAAAUAACCUUACUUUCAGUGCACCGGAAUCUUGAUUCUGAUCUGUAGAAAGGUUGGAAUGAAGUUUAAAAGACAAACACAGAGUGCAUGUAGCCUUCCUAUCAUACUCAGUCAGCUGCCAAGGUUGCGUGAUAAAUAAUAUAUUGCACAGCAGUCACACAUUUAUACAUCAAGGUAUUUUAUUUACUGGUGAAUAAAAAAUACCCCUUAAAGGUAAAUAAUCAAUGAGGCAUGAAGUAGUGACAGAGUUAGUAAUAAUGAAAAGGAAAUCCAUGUAAAGUGCUUGUUAAUGUUGAGAUGGCCGGGAUGAUGAUAUAUUGCAUAGCCAUAAUUUGUACCACUGUUACAGGUCAUAGUUAGCUUGAAUGAAUUAAACAAGCUUUGCAAUCAUUUGGAAUUAAGUGAAAGUAGUAAGGGUUUGGUGCAAAGAAAUCAAGGUGCCACUAACUCUUAUCUUAAAGGGAUCCUUCGGCGUAAAAUUGAUUUAGGGUCAAACGCACCGUAACUAUUUUAUUGUAUUAUUUUAUUUUCAUAUUUCAUUUUUAUUAUUUCAUCGUUCUUGUAUUAUUCUAUUCUAUUGUAUUAUUUUAUAAUGGUAUUUUUUUUCUUGUGUUAUUUCAUUGCUUUUAUGUAAAGCACUUUGGGUACCAUUUGGGAUAUUGUAAAGUGCUAUAUAAAUAAAAUUUGAUUGAUUGAUUGAUUGUAACACACCGAGGGAGUUAGACACCCCCUCGAGAGCUGAAUGUUGCCAACCGCUUGCUUCUCUAGUUAAACCAACUUUAGUAAUGACCGCACGAUAGCAAUACACAGCAGUCUGAGGAGCCAUAAACAAACCUCAACCAAAACGCCACUCUAUAACCACAAACAAUGCUCAGAACAGCACCUAACUUCAUCAACAGUACAUAUAGGGUCCUAGCCACAGCACUAGCCACCAGACAUCUUUUCAACUCCACUUAAUUUCUUUAGCAAAGAGACUAAACACAACUCAUCCACUCUCCUCUAGCAGCCGCUUGUUUGUAGCGAGACCUUAGGCCAGUCCAUUACGGACUACUGCGGGUUGACGCAGCUCAAGGAAGAACAUUUAUGAUCAUUUCUUUACCUUUUCUUUGAAGUAAUAAUCACCAUAUUAAUCAUUUUGCACUGCAGAUGCGGUAGUUCUUCCAUAAAGAAAUGAUCGUAAAUGUCCUUCCUGUUAGGCAAUCGUUACUUAAGUUGGUAUAACUAGAGAAGCAAGCGGUCGGCAACAUUCAUCUCUUGAGGGGGUGUCUAACUCGGUGUUACAGUGUGUUUGACCCUAAAUUAAUUUUACGCCGGCAUUUCCCUUUAAGCAAUGCUGCAGUGUUGGUGCGUUGUUUCGAAUCUGUCAAAAUAGGUAUGGUUGAGUAGCGAAGAUUUCAGUAAAUGUUAAGAUGCUGCACUUCAUAAGUGCUGAUUAAUGUUGUUGGUAAAUUUCUUAAUGUCUUAUCCAGAUGGAGUGACACAAGACAGCCAAUGAUGAGCAAAGUCAUGCUGUUGGUGUGCAUUGGCAUUUUGGCUGUGUUUUUUAAGAGAAAAGUGGAACAAAAAGAGAGCCUUUAGACUUCUGAGACGGUUCCCUCUUAAGACAUGAUUUGUGCAGUUUCUAAACCCUGCUUUUUUUUUUCUGGCAAAAAACCGUGAUGUCAUUUGUUGACAUGACUCCCCAAGGUAGACGAACAUGAUGGAUGAAACGCAGUAGGCAGUGGCGACCCUGCCGACGGCACUUUAACAUUUGGCUCAGAGCUUUGGUGACAAGGUGCUGAUGAGAUGCAACCUUGCUUUGAUAAUAUCAAGGUCAGCUUCCUCCUAUCAAGACCAAGUAGAACCAAUAUGUGACGGCGUGCUCUCUGUUUACAGUUUCAGCUGUACAUGACUGUUAGGCAGUUUGUUAUACAAGAAACAACAAGUAAGCAGUCAAACUGUGAAGUCAAGGUGUACCGUUAACUGUUCCUGUUACAUAAGUGAUUACCCUGUGUGUGUGUGUGUGUUUGUGUGAAAACAUGAUGUCUUGUUGCCAUGCAUCUCUUAAAACACUAUAAAUUGAGUGUGCCAUGACUGGUCUUUCAAUGAAAACAUCUGGGGAGGUGAGAUACUGUAUGUGUGGGAGGCUUUUCCAGAAAGGUUUUAGAUUUGUAUUAUGUAGCUAAUUGUAAUUCGCAUUGUUUGUUUUUAUGCUAUACCUCUGGGCUAAUAAUCACUGUGUAUGUACAUGUGAUGAUAAACAAAUUUCUGGCAAUUUGUUUUGGUGGCUAAUUACACAACUAAAUAGCUGCCACUGCACAUGCAUUGUCCUUGUUUCUAUGCAGUGUGUUGAGCUCUGGUUUGCUAUUUUCAUCUUCCUCUUUGGUCAAUGUUGACAGUUGGCAGGCAUCAACAGAUUCUGCUUAAAAAAAUUUACGACAUAAGAGGGAUGCAAAACAGCCUAAACUCCAGGGAUAUUUAGUAAUCAGGUAACGUGGAUGAAGACAGGAAGGAGAUUAGAUUGCCUAAUGGCUCGGUGCUCUUUUCCAUGCUGCUGCGCCUUUUCUUCAUAUCUAUUUAAUUUUAUGUAUUUAUCAAGCAUUAUUUGUUUCUCUAAGGAGUAUGGGCGGUGAACCUUUCUGUCUGACAUAGCUGGCUAUGGCACAGCAGUAAUUGUGAAAAGCCAAAGCUAGAGAAGUGCAUAUCUGUGUGUGUGUGUGUGUGUGUAUGUGUGUAUGAGAGAGGAGGAGAGCAAAAAACGAAAGGGUGGGGAGGUGCAGUGAGAGGCAGGGAGGGAGCAUGUACGAGGGAGGGUGAAGGCGAGAGCGAAAGAGAGGGAGAGAGAGAGUGAGAGAGAGAACGGGAGAACGAGCGGCUCGCCUCACUCUGCUUCUUUCUCAGCAUCCAUUCCGGAGAGGAGAGGGCUACAUAACAAAUUGGUGGAGGAAAAAAGGAGAAAAUAUCCACUGAGGAGGGAGGAUUUCGAGGAAAAUAACAUAUAAUCCUGGCUCACCGGUGUCCACUUUUGCAUCCUAUAGCUUUGGCAGAGGUGUCUGAAAGUUUCCAUCUAGGGGGGGACACCCUCCCCAUGUUGUGGGGAUGAUCAGCGGAUGCUGAAUUUCAUUCCUGAAGGCAGGAGGAGGAGAGCUGUGAAGACCGGCUGGAUUCACUUGAUGUGGAGCUGGUAGCGCGCACCACCCGAGAUCCUACCGUGCCUCUUUUCUCUCUCUCAUUCAGUCUCUCAGACGGGCAUUUUCCUUAAGAAGACAUAACAGUAUUUCACUCUGCCAAGUGGAAUAUCAAGAGGGAGCAACUGGGAAGGAAAGGGGAUUGGAUUAUGCACAGAGUCACUGAAGGACAUCCACAUCCUAUUCCGAAAAAUAAGUUUUCAGCUGAAAAAUCUUUGAUUGGGCUCCGAUUCUGAGAGACUCAGAGGAUUUUCUUUACCUUUCACAUUGUUUGGGGGCAGCAACAAUCUUCAGACUGCUUCAUUUUGGGACUAUAAGGUUCUGGAUGGUAUUUCAAGGUAAGGACACAUCCAUGAGCUCUCACACAUAAGAAGCACCCUCCAGGUUUUAUUGAAAAGGGCAGAUUAGGGAGCAGAAAAGCUCGUGAAAGCAUGGACGAUACAGUCAAGUGAAAAAAGAGAGAGGGAGAGGAGGAUGGAAAAGGGUUAUCAGUCCUAGACUGUAUUUAACCCGAUUAACAGAAAGUGCAAAGUUGGAAUAAAUGUCUUGAUUAAACAGUAAGAUGUCCCAGUGCUGACGAAGAACAGGAUUGCUUUUUUGGUUGGUUGUUAUUUGAGAGCUUCUCCCCUCUGCAGAGAAGAAUGUAUCUAUGUGUAUCUGCAUACUUAUGCAUGUGUGUUUGCCUGUCUGCAAAGCAAUUCAUCUCCUGCCUUCCUUGCUACAUAGCGGUUAUCUCCAGGGGAGCCUGCUAGCGGAAGGGGUAUAAUUGCGGCGGCUGUUUGUCCUCGUCUUUGAAACAGCGAGUGUCUGUGAGCAUAGGGAAUUACUUUUGUACAGUGGCCACAUUUUAUUCAUAAUGGUGAGUGCCUCUUUGCACUUUAGAAGGCUUCUCUGUCCUUUUGAUCGCUGCUCACAGAGAUGUGAUUGUGUCGGGUAUUAAACUAUCUCAGACGCUCUAGAUUACAGCAUCACCUCCGGUUUUUAUGUAUUUAUAAGUUUGUCUACGUGACUCUGAUACACUGACGCUUAUAUAUGACUCCUUUUGUAAUGAGAAAGUAAUAACUCAACAAUUUCUUUUCUAUUAUAGGCUACUUAGACGAGUUCAGAGGGCUGUAUUCAGCCUGACGGACAGAAUGACAAAAGGAUACUAUCGAAUUCUGCUAUUGGAGGAGUGAAUAUGCUGCCCUCUUGAUCAAUACCAGACAAGUGCAAGGCUACCUUCUUUUGUAGGGCAACGGUUGAAAUAUUAAUGACUGCAUGAGCAUCCUGUUGGUCCCCUGGAAAUUUUGAAAUAACUAAAUAAUAAGCAGCCUGUCUAAGCUGCCCGAGCCCAGUAUUGGAGUGUGCCGAGGGUUAUAAUCCCACCUUCUUGUGUAACAUGAAAAAUAGUGACCAUUAAAUGUCUUUGCCUCUGGUUAUAAAAAUUUCAAAAGAAGUGUCUCUCCUCUUGCCGAACAUCCACUGGGGGGGAGUGGAGCCUGAUGGGAACUUGAUGACAGCUCCUGUGUAUGUGGCGUUGACUGGCUAUCGGUUGCUCAAAUGGCCAUUUGUUCCCCCGUGUUUGUGAAGCUUGAUUGCAAGAAGUUGCCGUGCACAAAUGUUGUAUUGAAAUCACAUUUAGCAUUCAGGCUGCGUUGUGUGCGAUUGCUUCCUUUGAAAAGAGAUGCAAUCCUCUCAUCUGCUCUUCCUGCUAUAUUCACAGAAUCUAAUGAGCUACAUCCUACAGUAUGCAUAAGUCCAGUGUGCAUACUAAUGUUCGCAUACGUGUGUGUGAGAGUGUUAGACUGUGAGCGAGAGGGAGAGCUCAGUGUAUCUGGUAUCUGUGGGUGUGUAUUUGUCCAGAGCUCUGAGCUUCAUCCCUUUUGAUGUUUUAUUGAGUGUUAACCAUGGUAGGACUGACGCAUCGGCUCUGAUAUGGAGUAGCAUGGUGAAAGGAGAGCACUAAGACCUGCUUUGCUCUCUCUUGUAGUUCUUUUAACACUGAAUUAGCAAUGCUGUGUCUGCCCUGUUCAGCCCUUUGGAUUUGGUUAAUGAUUCAGUUCUGGCACUAUGCAUGUGCACUGGUGCGAGACUCUGUGUGAGUGUCUGUAAACAUCUGCAUCUAAGUGUUGAAGCACACAAGGCAUGCACACAUGAUGUUGUGUAUGUUUGCUCAGGUGAGCAUCCUGCCUGUGCGUAUAAUCCCCUUCUCUCUGAGUAAAGGGAUAUAUACUGUGCAGUCUGUUUCUCCCAUUUCUGAUGCAAGCGACGGAGUCAAAGACGGGGCCCUCCAUUUUCAGUGCUAUUAUGCGUCUGCUGAUUCAUGGGAUGGACAGAGGAGAGGAAUGGAGCCCUCUUCUACCUUGUGAUUAUUCAGUUCCGUUCACAGUAUUUUCACAUAAGAGCAGGAAUCAGAGGAAAUAACUUUGAUGGCAGAAAUGCUGGGGCUUCUGAUUUAUUACUCAGAGUUUGAAUCAGUAUGCAUGCGUGCCAGUAGGCAGCUGAAAUCUGACACACCUGCUUCCAAGUCCAAUAAAUCAUGUGCAAUCAUGACUUCCUUUUUUGGAUGGUCACAUCAAGUAAGACCGGUCAAUUACAGAGGUUGCAAAUCAGGACUAAUAUUUGUAUACCUUGCAAGGAGUCCCUUUGGACUUCACAUUGUUGAGUAAAGGUGUAUUAAUAUUAAUGUACCAUGAAUCACACUAAUUGAAUUAGCGUUUCUAGAGAUGUCACGGCUUGUUAGGUGAUCAGGCUGAAGAAAAGCAUCUGGAAUAAAACAGAGCAGUAAAAUAGAUUCUUGUGAAUAUGCAAUUAUGUCAAUGAUUGUGACAAACUUCAGACAUCUCAUCAAAUUAGCUCUCUAAUUAACACAGUGAUACAGAUAAUUAGCUUAAUUAGAGAGUCAGAGAUUUAGAUAUUUGUAUGUGUAGUGUCAUCUUUCCCUGAGUAAAGCUGAAAUAUUUGUUAUAUUAAGCUAUAGAGAUGUGCAGCAACUAUUAUAGUUCAUAUGAACAGAAAUUUAGAUUGGUUUGUAAAUUGCAGCUCACAUUAGCAGAGUUAGCACCACCAGCUUUCAGUCAUUCCUACUGGUUUAUAUCCACAUUACUUCAUAUCUACAUCAAAACACUUUCAAAUUACACCAGAAUACUAGAACUGUCAACUUUGUUUGUUUACAUCCAUAUAUUACAGCAUAAAAGCAUUAUUGCAGUCCUCAGUAACCAGAGGUACAGUGCUGUUGAGUGGCAGGUGGCUGCACUACAAGCCACUAUUUUUUAACAGUUUAGAAACUAAACUAACCAGAGGAGUUUUAAGUUGGCAUUUUUAUUCAUAACAUUACCACUUGAAUGUCACUUGAAAUUCAAAAUGGGACAAAGCUGCAAGAAAGUCUGGAUAACUGAAACAUAUUUGGUGUUUGAUAUUCGUUAAAAGCAGUAGAAAGUAAAGAUCAUGUCAAUAUGAGAUUGAGUAUCAGAGUUUAAAGAUUAGCUGCAGGGCAAAGACUUCUUUGCUUUGCUGCAAAACAAUCUUUCAGGUUCGGUUUGUGAAGAACUUGAACGUGUUUGAGUAAAUAAUUCAGUUUAUCAUAAGAAUGGUCCAAAUGUCGUCCUUCAAAGUAAAUGUUCAAUACUCAAUUUGUUGUUAAAGGACAGAUAUACAGAGGACUCUACAGAGAAGAGAGACCUGUACCCAGAAGCAGAACAGCAUAUUUUUAGACUGUCCAUUAAGGACAUGGGAGAAAAAUCAAUGAUCACAGACUGAAACACUGGGUUUCAAAUUUAAGUUUUAUUUUCCUCAGUGACCUUUGGCUACAGUUGGGAAUAUGUUCUUUGUAAAUAUCAGAUACUCACUUGGGCAAAUAAUGAUUUUCAGAGAGGCAUGAAAAAGGCUUUUACAGAGCUAUGUGUUGGGAUCUUGUUGAUAUGAUGACAGUGGGGAGAUUGGUUUCUUAGAUUUAUUCGUCGAACACAGUUAAGCAGCUUUAAAGCAUUCUUUAAAUUCAUAGGCUGAUAUGUGUUUGAGACGAGAAACACAUUAACAUACUCAUGCUGGCUAUGAUGAGCCACACAUCUGUAGUCAAAACAUGACCAGCUGGCUGAGAUAAACAGAGGACCUUAUUUUAAAUGGAGGUCUGGUCAGCUGGAGACCAAGCCGUGAAUGGAUUCGGCUGAUCGGUUGUCAGCCCUCUCUGAAUCCCUGAUGAGGCGAAACACAAUAUGCUCCAACAGCUGGGUCAUUUAUGGAAUAUGCUUACUCAUCAUGGUCGACUGCCACUGUAUGAAGGGGAAAAAGGAAUUCUAUUAGACAGUGUACGGUUUCAAAGACAGAUUUAAAAUCAAGCUAAGCUAUUUAUCUUUAAAGAAGCCCCUCCAUAAAGACUAAAUUUGAGUAUCUAUGGAUAAACAGGACCACAAUUGCACUUAGUAUAAUCUUAAAAAAUUAACAUGGGCAAAAGCAAAGUGUUUGGAGACUGACAAUAAGCUUACAGAGAAGAAGGAGCUCAGACAGAUUAAAACACAACAGUGUAGCCAUUCUUUUCUGUACAAAAGAGUAAUGCUCAGAAAAAGUGAUAAGGAAGGUAACACAAAGGACUUCUGUCUGCUGUCUGUCAAAGACGUGAUGUGCUAAGUGACUGCUGGUGGCACUGUAGCCCUUUUGGGAUAACCAGGACGAGGCUGUCUGCAGCGUGAGGACUGAUCCACCAACAGCCAUCAUUGACAGUGACCUUGCUGUCUGUGUCACUUUGCAGCGUGACCUUCCGGGCCAGCUGCUGAGGGCAAUAAGUGUCGUGCCACCUUUUGAAGAGUCCGUUUCAGUGUGUGUCGACAAGGAGCAUUACUAAGGGUCAGAGGUGGUGAGGCUGGCUAAGAGUGUGGGCAGGAGAUGUCAAGAUUGAACAAGAGCAAAAAAGAGAAUUAAAAAGGCUUUUAGGCAACCCAGUGAAAAACAAACAAGGUACAAGCAGGGCCAGCUUUCUAGAUGUAGAGGCCAAGGCUACAGCCUUGAUAUUUGCUUCUCAAAGUACAUGUGUUUACACCAGACUUACUCUUUAUCUGGCUAGUGCAGAGUGCAAGCAUACAUUUUUUUUUUCUUUAUUGCUUUGAGAGACAUAAGAGAAUUUCAUCACUGUACCAAACUCAAUCUUAUAAGGUUUUAUCAGUCAGGUUAAAUUGCACCAGAUGUGGAAGUUGUUGGUUUUCCCUUUUAGUUAUUCUAUGAGAAUAGGGUGAAAAUUUUUUAUAUGCACAAACAUUUCAUGAGAAAUGUUCCCUUCUGUUCAAGUUAACUCCAGCAUUGAAAUUCAGGAUCCAGAAGAAAUCAGAGAGGCUUCUGCGUGAGUCACCAGACGGCACCUGAAAAAGCCAAAGUGAUGAACAGCAUGUGAUCUCACAUACAAAGACUUUUGUGUUCCAGCUUUACACAUAGGAAAUAAUAAGUAGAUGUGACAAGUACAUUUUAGCAUGAAAGUACAUUUACACAACAUGGUAUCCAAUAUGAAAAAAAUAUAAACACACGUUCCAUAAAUAAACAGAUUUUACUUUUUGGGAUGAUUUUAUUGAAGAUUAUUAUUUUUUAACUGUCCAGAUGAUAUAAUGAGGUCUUCAGUAGCAAACAAGGUCAUCAGAUAUCCAUAACGACUUGAAAUUUGUUGUAAAUUUAUCAUACCUUUCACUAGAUUGUUUAAAAAAAAAGAUUGAUUCAAAGCUUGUAGUCAGAAAAAUAUCUUCUUUUUACAGUUUCAUAGUUUUGGCCAGAGUUAUACUUGUAUGUCUGGCUGCAAUGUGAGUGGAGUUGUAAAUAUAUUGGGUAUGUUGGAUGUUGGAUUUUUGUUAGUUUUGACACACUGAUAUUUCACACAAGCUAGUAUCUGUUUAAGAUAUCAUUUGCAGUCCUUCAGGAUGGUAAAAUGUGUUUUUACAUAGAAAAGAUAAUAGUAAUAUCAGCCUUGUGAGAGCCAAUACAGACAUGAUGCCAAUCAUGUCUGAAUGUCAUUGACUGGCUUAAUUAAUACGCCAACCAAUUAACCGGUCUAUCGCUACUCAAAAUAGUUCCAUACACUCAACAUGUGCAAGCUCAUCACGUGUGCAUUAUUAAUGCAUUGACUUUUUGACUGCGCAUUACAUUGGCUGAAAUUUUCAAAAGUUGAUAUUGAUCAACUCUUUAAGCUGUUAUCGACCGAUACCAAUAUCCUGCUGUUGAUAUCUUUUAUAUCAGUAAUGCAUUAAAACACAUUUAAAAGACACAUUUUGAGAGAUGAUACCUCCAGUUGGCCAUAAAACCAGGGCCAUGUGCAACAAUCUGAUAUGAAUUGUCUUCAAAGCUUUAUUCGCCUUAUGUACUGCUGUUUACUCUCUCACAUCUGCUCUGCUUUUAAACUGCCCCUGCUGUUUAUAUAAAUACUGCACCUUUUGUCCAUGCAGCUUUCAUUUUGGGUGAUGUGAAAGCUCAUGUAUCAAACCUGGGGGUACAUGGCAGCCAUUGUGCUUUCUUGAAGAUCUCUGGCCUAAAGACACCCUGUUUAAAGAAGCAUGCUUUUUUUUUUAAAGGAUACUGCACUUUAAUGAUGAAUGAUUAUAAUAAUUUGUCUUAUGUAGCACUCUUUAGAUUAUCAAGCUCAGAAGACUUGCUGCUUUUUUUUACACCUGCCACCUAAACUGACAUAAAGUCAAAGCUCCUUAUAGGUGCUUUAAUUAAAGCUGACCUCUUUGGUUCCACGCUAUAUUGUUGGUACAUUUGCUUUUAUAGUUUUUAUGUAAAUAUUGUGACCUUCAUUUGCAGCUCUCUAUCUAAACAGUGAAAAGCAUGGUGGUACAUUAAUUAUAUGCUCUGUAACAUAAAAUGAAAAACAUGCAAAGCACAAGGAUACAAAGGAUGCAAUGUCCUUUUUAUUUAUCGUGAAGUGGUGUUCCAUUUAUUGCGUCCUUGUGCUGUGCAGGUUUUCUCAUUCUUUGUAACUCAGUACUCUUCGAUUAACCAAUAAGUCAUUUGAGCGAAAAACAUGUAAACACAAGAGCUCACCCACUUAUGUGCCACUGCUGACCAGUUCCGUAUUUAAAACUAAUUAGGGGGCCAUUAAAUAUUCACACAGUGGAAUAACCUGCCUUUGUCCUAAUAGCCAGAAAAGACUGAUACUGGUUUUUUCGUUGCAAGGCCAAUGGUGGAGCUAUCCAUUUUGUGUUCUGCCUCCAUCAGCCACUUUAGGAUGUCCUUAAAGCGACUUUGUGCCUCCACCCUUUCUGUGCACCCUCAGUUUUCUGCCCUGAAGCAGGUUAUGUGGAGUAUUGACUGCUGUGCUUCUUAGAUGAUAACAGAAACACUGCCUCUCUUGCAUGAAGGUGGUGGUGAGGGGGGCUACUUGCAAAUUCCCCCGGUGCGCAUUGUUUGGUUCUGGAUGGUCUGUAGUUCUAUAAUAUAUUGUCUGUUAUGAGAGGGGUAGAUAAAGGGCUGAGAACCAAGGUUAGAGAAUUGCUUUAUUCAACAUGAGCACAUGUAAACUGUGUGAAAAUCAAAUGAAUUCAGGACUUCAACAUGAGCAUUAAUAUGUGCACAGAUUUGAUCAAGGCCAAAUUUCACUCAUGUAUUGUUAGAAAAGAUCCUUUUCAUAUUAGGGCUGCGUGAUAUGGCCUCAAAUCAAUAUCACAAUAUACUGAGCAGUUCACCUCGAUAACGAUAAAUGGACGAUAACUACUCCACAAGCUGCUCACCCCCUCCCUCAUUGACUUCGUCUACUUUAGCCGUAGCUCCAGCCGCUAUAACUUUUGAACCGUCCUCCAUCUCCUCACCUGUCUUUCCCUCUUUGUUAUGGACUGGAUGAGGUGGAGUCACACCUCUGAUGUAGGACAGCGUCUUAAAGGGACAUGAGACCACAGCCUACCUACACACAUUCAAAGCCAAUGUUUAUUAAUUUAUUUGACACCGAUUAUAUUGACAUGGACAAAAUGACAUCAGUUAUUGUCGUUAAUUUUGGUAUCUGUAAAUUUUCGGUUUAUCGCCCAGCCGUAUCUCAUAGAUUGAGACUAAAAUGUGUCUUUGAGCUGAGGAAAGUCUGGGCUGAUGCCCAGAAAGGUUAGGUUAUUACAUACGCCACAGUAUCCUCCACUAAUGCUUCACAGGUAGAUGUGGAUAUGUCAGAGAGUGGUCUUUUCAUUUCAACAAUAGUGGAAAUGUCAGUACAUGGAUGGUUCCCGUGUCUCUGAGGGGACCUGAAAUCUCCAGCAGCACUUGUGUCUCUUACAUUGAACAAGCUACCAUAACCUCGCUUCCACUAGACUGAGAGGCUCACAGCAGGACACGGGGCCCUCACUUGUUAGUUCAGGUCACUGAACCUUGCCUCCUUUGGGCUUACAGCUCGUAUAGGCCAAAGCACAGUUUCGAUAUUUGUUAGUAGCCUGUGCUUUAACGAGUCUGUGGGGAAGAGUCAGAACGCCUACGCACCUCAAAACCCCCACCGAGAGCAGAAGACUUGGCGUAGUUUUGGGGAGAUUGAACAGCCUUCUCUCUUGAGGUGUUGCAGGUUCACACAAUGUUGUGCCGGGUCUUGUGGAAGAGUUUUUAUUUCCUGCUGGAGAAAUGUGCCUCAUAGAAAACAAUGUGUUUCACUGUGAAAGCAGAGCAAAAGAGUGAAGGAAGAGAUCAGAGAAGUAAGGGGGUGAAUUCAGUAAUGAGAUAACAGAUCAAAUAAUUUUAUACAGGUUAAUCAUUUCAUGUCUAUAAUAGGUGGCCAUGCCUUUUAUCAAAAUUCAGAGCCUAAAUGUCAAUCUUAACUACUCCAUUGGUAGAAAAGAAGAAAGGCAAGAUGACAGGAGAUUAAUUUUUGGUCGGGCACAAAAGCUCUCAUUAAACCUGCACCGUACUAUUAAGAUUGUGACAGUUGGCUGCUUUCCAGUGAGUGCAACCAACGCAUUUAUUUUUUUAUCAGCAGUGCUCCUGCUUUCUCAUAUACUGAAGUCACCUUCUGCUCCAUUUCAGGCUUUUUGCAUAAACUGCCACUAAAUUUGUAGGAGGGGUUGUGAUUCAUUGUCGCCCUUUUAAUUUAUUGCUUGCGUCUGUCUGAUAUUCAUAUAAUCUCAGAUUGCUGUCAGUUGGUCGAGAGCCUCAUUAGAACCUUUGUCAUGCCAGUGCUCCUUGGCUAGAGGGACAUACUGACGAGAUAAGAACUCCAUCUCCUCUCCCAGCUUCGCUUCCGCUCUCUUUAUCACUACCAGCUCUCUCCUUCCCUCCCUCCAGCCUGCACCAAUCGUUUGACUGUCGAGUGGAGGCAUUUUGUAGCCUUUCGGGGAGGCGAUGGAGGUUCUUACAGCAGCACAUAAUCUUCUGCCUGCCACCGUCUUGCUCUUGUUCCCCUUGUGCUUACAGAGGGAUGUUGUCUGAUGAUUCACUUGUUUGUCUGGAGCAAAUGUGGGCUAUUGUGUGUACAGGAAUAUGUGUUUGGUGGGUUUUUGUAUAGCUAUCGGGUGGAUGGAGAAAUAAAGGGUUUGCUGACGUCAUCAUGUCUCCUUAAAUCAGUCGUGAGUGAAUCGUACCGCCAACAAAAACAUGUUACAUCACAGAGUAUAUCAGAGUGAAUGGAUUUUUCACUUCUGAAGCAAUUGCAUGGGCUGUAGCCAGUGUUGCUGCAGAACUGUCUUGUUUUUUGGUGCGUCUCAUCCAAAGUGAUAAAAAGUGGCCACUUAUUAAUAAGCUGGUGAAUUCAUUUAAAGGGGUUGGUAGUCUCCUUAACUUAUUGCUCUAACUGUUUCACCUUGAACUCUUAAAAAUGUUAAUUACUGCUCAGGUAUUCCUUUCACCAGCAAUAUUUUUGUCACGCUAUUUGUCCAUUAUGAAUUUCACUUAAUGAUUUACCGCCUUUUCAUUAAGUGCUUACAAACACACUCUUAAUUGCUUCAAGAUGAAGUGUUGUUAUUGUUUUAUUAUUGAACAGAAAAAAAGGCAAUCCCCUUUCACCAAAUUUCAACAACUAUCUAAGCCAUGUAAAAUGAGCAGCAAACAGAAUGUUUACUCUCACUUCAAUUUGUAAUUUGUCAUUACCAUAUGACAUUUUCAAUAACAACACGGCCUGCCCACAAAGGGCUUUGUUUACGUAGUGAUUCACCAUGAAUGGAUUAGACUUGACUACACUCUGAUAUUUGAUUAUACAACUGACAUUAAGAAAGCUGUCACCGUGGGAUUUGUGUUUGCCCUACACAUUUAGAGAUUUUAGAAGGUGGAUACAGCAUAGAUAGAGAAAUACAUAAAUGAAUAAGAAAGUAAGUUUUAUAAAGCGGGUUGGAGAGGUAUAAAAAAUGAUUUGAUAAGGUUCUUUGUUUUGAGGUUUUAGUUUCCUUUAUUGUAACAAAAUGUGCGGAAACUAACAUGUAUUUUUUUAAAUAAGAAACUUGGUGAACUUUUACACCCUUUCUCAAGUGCAGCAUAAACAGCUCAGGCUUAUACACCUGCUCAGGUUCUUUUUAUGACAUUUUAAAUAAAACACAAUAAAAAAAGAGAAUUUAAAGCUCCGAUGAGAAGUUUUUUAUUUCUGAAGAAACUGUCCUGUUUGUAAAAUACACCUGAAAUAUCCACACCUAAUGAUACAACUAUGAUACAAAGUCAGCAGGAUGAGAUUGUUUUUCAAAAGUAACUACUUGAGCUUGUUAAGGACAGGAUAAACAAUGACUGCUUUGACCACAGGGGAUGUUCUAUAUUAACAUCUCCCCAAACAGAGUUUCUGUUUGGGGAGUACAUUUCAGAAGAAUGUGCUUUAUCAUUCUUCAUACUUUUUUCAUACUUUGGGAUUUUAGUUUUUUUUCUAUGGUAAAACAAAAAGGCUGGAUAUGUAUUUUUUUCUGAGAAAUGACAGGAUGAUUCAUCAUAAGGUGGACUCUCUGCUCCCUCUGCCCCUCGACACAGCGAAUACACACACAGGUGACCACUGUUUGAGUUCACAACUCAAAACUGAUCACAGCUACGAAAGAAUUACGACUCAGGAUAUUUUUAGGUGAUGUGUUGUGAAAGUCACUGUAUUGAAACUAGUGUUUGUAGCCUACGAUGGGCUGCACCUGCUGUGUUUGUUGUGUGCUCCUGGUUUUCCUGUCCAUUUGCGGACCAUGAAUCGGACUAACCUUUGGUUUCGUACUUCUUCAAAUAGUAACACAUCUGCACUGGUAUAAAGUGCCACUGAAACAGUGCAUUAACAUGAUGUUAAUUGACAUGGAUGCAGAACAGUAUCAAAACACUUUGAUGCAGUGUAAUAUAACACUGCAGCAUCAUCAGAAUGGUAAUGGUUAUUCUCUGUACCCCUGUGGUCAAGUUAUAAUGGAACACCUACUACUUUCAUUGUAAGUGGAUCCAUCCCUCUUACAAAUUUUAAUUCUAAAUAUAUCCUUUUUCCACUCAUAGAUCCCGGGCUGCAUACGAUCCCCUACUUAACGGCUCAUGUUAGGUGGAUCAUAUACAGGCCUUUAUAUUCCAUUUUCAGACAUGCAGACUGUGCUAUACAUAUUACAUCAUAUGCCUUUGUGUAUGAAAUAGUCUGCGACAGCGCCAUAACAACUGGUUCUUCCUGCCACCGUGUAAUGGCAGUAAGGCAUGACAGAGAUUAAAUGUACAUGUCCUUGGAAAUAUUCGACAGAUGUAUCAGCUUGCCUGUUAUGUUAGAUACUGUAGACGCUGUACUGCAACGCCCUGUCUGUUCAGCUGGGAAUUAAAUCUCCAAAUAUAAACACUGACCUUUAAGACCAAGUAUGCAGCCACCACUGCUAUUGUCAACAUACUGUAUGUAAUUCCUAGCCUUGGAUGCCAGCAUCCUCUCUGCGAAUUAAAAAUCAAUGAGCAUGUAUUAGUGUAAAAUCCUUGAGCUCUGGGGGCUUUGCUUGUGAUGGAAGAAUGAAUAGACGGGGAACAGGGGCACCUCAGGGGAUGCCAGGCUGUCCAACUCUGGGUCUGCUGGUCACAGCCUGGAGCAUAUCUGUACAGAUACACAAAGACAGGGGGCUUAUAUUGCACAGACUCUGAAAAAAACUGUGUGUGCCUCUCUGUGUGUUUGUGUGAGUAUGCUCUGAUUGGCUUCAGGGAGUACAGGAAUAGCUACAGUCUAUAUAUUGAACUGGAAAAGAAAAGGACACCGUUUCUUGAUUUGCAUUGUUAAAGCAGAAUUUCCCCUAAUUUUAAACACCUCUCGUUUCAGAGCACUGUUUAUUAUGUAGCUUAUCCAAAACACUGUUCACAUUACCUCUGUAAAACCGUGAUUAUGCCCCCUAAUAUGAUUUUGUUAGUUCUCUGGCAAUACCAACAUUUUAGUCAUUAAAGGAGGAACUAGUGUGGUUGAACAGACAGCAUAGAUCAGCAGCAAGAGAACAUCAGAAAUCAUAAAAAAAAGAGAAGAGUGUCAAAACAUGGAGCACGGGCCGACUACUUGAUUAAAAAGUGAUCCAUUUAUUCUGAAAUGCAAAUGCAGGACGGGGUGCUUAGCAACAAAGAAGCUGCCCCUGCCAAGAUGAGGGAAAACAGUGUUUAACAUUGAGAUUUUGCUUUGAUCGACUGUGUAAUCAGAGAGAAAGUGUACGUAGAAAAGCUCUUUGUGGUGGAAAUGAGCCACAUGUUCUGUGUGUUCGUAGUUCAUGAUCCCGUGGAAACCCUGAUGUGUUAGAACAUGUCUGUCUUCAUUGAAACAGAGGAGGACUUCUAGGAGUAAGAGCAAGAGAGAGGGUAUCAGAUAACAUUCACAGGAGUCUGCCUUCCUGCCAGUUUAUGACCUUUAAUUGUGUUUACUUUCAGCAGAGAAAGCUCUAGUCUUUCCUCUAACCUCUAGGAUGCUUAUUAAUAUACACCAAGAAAUUGCUUUGUUUGUAAAUGAUUAAAAUGAUCAAUUAAUUUCCAGGAACAAAAGUUAUGGCGGUAGGUUCUCCACAAGCAAAUUGUUAUUUAUAAUUUUCUUUCAAAACGAGUAAAAAGCAAUUAAGUACAUAAUCAAUAUGUAGCAUGGCAGUUUUCAUUUUAAACAUAUGUGUACCCUAAAGGCAACACACAAACACUCAUAGAAUUACAACACACUGGGGCCCAAUAAUACAAACACACACUCACACACAGAUACAUAAACUCAGACAUUUGAAUAAUUUAGUUCUUAUGAGUAUGUUAAGAAGCAUUCACUCUGAAAACAUUUAAAAGCAAAUAACAGAUUUAACAUCCAUGACUGCACCAGGAAGUCUGUUCAACAUGUUUGUGGUACUUAAAGGAGGAUAAGUACUCUGUUUUUUUUUCAGAUGAUUAGCAACUUAAUGACCUGAGAAGCUCCAAAAUGCUCCGACAAAAUCAGGAAAUUUAUUGUUUUAUCAUUUGCAAUUUCCACGAGGAUGUAGUGAAAGCGAAACGAUAUAAUUGUUCUUUAUUAUGUAAACUUGGAGACAGCUUGCACAGAUGAUCACACAGCUCUGUAUUUGCCCUGCUGGAAGAAAAGAAAUGACUUUAACAGCACACUGCAGGGUACAUAACUGACUUAUUGAGGUUUGAGAGCUUGUUAAAAGCACUUUCUGUACCCAUGGUAAUGAUGACAUGGCACCCCGUGUACAGUAAGGCUGAGGAGUACAUUAUCUCGACAAUUACUGUUCUUUUAGGAGAUGAAAGCCUUCCACCGCACUGUUUUGUGGCUGCUGCCUUUGGUCCUCAGGGUUGCCCAUAUACUCAGCAACCCUGGUUUCCUCUCUUCCGGUGCAUCACCCAUCUAAUCCUGACACUGUUUGUGACUCAUUACUUUCAACUGUCGGGAGGGAAAAAAAGUGCAUAAAUAAUGUAUUCCUUGGGUGUAUCCACCUCCAGAUCAAUGGCAAUACAAAGACCAUCUACAAAGACGGUUGGCUCAAGGCCAUAUUUGAUCACUUCCACUGCGCGCGAUCACUGGACCCUUUUUUGUCAGCCCGUUGAGACUCAAUUAUUUCCAAGUGUUUGUAAGCUAUUGUUGAAAGAACACGAAGUGAAUAUUUAAAGUUGGUGAGGGGAAGGAAAAUCUUUGAUGAGACAUGAAAAAGCCAGAUGGAUGGUAACAGUGAACUGUUAAACAGGGAGAGAGGAGGAGAAAGAGGGAAGAGGGGAAAAAAGAAAACGAUGUGAUGGAGCAGUCGUAUUUCUCGUAGGGGGAGCGGGAAAAUGUGCAGGGUGGCAGUCUAGCCUCUGCUGUAUUCAUAUGAUAUAAUAGAGAUAACAGGCAGAUUAAAGAACACUUAAACAUUAGAGAGCAGCUGAUAGUGCAAGCCAUAGCAUUUAGGUAAUCAGUGGGGACUGGAGUGCCACUUGGAUGAAUGUGAAUACCUGGGGAGGACAUUAGCAGUGUUUGGUAAUAAUGUUCUGAGUGUCCCAAGGUAUAUUGUAGUAUUAUCACUUAUACUGACCCAGAACACGGAAAAAGACCUGCUGCUUUUAGGGAUAAUGCUCUGAAAUAUCAAACAAUACAGCAGACAUCUUGAUCUGUCAUGACACUUGACAUGAAAAUCUACGACAGCCCUCUGCAGAUUUCAUUCAUCAUCUUCAUGCUUUUGAUAGUUAACUCAAACUAAACAUUAGAAAAUAGUUUCCAUCCAAGUUCAGUGUUAUAAAGCCUUUCUCUAAACCAACCAUGAAGAUAGUCACUUGGUAGAAACUUGAUCGUUUAAAACCAAUUUGAACAUCUUCAAAUGUUUAAUUGCUGUCUCCUCAGACAAUGUUUGGAGAAGGAAUUUGGUGCAGCUCCCUGCUAAUUUUGGCUAAUGAAGUUGAGCGUCUAAGCAGGCAGUGAUGUGUAGUUGUUCAACUGUAAUACAGCACCAAGAUUAUAGUGCCGUGUGUAUGGAGUGACUAUUCUGUGAUAGAAAACAGGAAGUCUGUAUUGGUCCUCUGGACCAGCUGCACCACUUUUAUUGCGGAGUUUUAUUACUUCCUCUACUCUGCUGCGUCAUGGAAGCAGUUCACCAUUAAUGAUUGUGCUCUGUCUCCAAAACAGGUUACUUAUCUGAUUGCAAAGAAGGUGAAGUAUUUACCAGGGUCAAAAAAGUUAGUCUUGGUCAUUUUUUGUCAUUUUUUAAUUUAAUUUUUAAUGAAAUUAUAAAUCCAGUUUUGGGUGGGAAAAAAAGUCUAAGAUUUUAAUUUCAGGCCAUAUCGCCCAGCCCUAACACUCUAGCCUGGCUGGGCCAUCCUGUUGCGUGAGUCACUUGAUCCGCAGAAGACGUCGAAAAUAAACGAUUUCUGCCGACUUUCCAGAGUCAGCUGCAGAAUUAACGGCGUUCUGAAUGAACGGGGCUUUGAAAAGUCCCGCAGCAUGUGUUAGAUGUCACCACUAUACAUGGACCAAUCAGGGGCUGCCUUUCCCUGUUGUCCGUGUAACAGUGGAAACACGGUCUCUGAUUGGCCCAGUUAUUUUCUGAUCGGGAAUACACGCUCUCCAUGGGCCGAAGUCCAGACUGUGGUGGGAAGGAACAUCAAGUGAUUCACGGAACAGGAUGGCCCAGCCAGGCUACUAACACUCUACAUAUGAACCUUACUGCUCCACACUAACUACUUUCCAAAGUAUUUCAUUACUCACCAUCCAAUAGCAUUAUUAUGAGUAUGUUCAAAUAUCAAAGAUCUUCUGAUUCUGAAUUAGACAUUUCAAACUUAAGCAUCCAAAUAUAACAUGUUUUUUUAGUGGAGGAAAGGUGUAUUAAAAUGGCUUUGUUUGUUUCUGAAAAUUUUUUUCCCUCGAAUUGUGUGUUGUUUUUAAACAGACUCUCAAUUCUGAUUUGAAAUGUGUGUCUUACUAUUCAGGGCCAAAUUUACAGGAGGUUUAAGUAAUACACUGAGGAAGCUGAUGUGUAGCUUUGUGGUCCAAUCAACAUCUGACAGUAAACUUCUUACUGCUUCUUAGCACAGAUUUAUUGCUUCUCUUAUGUCUGACGCUGAGUUCGUUUCCUCCUUCUCCAGAUGGCUGGGCUUGAAGCCCAAGAUUUUCACCACGAAAAUAAAAAGAGAAAAACAUUUUUUUUUCAGUUUUUCCCUAUUAUGCAGAAUCUCAGCUCCCUCAGUUAAAUUAAUGGUAUGACCGACUGGCACUGCACCACCACUCCUGCUGCGCCACGAAUAAUGACUAUUUGGUUGAAGGGCAGGGCAAACACUAAAUUUAGAUCAAAGUUCCUCACUCUAAAGGCAUCAAAGAGUGGACAGACGUCAUCACGUGUAGUGCCAUGCCUCUUCGGCUACUCAGAUGUCAUACCACUGGUAAUGAUUAGAUUCUCUUGAGAAGACAUCUUUUGAUGUGAGCGUCCCAAGUGAGCAUAUCAUGUGUCAUCGGCUGAAUUUACAUUGAAGCAAUAUUUGAGGUAUUAAAGCUGUAAGGCUAAUCAGAGAGCUGUUUCAUUGCUACCCGUGUAAUGUGAACAGCUGGACAGGACAAAGACAGCAGAGUUCUCAGUCUGCACAUUUUCCUUUUUCGUUUGGUUUUGAGCGUACAGUGCUUCCACCUGCUAUGUGUUUUUCAAAGCCUGUACUGACACUCUGCAGUUUCUGGUUAUUGGAUAAGCUGAAAGUACAUCUAAGGAGAGAGUGAUGACAUGUGGGCGAAGGAGUCUGAGGUUCUUGUGUAGAGUCAGAGAGGGUACAGAGCAAAAUAUACACCGUUUUCAAGGAUGACAUUUAAAAAUCAGAGAGCACCAUACAUUUUCGUUUUAAAAAAGGCUGUAAAGACUGAUCACCAUUUGGACUCAAUUUAAUGCAGCUCAUGCAACCUUUAUUACCAAAAAAGCCCUUUUACAGACUGCUGUCUGCUACAGAAAAUGAGAUUCCUGCUCCUUUCUUGAACUGGGAACCAUGCAAAAUUAUUUUUGUGAGAUACAGGCUUAUAGGUUUUGUAAAGGUUGAUGAUGUACACAGACUAAUGUGACUGCUUGCUUAUGAAACAUUUAGAUUGGCCAGGUAUCUGCAGAAAAGCUAAGAAAAUGAGCCCUAAGGUUUCUCCACAUAAAUAUGGGAGUAAAAUGGAUUUAGAGGCAGUUGUAGCCCUGUGACUUACUUUGCUUGUUUUUUUUUUUUUUUUAAUACAACUGGAUGCAUGUUUUGUAAAACUGUGCUGUUAUGAAAUCCUUUUUUAUUUUAUCUCCCUGCUGAGCUUUUAAAAAUAUAACUAUAUUAAACAAACAACUUAUUAAACAGUGAGAGUAAAAUGUAACAAAUCUGAAUCAUUUGUCACAUAGAAACACAUUUUAUUUUGUCAUGAGUCCUGCAUUUUCCCCUGAGUGGGAAAAGUUUUGGAAAACUGACAGUCCAAUCUGCACAUUUGUUGAAAAUGUGGCACAGAUUGUCAGUCGCUGAGCGCGCUGCUGGCUCCUUUCAUCGGGCAUGUAAUUUGAAAAGCCUGUGACGUUGGCUGGAGCGUCUCCUCCGGUCACAGCCGUCCGAGGGCAGUGAACGCCUUUAGUGACAGAGUCAACCUUUCAGCAUGUUGAAUUGGCUGGGUGUCACGUGAUCCACACUCACCACCCACUGUAUAUUUAUGGUUAACUGUCGCUUAGUCCUCCUAAAAUGGAAAAUGUGGACUGAAUGUUAUUGGGAGGUGAUGAAUUGAUUCACCAUCUGGUCAGACAAGCUAAAAAUUGCUUUCCAAGAACAUGAAUGAGGAAAAAGACAACGUGAAAGUUGUGCUAAUAAAUCUGCAUGAAAUAUUUAGUUUGUUUUCAUCUUGUGUUCUUAAUAAAGUACAUCAAAAAAUCUACAAAUUACUUUGUUGUAGUAUACUUGAGUAAAAAGGUUAUGUUUCUUAAGUUCACUUUGCCUGUACUCUGAGAUUGAAAAAUGUUCAAGUCACUCCUUGUUGACAUGGAGCUCAAGUAACCUUGUGUGUACUACUUUGAUGGUGGAGGGGGGCGAACUUUCAUUAGAUUUAAGUGGGUCACUGUCUGUGCAGGAGCGAGACACAGUAGAUUAUAUGGCUGCUAGCAAAGAGCACACCUGGGAGACAAGGCUUGGCCUUGGAUGUAGAACAUAAGCUAUAUAUUCUCUCAUAUUUGAGACAUUAAUCAAGGGCAGUGUUAUUACCUGGGCUUGAUUAUUUUUCAGAAAGUUUUCGUGUGGCCUUCCUCUGGUGGCUGGUUGUUGUUAUGGGCACAACACUGCAGAACAUUUCAAGGGUUUCCCAUCUUAAUUGCUUGAUUGUGGACCUGUCUGUGUAAAGUUCAGGAUGUGAAGACUUCUGCUUGAAUCAUCAGACAUCUUAAAUUAACAGUGUGUGCAACUAAAAAUGACAACCAAUGUGUCAUCCUCCUGCACUGAGAUAUUUAUUGAAACUGAAGCAGUAGUACCCAGAUAUUGUUUCUAUAGGUAACUUGGUGCCAGUUUUUAUGGUAAUUGCUGUGUUUUUCUGCAGAUGGUUUCGAAAGUAUUUCAGAAUCGACCGUAUCUGUAUAUGUAGUAUUGAGAGCUUAAGCUUCCUCUUCUCCCCCGCUGUCAUCUGUACCAUAUACCGCGCUGUAUUCCACUUGGAUGCAUGACUAAAAGUUGUGUCUCUUAUCUCCCCCCUUGUGAUAAGAUCGUGCAUUAAAUAUUUCUGUCUCACAGGCAUUAACAGCAUUGUCAGAGCUGCAGCAGAACAAAGACAUUAAAAAUAUCUCUCAGUAUGGAUUUGCACGUCUGCUCUUUCACUUCUCUUUCAGCUGAUUUGUGCUUUCAGAGUUGCAUUUAGACUCUGUGAGAUGCGUUUAACAAUAAAUGUGCUGCAGGUUCUUUGAGAGGAAUAAAUACAUAAACAUAGGUCUUUUUUGUGAGGUUGGAAUUGCUAGGGUUUAUCCUAACCAGCACGUUUGUAAAGGAAAAUUCCAAUCCGAAUCAUGUUAACUAAUUUUUAAGUGUGUGUGAUAGUAUACAAGUACAUGCAACAUCCUACAAGUGAAUACUUUUUGAAGACUUUUAUUUUUUUUCUAUUACUAUAAAGUCCAUUUGCAAAAUGCCACUAAAUUCUGCAUUCUGCAUAUGUGAGUCUUCUGUUUAUGAACUGAAUAUGUUGGGAUUGUGAGGGAAAACUCAUGCAAUAGAUUCAGGGGAUUAAUCUCAUCAUAGGACAACAUGUGCAGUGAUAAUAUCCGGACAGAUGUCUGAGCACAAGGCCAGGUCCAGUAUGUCGACUGUAAGAUAGAGUCUGAGUGAUUGCCCUUGAGUUUCAGGGGCUUACUCCACAGAUCCUUUGUGGUUUGUAUUGGACUGUGUGUUGUAUUAGACUGUCUGUCUGACCCUCUGAAGCCACAACUUUGAUCCCUCGCCUGCUCUGGGGGGUGGUGACAUUUGGCUGGCUCUGACCUUUUGAGGCAUUUUUUGAAUCUGAAAUCUAAUUUCAGAUUCGGGAGAGUUUUCUUCUAAAAACUGAGUUAAGUUUAUCAAGUAUUAAGUUAAAGUUUGGAAUUAGGAUGAAUUCUGUAGACUACAGUCAUGAAUUAUAACUGAAAAUUAUAUAGUGAAGGAAAUUUGAUAUGACUGUAACAAAGGGCAACAGAAACACGUUCACAAAAAAGAAAAAGACAAACUUAAAAAAAAAAAAAACAAUUGGAGAACUAGUUUCCAAGACUUCUUGUGGAAAAAAAAGACCUUAAUAUUAUUAUUACAAGUUUAUUGUGAGAUAAAAAAAAAUGUGUGAAAUAAACCACAUAAAUGAUUUUUACUUUUAUACUAAAAAUUAAUGUCUGUCUCUUCUGUAGCGUUUGACCUCAACUCUGUUUUUGCCGAAUGGAACAAAACAUAUUUUUUAUUUCUAUCAUACUUCUUUCAGCCUUUUACCAACAAAGUGAACACCUGGCCUGCAGGAUAUGAACAACAACAACAACAAAAUCUGUGCAAUAACAUUUUUUGACAUAGUACAUCGUAAUACAGUAUAUCAUUGCAAUCAAUUGAUUGCACUCAGUAAAAGUUUUUGUCCUAAUUUUUUCGCUGUGCUCAUACUGGGAUAUCAAUGAAUUUAUGAUUAUUUUGCACCUCAACAGCAGAUAAUUAUGUGGACUUGUGAUUCAAAGGCUUUUUUCAUGUAGAUGUAAAGGAAAUAUGACACAUUGUUAUAUCUGAGAAUAAAAAGUAAAUAGUUUCAUUGUUGAAGACUUCACACUUCUAGAUCGAGAGUGACCCACAAAACAUUUCUUGGAUUCAGCUGUAAUGGAAACUGAAAGAGACUGAAAUCUGUCUGUAGUCAAGUCAUAUGAUAAGUCUUGUUUGUCUGCUUUUCCAUAACAAAGCUGCAGUGUUGUCACUCAUCUCUGACAAUUGCAUUCAUCUCAUCUUUGUCCUCAGAGGAUUUUUUAUUUUUAGAAUCAGCUGCAUUGCAAAGGAUUUCUUUUUGUAACAAUCUAACAUAGCCUGAUUGUUCUUACAAUACACAAUGAGAAAAUAAGGAUAAAAGACACACAAAUAGCCUGUUCAAAGCAAUGCUCUUUUUAAGAGACUGAGCUGUUGUGUUUUGCUGGACUUGAUUUUAUUAUGCACCACACUUAUAAUAAUAGCAUACUAAGUUAUGUUGUCAAUGUAAGUGAAUUUGUUUCAGAGGAAACUUUUUGUUUAAGAUAAAAAUGUAUUCUUUCCAUCCUGUCAGCAUAAGUAUGGCGGUCAUUGAUCACACAUCAACAGGAAGACGAUGAUUUGAUUUGCAGAUGAUAGGGCAAUAUUCAAAAUUAAAUUGGUUGAGAGAGUGCCUGUUUUCUCCCUUUGACUUGUCAUCUGAGCUCGAAGCUGUGGUUAUUUACCAGAAAUGAAUCAGCUAAUGUAACCAUUUCCUUUUGUUUAGAAUGGCCAGACAUUAAGAAGCUGCUGAGUGCUUGUGGAGUCAAUCUCAAGUAGAGAGAUAUCAUAAAUACUUUGAAGAACUUUGAAACUUACAAGUUAUAUAAAUGUAUAACAAGCAGUGUAGGUGCCUCAGUACGCUACACACAUAAUGAAACCUUAAACCAGUACCCGUCUGCAGGGUCUAAAUCUCCAUCUACUUAAGGGCGCCAAAGAAAAUGUAGUGUUGUGUGUCCAUGUUGAGUAACAUGAGGCACUUGUCUUGAGUAAAUCGAGUGAUUUGAUGAAAACGAUUACAGUGAGACUGUUUAAAAAAAGUGAGGUGAACACUAACAAUUUUAGUUCAAACCAAUAGUUUUCCUUGAUUUCAGUAGCUCUUUUUAGAUGCAGCAUGCAACUAAGGUGUUGAGUCGUAUUCAUGCCAGGGAUAAAUAUAGUCGCAUUUUCUUGUGUUUUGCCAGCAUUUUCAUCUCAACAGCUCUGACACAUUGAUUUUAAAAAGGAUAAAACACAAUCCUAUGAGAUUGGCAACCGUGGGACAAAACUUAAGGAGCCCCUUUUUGCCAGGAGAGUUUGAGAACCACAUGCACCAAUCCGAUCCUGGAAGUGGAUACAGACCAGAUAUUUACCCAAAAAAAUCAUAUUGGACUAAGGGCCGGUUCCAACAACAAAUCUUUUCAACUGAAUCCUAAGCCAUGCUGUGUUUCCAGCAACCGUGUGUACACAGAACACCAUCAGUUCUGAUAAAUCUGUGCAUUUUGCCAAGUAGAGAGCCAAAGUAGCCAUGAGAAAGUUAGUACAGAGGCUUAACAGUUUGAUGACAACUUACAGCAUGCCAAGCUCAUAUGGUGCAGCAAAAUAAAAUGGAAGUGAAGCAACUUUGUCACCUUUUGCUGACUGCAGUGAUAUUUUCAAAGUGUACAAAAUAACAGAAGUCACUGGAUUAACUGUUCUGGUGGUAAAUUCCUGCAGAUAAUUAAAACAAGGGGUUCUGCUCUCUUGUUGAACAUUUUGAACCCAGGUACGGUUUGACAGUACACUGGUUAACAUGAGUUACACUCACUGCAGUGCUACAAGUUAAGUCUCCCACACAUCAUACUCCAGUGACUUGGUUUAGACUGCCAUUAAGGAUAUGCUCGAUCAGGAACGUUAUGUUGAGCAUGUCAGAUCUUUGCAGUAAUAUGUGACAUCGCUUUGAUGUAACACAGUGAAUUCCCCACAGACAAAACCUGGACAGGCUGCAGAAGUGAUAUCUCCUAUAUAACCCACUUCAUUCUGGUUUAAUACUGAUAUUAGAUCAGAUCAGUAUCCUCCAAUACCAAAGCUCAGAUAUUGAUAUCAGUAUCAGUAUGAGUAUCUAUAUUGGUAACGCAAUCUGUUUCAGUCGUGGCCACUUGAAAUGUUUCAUCAGUGAUAAAGUGUAUCUAACGAAAGUGAAGAGUUGUCUUAAUAAUUUCCAUGAAAAACAUCCUUCAUAUUGUUUUAGAUUUUGUCAAAUUAUAGUGUUGUAAAAUUUACAAGUGAACCCUCAUGAUCAGAAUAUGCACUGAUUGAAGGCCUCUAAGCGAAAAGUACUGUAUCUUCACUCCCCUGUAUUACCUUUAGAUAAAUAAAAGAGGAUUAUCCAUUACUCUGUUUAAAAGUCGUUAGACCACAGCACCAGGCUUGGCUGAGACGUACUCAAGGCAGCCAUGAAGAGCAGGUUUAUUUGUUAAUUUAUGGAUUUUGGAUGUUUGCCCUUACCUUGUCUGUUCUCUGUUCCUAUUAUUUCAGCCUUAGAUCCUCAACCUCAGACCACAUUCCUUCGCUCCUUGUUUUGUGCUGCUGGCCUUUGAAUGGUGUUUAAUCACUCUAUCUGGUGAUUGGAUUUUCUAACACUCUCACUCUUUGCCUACUGCCCGGAGCGGCAAUUUCACUGAGGGCAUAUAUGAAGCUCUUUCAUUUCAUCAGACAUUUUUUGUAAACACAUGAAAUUUUAAAAAGAGCCAGAAAAGUCAAUACUUAUAUUCCUUUUACUGAUUUAACACAAGUCUCUGCUUUUCUGAUUCCCAACCACAAUGUUCUUAAAAACUAUUCAGUGAAUAAUGCACAUGUGUUAAUGUUGGCUUUAAAGCACCCAUCAAUGCAGGUUUUAGUUAUUGCCUUUAUUGAUCAUGGAAGAAUUAGUUGAAGAAAUUACUGUUAACCUGUUUAUGACUCAGCUUAAAUCUCCUAUUGGGCUGAUUCCUUCAAAAUAAAAUGGUCUUCAGUCUUACAAUAUUCUGCAGAUGUCGGUCCCUUGAGUCAGACUAGAAUUAUGCAAAAUCCUUAUAAUUCGCUGCCUGUUCUGCCUUGAAUAAUGUAAGAAAGGACCUGAAAAUGUCAGAGCUGAUUACCAGAGAGGAAUUAAGGUCUAUUUUAAAAGGAUUAGGGAAAUGGUUCUCUUUUAUAAUCAGAAUUUAUUUCCAAAAUAUUGAACUAGCUCCUGCAUCAAAACUGGAUUUCGUCCUGGACUGUGUACCGCGGAUGAAGUGGACAGCGUGUUUACUUGUCGUUCUGUGUGCCAGCUUUAUUUGUCUGUUUGAGUUGGUCGUGUGUAUUGUUGCAAUGUUUAUGCUGCUCUUCUGGUCAGGUCACUGUUGAAAAGGAGAUUAUGGGAUUUGUAAAGAAAGCGGCAUUAAAACAUGACUGCCUCUAUAUAAUACCUUUUCUCUACUUCAGAUGAAAACAUGGCUGUAUCAAUAACAUGACAGCUAUACAAGGGAACUUGAUAUGAAGUAGGAGUUUGUAUCCUUUAGCCCGUUUGUACAGAGCAGCUCAUAUCUGAUUUGCAGCAAUAUAAUACGUUAUCUGUGCAUGUAAAGCAGUAAAUUCAUUAGUGCAGCAGGGAUAAAAAUGGAUACUUUAAAGGCAAGGUUAAUUAUGCUCGUGGCUACAUCACACACAUGCCCAGAUAAACAUACCCUGCCUGUUGUGAGGUUCGACACUAAAGACCUGUGCGUGGGCAUGAGGUUGCUUGCCAAGCCAUGUUGACUGAGCUACAGUUAUAAUUACAUGUGAAGGAUUUUUUUUCCUGCCUCUCCUCAUUUUUUUUGAUUUAUUGCUCUAACCCAGCUGUCAGAACUCAGGCUUCACUGAUUGGCUCCUAAAUGAGAAUGUUAUUAAAAUGCAAGCGCAAAGCCACUGAGCAGCCUGAAUGGUUAAACCGAAGCUCCCCGAUGGUAAGCUGCAACCAGUGUUGAGCCAGACAGCUGUUUCUGCAUGGCAAAACAGGGUGUUAAUGAGUGGAGGAGAUUGCAGAUGAGGAUCGCUACAUCGUGACAUGUUGUUUCUUCACCUGAGACUGCCAUGCAUAAUCUCCAGAAAUGAUUGCUCAAUUUAAACCCACUGUUAUGGAGUAAACUACAAAUGUAUUAUAAUGCAAUGUUUACAGGGGCAUGUCCUCUCCUCUUCGAUCAACAGAUGAUUAUAGAUGGGUCCAGCUUUCAGCUGCGCAGUUAGGGCUUCAUACGGAGGCGUGCCUCUCGUUCUGUGGGGAAAAUUCUGCAACCUCAUUUAAGGCUAAGUGUGAAUUACGGUUACAUACAUUAAUGUUCAUGAGGAAAACAGACUCAAAACCCUCCUUUAGAGGCAAUGUCUGGUGUUGAUGUGUGAAGUAUGAAGGACAAAAAAAAGCUUUAAAGCUUGAAACAAAAACAGAUGUUAGUGGUGCAAGGUAUUUUUUCUUUAAAAUGAUUCAUCUAUGUUGAUUACAUCAAGGUAGAGAGUCAGGCAUAACUAAACAUUUAAGGCGUAUCCUGAUACAGCAUUUUGACUUCUAAUACAAUACUGAUAUUGUAGUCUGUAACAUUGACCGAUACCGAUAUUGGUGCCGGAGUGGAGUCUGGAACGGUCUGCUUGUAUCAGAGAGAUUUUAGAUGUAGGCUAAUAUAAUCCGAUAUUCGUUUUUUUAGCUGAUAUUGGACCGAUAUCUGAUAUCAAUAUCGUGUUUGGACGCCCCUAAUUUAAGGGGCAUGGCUGAUCAGACUGACCACCAGUUGGUGAGCUGUAGCUGUUUGCCAGGUAUUGUCACAUAUUUGCUAUUAUCUUGGUAAGCAGAUACAUGCGGAGUCAGUAUCUAGAUUUAACAAUCACCAUCUUUUGGCUUUACAUCACCUUUGCUAAAAUCAAAGGUUGGACUGCAUUUUGUCCUGUUAACAUUUACAUACAUAAGGGGAAUUUGAAAUCUUUACCACCAAAAAAAUCGGGCUGAUAUCAAAUUAAACCUGUUGCUCAUGGUUAAAGAAUUAAGUGCUAUGCAAUUAAGUAUGUAAUCUACGCAUGGUAAUCCAAAACUUAGUUACCAUUGUUGCUGAGUUUGCAAGUCAAAACCUUCUGGCAGAAUUUCUCCCCCACUCUUGUGUGCAGGAUCAACAAAACGAUGAUGCAGGAAAGUGAUGCGUGUCUGAGGGAGUGAGACAACAACCAAAUCAUCUUUCUGCAUAUAAAUCAGUGCAGGAGAAGGUAGCAGAGUGAUAAUAGUAAAACAUAAGAGUGAUCUGGAGUGAUUUACAAUCUUUUAGACUCUUAAGGGUCCUGUUUUUAAGCUGUCAAAUGCUAAAUUCACAAUCACUCUGGUUUAUCAAGCAUGCCAUGGUUUUUAUAGCUCUUGAUGAUUGGCAGUUCAUCAGCCUGAACUAUAACGUGCAGUAUAUCUCGCACAGUGUAAUUUUAUCAGAGUUGAUGAAAGGUUGCUGCUGUGUGCUAUAACCAUUGACGUAAGUGACCCAUGUGUAGAUGCUAUGAUCCAUGUCUUGUGUAACUAUUAUAAGAAAGUCUGAGAGAGGCUUAUCUCAACUUAAGAUGGAGAACAACUUUUAUAGAAAUUUCUCUCUUAUUGGUUGAUUGAUUUGUUUUGUUGAAUUGAAUUGAACCCUGACCCUUGAUCUGUGAACCACACUAACUUGAAGAUUUGGAAUCUGUCGCUUCCUCUACUUAUAAUCCAUCAACUUUUAUAUCAUUACACCAUCCAUUGUGAAAUGUACACUCGCAUCUCAGUGUCUGAACUGUUUGUGAUUAUCCUCUAUGCCAACUUGACAAUCUGUAAACUUGUGAAAAAAGGUCUCAGUAGUUGAAAAUGUGAAGAUGGGCUGCCAUCAUCUUGUACCCUUCAUUCACAGCACAUAUGGAUGAGAAUUUCUUUUUUAAAUAGCAGGAAAAAACACAUUCACAAGCUUUUUUGCUCUCUAUAGCUAUAAAAGGGUUUAGAGCCAUCUUGUUUGAAUCUGUAAGAUCUUAAAUUGGCUGUAGUUGUUGCAUGAACUUGUGAACAUAGUGACUAUGCAAAAAGGUGUCAGGUGAGCAUUCCGUCAUACAAACAAGCUAAUGCAUGUCAGGAGUAUAGAAACAACCGAGCCUAUCUAAUUAGCUGUGCACCAGAGCAGCAGCUCAAUAAAUGCCUUCUGUUAGGCUGGACAGCAGUAACAGCCAGGAAAGCUAAUGGUUCAUUGAGAAUGAGUGAUUAUAGGACCUGGAGUCUUUGGCAAUUGGGACUCGUUGAUUCUUUAUUGCAGAAGCAUCUUGGAAACACGGUGCAAGGAACAGACCAUGAGAGUUACCAGGACUGACCGUAUAAAUGAACCACUCCGGUUUCUAGGAGUUUAAUUUUACAUGAUAGAGGGUUUAGGUGGGGCUCUAUCUUGUGUCAUAGAAAAAAAUUGAAAAAGGAAUUUCAAGCCAAAGUACAAUUUGAUCGUCAAUGGGAUCUAUUUGGUAUAAUUCAUGUUUAACUCCCUCCUUCCUCCUUUAUUCUGUGUGCAAAAACAAGAGCUGAACAACAUGGAAAAAACUGAUAGAUAUGUUUAUGCUCCCUGCGAUGUAUGUUGCAGUAUGAAUAAAUGGGGCAAUUAAUUCUAGAUAAAUAGUGUUUUCAUGUGCAUUGAUUGAGAGUUCAAUCAUAUAAUCAUACUGUUUAUUAAUUAGGUCUCCCACAUUAAUAGACCACUUACAUGACAUGAGAUGUUUAUCAAAUUCACAUUUACCAUUGAUUUUCCUCAUGUAAUUUCCCUGGAUGUUAAUCCUUCAGUCACAUCCACAACCUUUUACAUCCUUCACAUCCUCUGCAGAGAUCCUUAUCUUCAGGCUUACAGAUGCUGGAGACACUUAAAGGCAGUGAUUUCCAAUGGCUCUCUAGCCUCCUGCUUGGUAUGCAGCAGCACAUGUUUACCAUCUUCUGGGUGAAACCCACGAGGUUUAUUUUUUAUGGUAAUGGGUUUUAUGGUUAACUAAGCCUCGCACUGGGGUUUGAGGGUUCUGGUUGCUAACUUUUACGCCAGAAAUGGGGGGAAUGUGACAUCCUGGUUUGCUCAUGACCUUGUUUGGAGGACAUCUUCCUCCUUAAAUUUUUACAACAAAGUCAUCCCACACCUGAAGCACAGCAGAGGGAAAAGAGCGCACUGGCUGUGGGAUGUCAUGGUUCCUUUGCUGCGAUAGAUUGGGACUGGGGUUAGUGGGAGUAGUAUAGUGAAUGAUUUGACCGUUUGACAGCUCCUUUAGCUUAGGAGAAAAUUGAAUCAACUUUUCUUUGGAUUUGCUGUAGACUCCUCUGAUCUGCUUUUCAAAAUGAAUCUCUUUUCCAAGAGAGAUGUCUUUUUUUCAAUCUUAAAGUAAUGGGGUGAGCUUGGGAAGGGUGGAAGAAAGGAAAAUAUGAAGUUCCAGGGAUAUUUGAUCAAAUGGAAAUAACACCAACUACUUAAUCUAUAUUAAAUUUAAUAGCUGCUUCAAUAACCUUAGGAAUCUUAACAUCUCUUUCCACAGAUGUAUUUUGAUAUUUGUCAAAGUUGUCUUAUCUUGAAUCUAUUCUUCAAUAAGAACAAAACUGAGGAACAGCCAAGAGCAUAUUUUAGUUCCAAUCAGCUGGUCAGAAAUGAUUAGAUAUUGUGUUUCAUCUCUUGUUGCACCUUCAUACCAAUUGAAGAUGUUUACAAAGCCUUGAUUCAGAAUAGUCAACUAUUACUUUAAUCAUGCAGUGUUUGUCUACUCAACACUUUAAAAAGCUAAAUUAAAAUGAUGACCUCACGUCCUAGGCAUCAGAGUCAGAAUGAACUUUAUUUGCAGACCCACGAGCAGGUAACGCAAAAACUGAAACCACUAUGUGCAAACUUAUAUACUGUAGGCUACAAUGUAAAGACAGACUUAUUAAGGACCAAAUGAUCAUGUUUUAUGUUUCUUAUUGAAAGUAGCUGCUUUGGGGAUUGUCAAAUAAAAAAAAAGCUGAGACAGAUCUUCUCUUUUGAUUUUUUUUUACUCAAAUUCAAGAUCAGACACUUACCCCUCUCUUCAUCUUUGCAUCGGUUUGUGAUUACAGCCAUCUCUGAUUUAUAUCAUUGGAUCUAUCUGCUGUUAUUUAGACUGAUGCUAGCACUAAAUAUGAAUGAAUCACUCAGUCCAUGUUCCACUUCCAGUAGCACCUCCAUUUCAAAAUUACUAAACUAAAAUUUUAUGGAUUAGAUUUAGAUUUUAGCUCACAUAUUCUCGAUAUCUUUAAGCUUCUCUACUCAGUCUAGUGUGAUUUCUCUGUGUGCACACAGCCCUGCAGUCCUGUACCCUUAUAAAGGCAGCAGGACUCAUACCAGUGUUUUUUGUGACUCAGGAAAAACUCAGAUUAGCCUCAAAUUUCCAGACAUGGCUUUUAUCAGUUCAAAAACACAGGUUAUUGUUAUUAAUCUGUCCUAGACACAUCAGGUAUGUUCUUAUGUAAGUUAAGAACAAUCUCAAGAUGCUGGUGAAUCAGGCCUAUUGACCUAAAAACUUGUGUCUUGAAGAGAAUAUGCUUAAAACGGUCUGUAUUAGGCCAAAAAGAAAAAAGGAAGAGCUGAUACCCUCAGAGGAUGAGCACAUGUCAGUAUUUGAGCCAGUCCUCACAGUCAUCUCUUCAUCCUCCCACAGAAGUGGUAAUCAGGCUGGAAGGCAAGGCAUGGGGCUCUGCAGGGGAGGUGGCGUGGCUGAGGUGACAGAAGGCUUCCUGUCUCUGACAAGGACUUUGCAUAGUCUCUUGGCAGUGAUUGGCCGGCUUGGCUGUGGGCUAUAGUAUAGCUCCAGGCUACUUCUCUGUACUCCUGCAGUUUUGCAUUCCAUAAAUAACAAGGGGCAGACGGAGGCAAAGACAAUGAGCAAGCGAGGACAAUGUGGCAAGGAGGCGAGGAGAGCCUGAAUAAGAAACAGACAGUUGGUUGUCCCGAAGACAAAAAGAGCCAAACGGUGAUUUGUUGUUCAGAACAGAGGCAGAUUGGGGAUGAAUAGUAGCAUGACAUUGGGAGAACAAAAAAGGAAAACACUGCAGUGGAGAGAUAAGACUCCUUGUAUAAAGGUAUGGGGAAAAUAAGACAAGAUGCUCUUUCUCACCCUGAAAAAGGCUUUAAGCAAAUUUACCCGCAUCAUUGCUGCCUAUUUGUGCGGUUACUGUGCAGGAGAUGAGUACAACUAUUGAAAAGUGGCAACAUUUCUGAGCAGCAAACAAUACAUCAAUUAUUGAGAACUUUAAUUAGCAAGUCUGUGGGUGACAACAUGCUACAGAAUGGAACUCAAAUGAUGUUUUUGUACACGGUAAUUACACGUUCAAUCCUAAUGUAGCAUCUGCAAAGUUUUCAAAACAUAAAAUGAGAAACUAGGUGUUGACAACUGAGGUAGGAUUCCACUUUAUGUAUAUAAAUGGACUGUUUACCCACCAGGGUGCAGUAUGUUUAACUAAGUCACACAUAGUGCUGCAGGCUGCUAGACUGUGCAAAUGUGAACUGUCUGUCGAAGACUAAAUUAUAAAUGAAUUUUCUAGCAAAGUAAAAUGAAAAUAAACGUAAUGUAGCUGUUAAGAUGACAGAAGUAUAGAUUAGCACAGACCAAGUGAGCAAUGAAGGAAACCUCUUUUGGCACUCGCCAUGCAUAUGUACUCUUAAUGUCCUCUGUCCCUUCCUACGGCAUGUCUCCAUAUGUUUGCUUGAGGUGCAGAAAGGUGUCACCCUCGCACCCAUAUUACUUAAUAUUUAUAGGCUGUUCAUAUGGUCCUCAUUUGUGGAGCUUUCACCGGCCACUUGCUGUACAUCAAGGUGCAAAUCAUCGAAUCGACCAAAGGUACUGUAUUUUCAUUAUCAGGAAAAUGGUCACUCUCACCUAUAAGGGGGUACAGUACCACAGGGAGCCAUAAGCGAAGGAAAAACUGCCGAGUUUGCAUGGUGGACUGAACCCUUUUGGAUGACAUGUUUUAUUCAUUGAAAUAUGUACACAGGGAGCUUUAAGAGCAUGCAUGCAUGGCACUGCUACCUCCACACAGCCAACACAAGGACAUCACUAGUUUUGUUUGGGUCAGUGAGCAAACUGGAGCUGAGUAUGAUAGCUGAAGCAGGCACACCGGGAACACGUGAUACUGAAUGCUCUGCUUGUUAAAUCAAAUCCAACCUCGGUACUACACUUAUAAAACAUGAUUAAAUUUCAUUUUAAUUUGACAGUGUAAUUUAAUACGUUGAGGAAACAGAUUUGACGAAUUUAUAGUUUGACCGUUUAUCUCCGUAAUCAGAAUUUACAAUGACUAUUCUAUUCGUCAGUAUUCCUCACCAGAUGUUUUCUUUUAUUCACCAUUAACAGAUCGGUUAUAAAACGUGAUAUAAGAGGAAAUCUCAUGUCAUUGAUGCUGCAGGGGAUAUUUUUGAGGUUACUGGGGUUGGUGAUGCCGUGACAUUUGAAAUGUCUCCUGCAAGGUUAGACACGAAUAUCACUGUGCACACGAGGCAGUGUGUGAUGUUGCUGAACUUGAAAAAUCUUAAUUUUUGUCAUCAUUAUUCACAAUCUAAAACAUGGAUAAUAUUGAUCAACGACUACAUGAAUUAAAGAUCUCAGUGGAUUUCCAUCAAUUUCAUUCUCGUUAUAUUUGAUGAUAGAAUAAUCUACCAAAUUUACUCCAUACUAUAUAAUCAAGUUAAAUCCUGUAACACUAGAGUAGCACUUGUUUCUGUGGCAGUCAUAAACCUUAUAAAACACUGAUAACAUUUUGGUAUAACAUUAAUCUUUUACGCCAUGUGAUGUUUGCAAAUAUGGUUUUAUGUAGAUUUUUAUUUUGAUCGCUAAGCUCAGUGUGUGUUGUCCUGCCUUGUCUGGACAUGCUGAGUUUCGGUUGUGGUACCACUUACUUUGAUCUGGUCAGAGUAAAACACAGGAGGACGAUUAUCCUGAACAUGCCAGAGGUUACUGUGACUCAGCUUUGAUUACCAUCAGCCAGAGCCAAUAACCUCUGAGCACAAUAAACUUCACGACUGAGAAACAAAUGUUGACACGACAGGUGAUACAUCACAACAAUAGCUGCUCCACAAAGAAACACUAUAUAUAUCACGUUCAAGCUAACUGUGUAAUAAAUUAGUUUUCAUGUGUGUAUUAGUCCAUUAAGAUAGUGUGAGUUGUGUUUCCAGUUUGAGGGUUGGAAAGCAACAAGAAACAUACUCAUCUACUGCAUUCAUUUAAAGUAGCUGUCUCUAAUCUGAAAGGCAACGAGUAUUCCUUUGACAGCACAGAAGUGAGGUAAGAUCUUCAAAUUGACUUCUGGCCACCUUUUAGAGUCACAAAAGUUACUCACUAUGGGACAAAUUAUAAUGCUGUGUUAGUAAACCUUCAUUGGGGAAUUUAUGCUACCCAGUGAAACAUAACUAAAUAAGAAAUUAAAUUUGCAUAACUCUAUCAAAAGGGGCCCCAACCUAACCAGCUGUAACAUAUGCACAUGCACAUAAGUAUAUUGGAAAUUACAAUGAAAUAACCAUGUUAUUUUGCAUUAUAGAUAUCUUUUUAAUUAUCCUCAGAAUUAUAAUUUGAUACUUUUGCACAUUUUUAUGUUAGUAUUUUUUAGUCCAGUGGUAAAUUUGUCAGGAUUUAUUCUGCAUCUGUUUUACUAUUAAGUAGGCUUCUUAAAGAUCUUAGUAAGUAUUCCUCUGUCCCUUUUGUUUUCACCAAGGCUCCUUUUUUCCUUUUACAUCCAAUGACAAAAUGCUCCGAAGGCUUAAUCUGCAUUUCCUAUUUCUUUUCUACUCGGACAAAACUGGGUAUUUUGUCUAAGAAAACUUAAGUGGGAAGCCCCUCCAUAACUUUUUUUAUAUAUUUGGUCAAACAUUUGAUUUGAUUCAUCCCUUGUAAGUAUCUUAAAGUGCCAUUUGAUGAGGAAAGACGUGUAUUUAGCCUAUACGUUUGGUUAAAGGAUGCCAACAUUUUCAACAGAAUCAACAGCUGAUAGCAGCUGGUUCUAUUAAGUAUAUUCAGCCGUAAGAAAUAUUACAUGUAGUGCUUGUUUGGAUGAACUGUAACCAUUUUGGGUGAAUGGGAUGUGUAACUCAAAUACCUUAGAUAAAUUAAAUUUUGUGCACUAGACUAAAGCUGGGCGAUAUGACCUCAAAUCAAUCACGAUUUAUUGAGCAGUUCACCUCGAUAACGAUAAAUGGACGAUAACUACUCCACAAGCUGCUCACCCCCUCCUACAUUAACUUCAUCUCUUAAGUAGGACAGUGUCUUAAAGGGACAGGAGACCAUAGCCUACCUACGCACAUCCAAAAUCAACUUUUAUGUUUUUAUUUUUUUGACACCAAAUAUACCAAUAUGGGCAAAAUGAUGUCGCUUAUUGUCGUAAAUUUAAUCGGUUAAUCGCCCAGCCCUAUACUAGGCUGAAGUCCCUUUGAUGGUGCCAUGUGCCUAUGGGAAAAAAUCCUGAACGAGAAGCUUCUAUACCUGUUCAGCAUUACACAAACUCCUAAAAUAUACUGUGUUGUUGCCCUACGUGGACUCUUUCUACUGUCUACAGGAGGUCAGCAGAAUGUCUAACAGAGUAGACAGCUAUAUUUACCUGAUCCAUAUCACUGUAAAGCUUUUAAAACUGAUCAUUCAUAUGGACUUUCCUUUCUUUCAAGUGUGGACUUAGACUAGGCUUCCUCUGUGACUCUAUGGUUAUUUGAUUGAUCCCGUGGAUAGUGUCCCACAGAUGCACUGGUUUAUGAGGCCAUGCCCCACUGAUCACCCAUAAAACAACUGCAGUGAGGGGCACCAUUUAGCUCAGUCAGUAUAGUACAUGCCCGAAGUAAAGAGUUAAACCCCUAAUGCAUUGCCCAGAGGUUUGAUUCUCAUCAUUUUUAGCCCUUUGAUGCACCUCCAACCCACACUUUCUCCUCCCUUUUUUUCCUUUUUCUCUUCAGCUGUAUCAUCAAAAGGCUCCCAAACACUGUAAGGAAUAGCAUCCACUGCAAUGAUAUUUGGGAUCUUUUUGAUCAUAGAGGUUACAGUAUGUUGAAGUCUGUGUUGCGACUUGCAUGUUGGCGUUACAUCAUCAGAUGAGUUUGCUUUGUAAGGCCUGACUGUCAGUAUGUGGGCACCGUCCUUGGAUUUGCUUUUCAGUUUAUUAAACUCUUUUCUUCUCUUAGUUGAAUUAGUCAUCCUCCAGUGACUGUGCUUUUGUCUUACCCUAGUGGCCGUUUUCCAGGGGCUUGCUGGUACCAAUUGGCUGGCUUCAGCUCUGCUCAACUGCGACGGCCAAUGGCAUCAUUAAAUUGCUGCACAAACAGCUGAAGGCAGACAAAUCAGAAUGCUGCUGUGCAAGGACAGCAUUUGUGGAUGUUCACGUUGUUGAUGAGUGAGGAUUGCUUUUUUUUUUUUCAUCUCCUCGAUCCGUAGGGCUGCCCAGAGGCUCAUCGCUUCAAAAUGAGACCCUCAGUCACUUUGCUGGACCUGGUAUUGUGUGCACUUUAGCACUGUCAGUUUCAACAGCUGCUUGCUCAUUCAAUAUAGCCUGUUCUAAAUAAACUCAGAUUUUAUUUGUUGUCACCUCUGUCAUAAAUGUAGAUUGUUGAAUUUGUGCAGAUAGACAAUGAAUGAUAAUUCCUGCAUUAAACAAUUCAUGCAGUCAGCCUUACAUCUCAGGAUUUCUUCAAGUUUCCUGCCUUUAUCCUCUAUCAUUGAAGUCUGGUAAUGGUACUGACAGUUAGUAACAUGAAGAGAAGGAGAAUAACUGACUGAGCUGUUGUUACAGUCAUCUGUCGAUACACUUCAGCAAUAUUAGCACUCCAGCAUCCUCUACCUGUUUGUUCUGCCUGGACUGUUUGGCGGGGAACCUUUCCUGCUGACAUUUGUGGGGCAAACACACAGUUUUCUCAGUCAGCAAAAGGGAAACUCUUUGAUAUGUGUGCUGCCUAUGUUGGCAUGGCUCUCUAAACUGUUGGUGUUAAUUUUUUGCCGUUUCUCCCAUGUGGUCAGUUUGGUAUCUUAGUUUGGUCUGGUGUCUUUGAAGUUGUUGGUGGGGCCUUCUAGUCUGUUCAAAUCUGCUUUUUACUUAGCUCCAAGGCUUCUCAUGGUCUAUUUUUACAAGUGGGUCACCAUUUUGCUUGUCUGUAGCAGUGAUCCAUGGGUGGUUAUAAUGCAUUAUGAAACACUGGUUAUGACUUUUCCAGCGAGAGUCUGAACUCGCCGUCUUCAGGUGCUCGCAGACGGCUGAAGGUCUCCGCACUCCUUUUGCAACAAUCACUGGCGCUGGAGAUGAUAGUUGCCAAGAGACUCAUUUUGAGAGAAUGGAAGCCCCCCCAACUCCCCCUUUGGAAAUGGAUUUCUAAUAUGGUGUCAGUCAUACAAAUGGAAAGACUCAGAUUUCAAAGGUCUGACUCAACAAGAACGUUUUCAGCAAUUUAGGGCCAUUUCUCGCCUCCGUGGAUGAGGCGGACUAGGGCUGAAAACACACUUUAUUAAUCUUUCUGCUGCACUGUUGACAGCCUUGUACCACCAACUUGACCAUUUGCUUUUUCUUUUUUAAAGAUUAUUAGCAUUUUACUAUUUUAUUUUUAUACAUGCACAAUCCUAAUUGUUGUCUGGUUUAGAAAUAUCAUUGAGAACAGCAGAUCUUUAACACAAAAAUACUCUAGGGGGGAAAAAUAAGGAUAUCCCAAAACACAGACCUCAAAAAUAUAAAAGACACUAUUUGAAAAAACUCUUUAGGGCAUGUUUGUCCUUUUGAGGAGUAGCAUGGCAGUCUUCAGACACUCUUGUUGAAGGACGUUUGAUCAGACAGUGCGCAAUACAGAGUGUUUAAAAGUCCCUAUAAAGUGUCUAAUUAGGGGUUCACUGCAUUUCUUAUGGUGUGUGGAUAAAAAUACUUAUUUUUGAACAUAUGUUACAAAAAAGUUUGCUGUCAAAUCAGUUGUUUCCUUUCUCUAUCAUGAUUCACAUGCACACAACACAACCACAGUAGCUACUUCAGCCAUAGAGCCCCAAACCUCACAAAAAGUGUUUUUAAAUUUCUACUUUUCAGUUUCUCAACCACCAACACGUACACUGCUCACUUAUCUACAGGCCUGCCAUUGGUGUUGAGCUUAAUGAUCCCAAGGGUAAUGUAAUUCCCUAACAGUGUACAAUUCAUCUAAAUAUAUGUAAUGAGAAGGUGUAACUGGAAACAUAACCAUUUUUAUUGCUUUGUCUGCCUUUUACUAUGAGCAGGCACAAAGGUGUAAUUCAUUUUUAUGGGAAACACAGAUGACAGGUAUUGUUCAGAACAAUUUCCCAGCACAAGCAAAAAGCCAUCUCUUGCUAAAAAACUCAAAAACCCUCUGUGGGUAAAACGAUCAUCCUAAUUGAAGAAAAUUCACUGAUGAUGACGGUUUUUUUUAAACACAAGGUGACAAAUGAUAUUCAUAUUUAGAUUACAGGUUGUAAAAAUAUCUAUUAGAUGACUGUAUGUUCCUAAAACUGCAAACUUAACCUGACUAUAUCUGAAAUAUCCUGAAUGAACUCUGCCGCCCUUGUGUGAAUUAUUAGAAAGGAAAAUUUUGCAUAUUUGAAAAAGUUUUGAUGACACAUUACUUCAGUGUGACCACCAUUACUUUUGUAGUCAUAGAACAUGCCGUUCAGGCCUUGAUAAGUGUGUCUUAUCAGCAUCUUAGAGGCUUGGGAGCUCCAAGACCUUUCCACCUCCUUAGUUCAUGAAAGCUUUUAGUUACAGGAAGUUAGCAGAAUAAUGCUGCCCCCUCAAUUUAUCAAUUUAUCUACCGAGUGAUGGUAAAUGACUUGAUGACUUAAGCAUGUUUAAUUUAACUAUUUAAAGUUUUUACCACACAGAACCUCACUACUUGUAAGUCUAAGAGGCUACUUGCUUGUUGGCAGCAUAUGGCUUGGCUUUCUGGCAGUAUCUACAGCAAUUUAGCGAGGACACAUGCAUGUCCUGCUCAAGAAUAGAAUCUGUUUAGUUAACUUUCGUGGAUCUCAACACAUGGCUUUAAAGAAAUGAAGAAUAUAUUAUCAGAGUUAGGUCAAACAAUAAUUGCUUGAGCAUGUUACCAGGAUUGCGAACAGUGCCCUCACUAAUAAGAAGAAUCUCUAUUCUCUGAUGUGCCUCUGUAAGACAUUGUUCCUCACCUCAAAGUUGGCAACGCGUUGAAAAAAAUAAGUGUGCUGGACAAAUAUUCUGAGGCUUUGUAACUGAAUAAAUCAACAUUUUUAAAGUGCUGUUGAGAGCAAUUUUUACAGUUUUAUUUUAAUUUUCACAGGUAACAGAGGUGUUCCUUGAAUCUUUUCACAGCACAGAAAGGUUCUGAGAAAAUUAGGUUUUGGUUUCCCUGGAUUUUAUCAUUAAACUGUCAGUCAGUGUCAUUAACUUCAUUUAGCAGUACUGUGCAAUUAACUUGAUUCCUGUAAUUUUUGCUACUGCUGGUUUUCAACUCCAUACAGAGUACCUUUAACUAAAGAAAACGUGGAGUUCUGCUUUGAGAGAAGUUUAAUAGAUGGAUAACUAGUGUAUGGAGAACCACACAGGUAUCAAUAUGAGUGGGCUAUGAAGGAAUAUAAUAUUACUCAGGUGCAGAAAUAAACUUGUGAUAAUUCAGUGCAUUACAAAUGUAACUGUGUUAUUGUUGUUUUUGCUCCUCUAAUGUAACUUAGUGCAGAAACCAAAGACUGUAUAUAGAAUGGACACCGUCAGCCUCCUCGCUGAAUGAAGCCACCGCGAAAACAGCAACCUCCAGUGAUGGGCUACGGUUUAGGUCAUAAAUCCCACCUCCUCAAGCAAUCCCUAUAGCGCUGUGGACAAACUCUAGAAAUUUAUAACACAGAAUAUAAUUUUUUCUCCCCCUGGUUGCGAUGUUGACAUGUAGUUACUGUAAGACUGGUUUGUGCUCAAGUCCUCUUUUUUCUGUGCAGCUCCAUUUUUAAAAUUUAUUAGGGGGUUCAUGUUUUCUAUGAUUGACACUUGAUACAGCCUAUGAGCGUACAAAGAUUGUGUCGCUUAACCAAGGGAUACGCUGUUUGAGCAGAGCGUCAUCACAGCGACUCUCCCGCUGAAUGCAUACAAUGCCACUGCACAAGUGGUGGUAUGCGUACAACCAGGGCUUGACGCUAACUUUUUUCGCAAGGGGCACAUGUGCUCCAAAGUUGAAAAAGUAAGGAGCACACAAAGAAAUUUAGGGGCACAAUGAAAAUUAAUCAAAAAAUAUUUGUCUUAUUGGUCGACAUAAGUGCUAUUAUUUGAAAUCAAUUUUAGGUCAAUUGGUCACAUGACAUUGAAACUAUCGAAGGAAAACAGCCUUUUCUGAGAACAUCAACUGGUAAUUUAUUCAUGGUCCCUUAUUCAGCACCCGACGUUGACACUGAGGGUGCCGAGUAGAUUUAACCGCACGGCUGUUGUUAUUCCCGGUUUUGGAGAGUGCGAAGACAUCUGUAGAUCCGCUGUGAAUGUCCGUCGAGUAUCCAACCUAAAACUUACUUCACUGAGGUAAUUACAUGAAAAAACAUUUGUUGCCUCUGCAAAUUUUUAUUAUGUGCACAUGUGCCCCUAAAUACAUUUUACAAAUCGCACACAUCUAUUAUUAGUCGCAAAUGCGAGUGAAAUGGUCGCACUGUUGAGACCUGCGUAUAACGCUACUAAGCAAGUGGUGGUUUCAGGAAGUGGAGAAAAUCCUGGAAAUACUAAGAGCAAAUCGGCUUCAAAUUUGUAUAAUGAUGGAAGGCGGAGCCAAGUUGUCCAUCGUAUAUACAGUCUAUGGCAACAACUCCUGAAGACUAGAGAACUAUUACCUUUUUUGACUUGUAUUAAAAUUAAGGUGAAUUUAACGUAGCAGGCUAAUAAAGAAAAAAAAAAUAGAUUGUGAACUAGUGACAGGUCAGACAUGUUACACCUAGACUGGCUUUUACGUCUUUGUGAAAGACUCUGUACAAGACAGACUUCCAUUCCUAUAUUUUAAUGGAAAUGUUUAAGUUUAUCACUUUAAUUAGACAGUGUUUAAAAGUCUCUUUCGUAUAUAUACUACACGCUCUUACCUUUGGUUAUGCCAUAAAUCAUAGAUACAUUUAAUACAAGUGUUUCAUUUCUUGCACAUUGCAGUUUGCGUUUGCACAUAAGUCCAACAAAUCCCAUUAAAACAAAAGAUGUUGAAAGUUAAUAGAGAAUAUUAUCAUCUAUGGUUUGUCACAGCAUUCUUGUUAGACUUUAUGCUCUGGUGGCUUUCAAAGCUCUUAUGAAUUAAUAUUGCAGUGGCAUCAUAACCAUUUCAACAAGCUCCCUCUUACACAUUAACUCCACUAAAAUAUGAACUGAAUAAUCAUUUGUAGUACAUUCAGUUUUUGGAAUUGGUAUUAGAUGCAAACAUUGGAUCAUUUUCCAGUGUUUCUGCUGGUUUUACAUCGCUCUGUGAAAACAAUCAGAUCCACACCAACUGAGAAAGAAGCCUGUCUCCAAUAUCAAAAGUCAUUCAAGAGUGAUGCUGAUGAAUCAUGGCAACUACGCUGUUUAAAACUCAUGUUUAUCAGCAGAUAUUAUUUCGUCUCAAAAGAUUAGUCGCUCUUACAGUCAGACACAAUUCAAAAUUACAUAAACAGCCUUUUUAUAAUACUUGUCCAGCCCUCAAUCUGCCUCUUUAUUAUGGUUGUACUUCAGCUACAUACAGUCCAUCUUUUUCACAGUGGUAGAGGUAACACAGGUGAACAAACUCCACUAAAAACAUUAAUGGUUUUGAGACGACAUAAGAGGCACACCACUGAGUUUCUAACCAAACAACCUUCCUGAGGACUGAUUUUGUUAGACCUCAGGAAAAUAGAAUAAUGAGUUGUGGCAGCAAGCUGUGAGUAAUUGGGACUGAUUCUGGGAUUUUUGAAGCUGAGUACUGGAGGGAGUGAAAGUGUUAGGUACAAACAGUUUUUCAUGGGAUACGUCCUUUUGAUGGGUUGGUUACUCAUGCCUCAGUGCCCACAAAAAAUAGAAAAGUCCUCAGAAAAACGGCUGCAUGCUAAUGAUGCAUCAGACUCUGUCAACUUUUUUCUGUUUGUUUUUAUCCUCUAUGAAGCACAUUGUGAUUGCGCUUGUAUAGAAUGUGCUAUACAAAAAAAUUAAGCUGGAUUGGAUUGAAUUCAACAGCACUGACGACUGUGAAGUCCAUCAAAUGUGUGUUUUAUAAUUAUAAAACAGUCUGGCAAGUAGACAAGAAAUGUUAAUGGCAGCGGCUGAACUGUGUGUUCAUAGAGAAAUUCACAGAGAAUUCAUUAGUGAGUGUCAGUGUGCCCGGUCUUGCAUCAUGAGCACAAACUAGAUGAAAGCUGGUCCUCUGCAAGGGAAAAAAAGAAAGUAUAAACUCUGGAUCAUUUGGAGUCACUUCCCAUCUUAACUUUUCUGAGAAAGGCUCUCUGUUUGGGUCUGACUCUGGGGACAGAAAGCAGACCAGCACCAGAUGACCAAAGCAAUCUGGAUAGUUCAUACUGAACUAGGAGGUCACUGAUGUAAUUUGGAUCUAAACCAUUCAGCACUUCAUAAACCAGCAGCAGUAUUUUAAAAUAAAGUCUCUGACAAACGGAACCAGUUUAAAGGCCUCAAGACUGGACUGGUGUGAUUAAGAAAACUGUAGAGACACUGUUACGCUUAUCAAGUCAACUAAAGAUAAAUGCAUGGACCAGUUUUUCCAGAUCCUGCCGCGAUGUAAAAUCUUUUAAUUCUGGAAAUAUUCUUCAGGUGGUAGUAGGCCGACUUUGUAGUUGUUUUUAUGUGUUUUUUUUUUUAAAUCCAGUCUUUGUUCAGCUGAAAAAACUACUCAUGAAUUUAUUCAAGGUGCUUAGUCAGGGACUGCAGGUGGUCAUGACAUUGUUAUGUAUAACUGUGUGUCGUCUGCAUAGUUAUAGUAACAGAACAAACAUGAAAUGCAUUGGAAAAAAUACUUGUCACAUUAUGUAGACAUUGUAAACAAACCGUGGCCUUUAUUUUCUGGUUAACUCACGAUUGCUGCAAAACUUUGGUGAAACUCCACCCACCUUGUAAAGCAGGCAAAAGUUGUUUUCAUGGAUUCAUCCAACAAUGCUGAACACAGGGGUUUGUUAUUUUUUUUGCUAUCCUUCAGGUUUUGUACAUUUUGGUGAAGAGGGACAAUCCUAUUACCUGCGCAAAGCUCUGCGCACAUUCAGCACCCCCUACUGAUAUAGCACUGUUACGCCUAUGCUUAUUCCGCGGUACAAUUGCAAUGCUACAGCACCAAAGGUCAGCAUUCUCCCAGUGGGGAAGAACACUGUCAAAUAAAGACAGGUUUUAACGGGAUAUAGCCAUUUUUCCCUCAGCAGUGUGUAAAUCUCUCCAACAAAAUCUGGCUGUGCUGUGGCAUUUUUAAAAUCCUUGACUGAAACCAGUGUUCCUUUUGUGUUUUAAAGCCUUUGUGUUGUGGCCUACAUACUGAUUGUUGAGAUUUGAAACCCUCCCAAAGUAUGCUGCAAAGGUCUUACUGGAAAAUGGGGCGCUGUCUACAAGAUAUUGGCAAAACAGUUGUUUCAAUCAGCAUUUUAAUCUCAUUCAGGCGAAUUCAGGAGAACUUUUUUUGAUGCAAGAUGCUCGAGAACUCUUGGGGCUAACUGUUGCAGUAUACUGUUUAAAUGUGAAAGUCUGCAGUUAGAAAAAGGGUAGGAAAGGCUGACGUGGGUCUGACCUUUCAGUAGAUUUCUGAACACGAAGAGUUGUUGCCAAAGUUUGCAACACAAGAGCAACUCUAAACAUGCAGCUCUCAGCUACAUGAUUGAAAAUUAAUGGAAGAUGAAGUUGUACAAAGUUUCUGCCUCAUGAAAAAUGGUCUUGUUUGUCCUCUAAAAAAUAAAUGGAUGUUUGAAACAGUCAUCUUUAACUAUUGAUGUACUUUCCCAAGCAUGUUCAGUCGCUCCUGUUUGUUUCUUGGUUCUUUCUGGAGAUGCAUGUUACAUUAUUUUACUUAUUUUACUGUACUUGCUCAAAACAACCCAGCCGUUGGUUCCCUUGAAAUUAGUCCUAACUAUACCUCCAUCCUUUCAUUGUCUCGCUAAACUCAGACUGAGACAAACAGCCUUUGAAGUCUCUGCCUUCAAGGCUCUGCGAUCGUAAUGAAACUGUACAGCAUUGUCUCAGCACCAAAUGUUUGGCAUGACGGAACGCAAAACUGGUUCCGGUCGAGGUCUGUUGUCUUCUCCUUCCUCUCCUUUCAAAGCUUUUGGUGUCUUUUUUUGUUUCCCAAGGGAAUUGCAGAUUUUCUGUCACUGAGCCCAACAGCUUUCAGGCUCAUCAAUAAUUUAGCGCCUGUUGCCUUCGGGGAACUCCUGCGAAAUUAUGAUGAUGAAUGCAAUCAGGGAACAUGAAAUAUAAACGUAUAAAUCUGUGUUUUUCAUUUGAGUUUAAUCAUUUUUUUUCUCAUCAGGAGUUGGAAUCCAAAGAUUGAUGACAUACUGAGAAGAAAUUUAAUGCUUUCCAGUACUCGGCACAAAAAUGCACACUCACUAAAAGCAUUUUGUAAGUAAAGGGAGCCCUAUGCAGGGAUUACAGAGGCCCUUCUUGUUUAUAGUGGGUAAAUACCCCUGUGAAGUAGCAAUUUUUCCACCAUUCUCCUUGGCUGCUCUGAGUCUUUCAUAAUGAAUAAGCAUGAAUGUUUUAGGACUGAUAACUAGUCCAACAUGCAGCCAAACAGGAACAUUGUUUUUGCCUCUCAUUGAAAUUUUAUAAGAAGACUAAAAGAUGAGCCUUCCAUGCACUGUAUGGAUUAUAUUGAAACACUAAAUAACAUUCAGAGCACAGUUUUGGACAUUUGUUUUCUGGGUAUGACUGGAGAACGCAAUAUGGUAAAAGUUCCCUGUGUUUAUUUAUGAUAAUAAUUAAGGGUGCAGUUGGAAUGGCAUCAGUGAAAAACAAGUUUGAAGCUGAGAAGAGUGCAUCCUGCCUCAUUGUGUGUGUCAUCUGGGGAAAAGAAAGGAGGAAAAGAGUGUAGCGUGAAAAAGUCCUCAAACCCUAACAGUGUAACAAGGUGCACUCAAAAGAAGAGUCGAAAUUCAAGCAUAGAAAGGGAUCUUAUGUAACCCCCCCCCCACCCCCAGUGCUUUCACUCAACAAGAUGCUUAAAAGUCAAGAUGGGGAGUCUAUUGUAGGGUUCAGAGAUCUAUCUGUAUUAUCAAUGCUGAUGGCCAUAUUAAACUUAAAGGGGUAGUGUGUAGUAAUUUUUGAAACGCAAUUGAAUCGAUCACAGUCUGUGGUCAGGACCAGGAAAUGUUCAGAGUUUCAGCUUUAUGUAGGCUGACAAGCACAGGCCGACAGUACUUAAUGCCUGAUGAUGGUUUUAUGUGAACAGUUAGGACCAUAGACUGUAUAUACUAUGUAUGUGCUAUGGACUAUUGGCUCCGCCCUCCAUCAAAAUACGAUAUUCAAGCGGAAGUGCUUUCAGUAUUUCCUGGAUUUUCUCCACUUCCUGGAACCACCACUUGCGCAGUAGCAUUGUUCGCACUCCACUACUUACGUAGUAGCAUUGCACGUAUUUGGCAGGAGAGUUGCAGAGAGUUACUGUGAUGACACUCAGCUCAAACAGCGUAUCCCCCAGGUGAGGGAUGCAAUCUUUGUAUGCCCAUAGGCUGUAUCAAGUGUCAAUCAUAGAAAACAUGAACCCCCUAAUAAAUUGUAAAAAUGGAGCUGAACAGAAAGAAGAGGACUUGAGCACAAACCAGUCUUACAGUAACUACAUGUCAACAUCGCAACUGGGGGAAGAAAAAAUUAUAUUCUGUGUGAUUAAUGUCUAAAGUUUGUCCACAACUCCAUAGGGAUUGCUGGAGGAGGUGGGAUUUAUGACUGAUACUGCAGCCUGUCACCAGAGGGUGCUGUUUUCGUGAUGGCUUCACUCAGCGAGGAGGCAGAUGGCGUCCAUUCUGUAUACAGCCUAUGGUUACAACCUGCAGCUGAACUGUAUUUAGGUAGAAACAUUUGGAACAUUAAUGUUACUAAAGCCACAAAACAAAACUAACCAGAUUUAGUAACAUACUGUACGCAGUUAUAGUGUAUCUGUAUUCAAAGGUAUACUAUACUAUACUAUACUAUACUAUACUAUACUAUACUAUACUAUACUAUACGUAAAGCCUGUUGUAAGGCACACAUUGCAUUUACAAUGAUCAAACAGUAUUUCCAUUUGCCUAAAACUCUACUUUCCUAUUGUGUCAGUUCAUGAAAACUCACUUUGUACAUUUUUAAACUAUUCAGAGCAACCAAUUACAAGAUUUUGUAUCUUGGGUGUGCAAGAUAGAAAAAACGCACACAGGGCCUAACAAACAAUGUCAAAGAGACCCUCUUUUUAUGUGAAAUUGCUUUUGUCAGCCUUUAAUUACCUGGGCUGAUUGUUUCGGUUACCUCUGUGGACAAUAGAGCUCCUGUUGGAAUCAUCAUAAAGGAUUCCUUAUCCACAGAGCUUCACAUAAACAGUGACGAUGGUUUGUUUUUUACCUCCAGAAAAGAGCUCAAAAAGGAAAGUGAAGCCUCAAAUUAAAGACUCCAUAUUGAGAGUUUUUAGACUUUUGUUCUUGGGGAAUUUAUCGAAAAAAAAAGCUCCUGAAUCAAAAGGAAACGAAAAAGUAAAAAGGUGUCAUGCUGUUAAACUAUGCAGUUCACAAAGACUCUGACAAAGAGGUGUUGGCUCACCUCUGUGGGUGUUUUGAGCAUUUAUGCCGUCUUUGCUGGAUUACGCCGCAUCUACUCCAUCUACUCCAGCUCAUGCUUUUUUUAGUCUCAACACUGCCCCUGGUGCCCUCAAAACUUGUUUGUAACAUCAAGUCAUGACAUACAGCAACAUAUACCACCUAAUCAAUAAGAAUCACAGUAAAAAACAUUGUAAAUGAAUUGCAGGUGCAGGUAGGAGGGAUGGAAUAUACUGUCUUCUGACAUACAGUGCAUGGUGUGAUUUGAGCUGAGUUAUGGAGGCAUGUGUGGUUGCCAGAAGCCAUGGCAAAAUGCCAGCACAUUAGGUUCAUCAUAAAUCCCACCUCUUUGUACAGUGAAUCUGUGUUCGUAUAGAAUAUAUACAGGGGAUAAAAAUGCUUUAUUUGACUCUUGAUAUUUUGUAUUUUAACUAUUAUAGACAUGUGUGCUUUGAAUAGCUUUGCUGUUUUGAAUUAUUGAGAAUAAAUGCACCACAGAAGGAAGUAGCUUCAGGCGGGACAUUUCAAAGGUAGGAACAUAUAUUCUUUUCCAGGAGUUAAAUCAACAACACUGAAGUAACUUUCCUCCCACAGCAAGCCUAUGACCCCUAUAGAUAAGUCAUCACUGACAGUAACUUAGGACAUGACAGGAGAGUAUGAGGUGAAAAAGUGUUGCAGGGUCAGGUGACCCAGCAGCCCCCACAUGUACCAUGUUGUCAUGUUCACUGACCGUUGUGUCACAUUAAGGGUUCAGUGGUGAGAGAGCAGAAAGAGGAAAGGUGAAGAUUUCAAGACGACCAGGGACCACUGUACCGUACUGACACGAGAGAGAAGGUCCCAGUGAGUGUGUGUUGGUAUGCGUGGGUGUGCAGCCACAUACAGUCAAGUGUGAGACCGGUGGUAAUUUAGCAGUUCUCAGCAGGUUGUCCUCUGGGAAGAGCUAAUAUGAGCAGUGGGUUGUUAUGUGUAGGUGUGUGCGUGCGUGUGUGUUGUUCCCUGUUUGUGUGUGCUUUCGUGCUUGGCAGCGUUUUAUCUCAUAGCCAGGAAUCUGCUGACCUUGGCAAACCAAAGAUUUCAUCCCGGUGAUGUCUCAUCCCUCCCUUCUACUCCUCUUUCUCCUCCUGCCCUCGCCCUAACUCCACCCAAAUCCCCUUCUGAGACAGUUUUAUCCUCUUCUUUGUGAGAAGGAGAGCCAAAAUGACCAAAGAGAUUCAGCUUCAAUAGCUUUUUUUAUCUGAAUAAUUUGCCAAAAGGUUGUAAAUAAAACAGACGGCACAGAACGGUGAUUAGAUAUUGCAAACAGUAAGCAAAUAUCCAAUCAUCAGGAGGACUUAAAAUCUCUUUUGCCCGUUUGACUUUGCUCGUCAUCCUCAUUUCUGCUGGCUCAUACCUUUCAGGCUAAAGCUAGGCAGAGAUAUCAUUAUUUUAAAACAGUGCGAUGCAGUGACUGGCAGAUUGAAGUUUGUUUUCAGCCCUUGUUAUUUUUCUCUUCCCUUCAAACUCUCUCUACUAAAAUGUCACACUCAGAACAGAAGGAACUAUGAAAGCUAAGAUCUUUACUAUAAAAACAGGCACGCAAACUAGCGCUGCAUCAUUGUUGGAUUUAUAAAGCGUUUUCAUAACGAUAGUAAAGCGUAAAUUCUUUUAUUGUUGAAUCUCAUGACAGAGAGGAGUUUUGAAUGCUGCAGCACUGCCGCAUGUGUCACAGUAUUCAAAGUGCUUCAAACUGACAGUAGUAGAAGCCACCCAGCGCUGCUGCCAGUGUUCCUCUGGGAAAACAACUGGCAAACAAUACAAUGGAUAUGACACAAGUGCUUUUUUAUGAUGUUUGUAGAGAGCCUAUACAUGUGCAUCUGCACACCAACUAUGUAGGACAGACCUGCUUUUAAAAGUGGACAGAUGAGUUUUAUGCAGCAUAAUAUCAGACCGAUCAUCUUUGUAACCAGAAUAGUUCAGCACUAAACAUCAAUCGGGCUGGUUGUUGCUCAGCCGUAGUGUCUGUUGUCUCUAUUGGAAAGUUAAAAUGCAUGAGUGCCCUUGGGUAAGACACUGGACGUCAAACUCCUCCAGGUGACACAUUCAGCAUUGUGUAGAUGCUCAUGGAUGGACUUAGUUAAACUGACCGGCCCCUACCAGAACAUUCUGUGACAUCAGUGUGGUGAGAGAGGGAAUAUUAAGAGUAGCAUGAACGCACUCUGAGAUAUCGGAAACACAAGUGUUGUAUUAAUACAAGUCAAUGUUCCAGUUAAUUAAUUUAUGUAUAAAUAUUUAAUACAUCGCCCCAUCUUUUAUGGAUGUUUUAUAUAUGGCGUUUCAUGAAUGGUUUUAUGAUUAGUACUGGGUGAAUAUGUUUCAGUAUGAAUGUUGUGUCUUUAUUAAAGCAGUCCGUGAGGAUAAUUGCAAUGUCAGUGUAUUUCAAUUCAACGAGAGUAAAGGCUGUUACCUAUCCAUCUAAGUCCAUUCAUGUGAAGACUUUAGGAAUCAAAUCCGGCUCUUUUAUUUUCCUCCAAACACUGACUCUGAUAUUUUUGUCUUAAACAACGUAUAAAGGUAAAGAAAAGAUAAGAAAAACAGAUAAGAAGGAAACUCAAUGUGGUUUACAUUAAUAUUAAUCCAUAUCCUUAUAUCUGUAUCUAUGUAUCAAUGUAUAUACUGUAUGUAUAUAGAAAAUGUGUAUUUCAACACAGAAGUCUUAAUUAGAUCCCCAUUAGUGCUUGCGUAAGCACUGGCUAUUCAUCCCAGGGUUCAACAGACAUACAAUCAUUCACAAUUACACAUUAUAUAACGUAAAAAAACAAUCAAAGCCACAAACAAAAUCUAACACUGAAAAUAGCCCCCUACAUAAAGGUUAGAGAACAAAAUGUUAAAGGACUGAAACAAACUGUCCGUUUUUUCAACAGACAUUGUGCAGAAAACAAUGAAUUUCCUUGAGACAGAACAAAGGUAGGCAUAUGUCUGUAUUGGUGCUAAUGGGAGCAAUGAGAGCCUGUCAAAUGUAUUGAAUCAUGUUUUCAUAUCUAAAAGACCUUUGUUGCGUCUCACAGGAUAUUAUCUUGCAAAACAUCAAUAAACGAACUGAAAUCAUGUUCUGUGAGAAGCUGCACAGUGUUCAUAAUGUUCUCUGUCUCUUGGAAGCAUUAAUUUGAGUUAUGUAAAACCCAGGAUUUACAUCUGUGUUCUCUGUGUCCGAGUUGCUGCUCCUAUGCAUGUCGAGUACAGUAAAUGAAUGACUACCAUCCCAAAUGUUUCUGAUGUGUUUGUCUGGUGAAAUAACAUGUCAUCAUUGUGUGUCCUUUCUGAAAAAAAAAACUCUCUUUUUGUGUUACAGACUGAAUCUGUGUAGGCACCUUUCCGCUCUCCUGGCAGGAAGCAGAUAUGUUCAUUACCUUUGUUCCAGUAUGGUAAGUUAAUCUUUCGUGUUUCUAUUAGCGUGAAUAAUUGUGCUCCUCAGGAAAAACAAACGGCACGUGCCUCAUACCUCACUUGUGAUAGAUUUUGAUAACCACGUGCUGGUGUUAAAUACACUGAGUGGUAUAAACAGACCAGACCCUACCUGCUUUAAAGAAACCGUGCUCUAGAAAUAAUAAUGCCUCUCAUUGAAAGAGAAGGACGUGAAAACCUGGAAAUUAUACAUAAAGAUGAUCUGACAAUUUCUUGCUUUCCCCUUUCUGUUUAUUUUUGCACAUUUUGACAGGAAGAGGGGCAAUUCGGACAGUAUUGGGCCUGUGACAUGAUCAAAAAAGAGCUCCUGGCAUCCUUGCACUGUCAGAUUUCCUCCUAAGACGGCAGUUUUCGUACAAACUCACCCGCAGGUGCAUAUACAGCGGGUGAAUCCGUGGGUGGCUUUUUUUUUUUUUUUUUAAAUAGGCCAGCUGAACACGCUGUUCAGUUCACAUACAGCUUCAUAAAACCAGCUGACAUGAAAAGAUGAAAAUAUAACAUUGCUUUUAACUUUUUGCCGACUCAGCGUUUCACAAAAAUGUGAUAAAGAAGUAAUGAAUGUUAGUGCUGAGGCUCUGAUGCACAAGCUCACUCUCCCUUUGAAGACUUUUGGACUUCACUUUUCAUUUAGAGCAAUCACAUGCUGCACACAGUCCGCCUGGGUACUGCACUUGUAUUGGAAGUGAUCCUGUAUUUAUGAUUUACAACAAAUGACUGCAAAUGGGUAACUAUUCUGAACUUAGUAAGUAUAUUUGCAGUGAAAGGUUGACCCUUUAUUGCAACACGUCAUUAAUCUUGCAUAACAGUAUUGCACGCAGUGACACAAGACCUCUGGAUUUGAGCUCAGCCUCAAAAUGGAGGCACAAACACUUGCAGCCCCGCGGCCUAAACACGGGUUUACAAGGGUUGGUCAGGGCGAUAGCAGCCCAGAGGCACAAAUCCAGAAUCAUUAAAGCCGUUCUGUUGUACCAAUCCCUGUCAUUGUGCUUAACAUGAUAAGAGCAGCUCACAGCUCCAUGCCAACUACUGUGCCCAUUCAGCAGUCCCAAAUUGUACUGGCAGUGUUAUAGGGGAGGACAUGGCACAGCGGAACGGAGCGCAGCGGAGCAUGACGUGGCCAAUUAUUGCAGAAUCUCUCGUUAAUGAUCUUUUUUUUUUUUUUUUUUUAUCCCAUUUUUAACUGCAAUAAGCAGCAACUACAUUGACUGGUUUUAUUUAAGGCAUGAGCAAGUUGUUUUAUUUUAAUUGCAAAUACAACUAAUCAAAGACAGGGUGGAAAUGUUGCCUGAGGUUUAUGGGGGAUCCAGUAAAAACCUGAUAGCUCUGGGGAGGCUGACGAAAUGGAAGCAGACGUUGCUGUUACUAGCCCGGGGUUUGCUGGUAUUGUGAUGACAGUAAAAAAAAUGAUGUAUACCAACUGUAGCUUUUCAGGCAGCUUGUGAGUCUUUGAAGGCUUAUGAAAUGCUGAGUGUGGAGCACCGAAUGCAGGUGCAAAUCAUAAUCUUUCACCUUCACAGAGGAAGAAGUGCUGUUACUGCGGUCUUGGAACGGGGAGGUUAGAUUAUAGGAGUCAAAAGAAAAGACUGACUGUGGGGUUUGAUCAAAACUCUUAAAAGGGGAAUGUCAACAGGACAGUUGCAAUCAUCUCAGAAUAAUGUAUUACUACCAAGGUGCAUGCAUUUCACGUCACAAAUGUGAGGUGUCCCGUUACAGCUCAAACAAAGAGAACUCAUCAAUGCAUAAAAAUGUUUCUCUUCAAGUAGGGCUGGGCAAUAAAACUAUAAUGAUAUAUAUCAAAAAUUAAUUUACCUCAAUACAGAUAUGAUAAAAAGUCAAUAUGCUUUUCAAUAGUCUGCAUUCUGCCAUGUUUUGAUAGACUUUACGAAUAGCCAAUGAAAAAGAGAGUUGCUCUGAGUCUAAACCAAUCAUGUGCUGAAUUGGAACCAAGUCGACAACAACUGCGUAGUUGCAGACUGCAGCUACACGCAACCAUAGCACGCAACAUGUGAAACCGACAGCACUGUCGGGGAGAAAAAAAGAAAAUGAGUGUUACCCCUGGCAGAAAUUCAGAUGAAGGCUCAACAGAUGACGACAUUGUCGACAAGACUGGCAUGAAAGAUUAAUGAUAUGUAUAUUGAUUUCAACUAAUAUAAAAAAAAUGUAUUGUGAUAAAUUUUUCCCGUAUGGCCCAGCCCUAUCUUCAAGUGAUCAAUGUCCCAGUUGUUUCAGACCCCCAAGUAUCCACCCACACUUCAGUUUUCUGCAUUGAUCCAAGUGGGUCUGCUAGAGUGCCCAUUGUGCAAGUUAAAGUCCCCGUCUUUGUGGGAGACUUGUAGGUGGAAUUAAAGGUGCUUCAAGGCAGUGAGCUGCUGUUGUUUGGCAACAUUGACAUCCUGUGUUUUGAAUUGGUAUCAGCAGGGCGCAAAGCCACUGUUGGCAACCCCUGAUACUCCCAGCCUGCAUGCCACAGGCAGUCACCUUUUUUAAUCUCAUCACACAGCUAAAUAGAGUGCAAUGUGGUUUAAAUUAGAGGAAAUGGUUCACAGUCCCUCUCAAUCAAUAGUGCAUGUUUCUCACCAUUGUUUAAAUGUCCUUUGUCCCAGACUUGGAGGAACAUUUAGCUGGAUUACCUCCUGUAGUAUUUCUGUGGCUGACUUGGUCUCGUGAUAAACUGUGAUGAGCUGUUCGCCUCCUGUUAUACACUAUAGCUGCUGUCAUUGUGUCAAAAACUUCCCAACAGGGUCUUUUGGAGUCUGUUAGUUUUAGAAAAUGAGUUAGCUUACAGGUCAAUCUUAAAACAUGUCUCUAUCAAGCAGAAGUGCAACUUUUUCAAUGAGCUUUGCUCUGGUGAUGUAGGUUUUGUGGUUUUUACAGCAGCCACUUUGAUAAAUCUCGAAAUGUUAUGACACAGACUUCAAAGCUGAGGACAAGAAGCCCUGAAGUUAAGAGGUACUUAAUUGUUUUUUACGGUUUUAUGGAUUUGCAGUGCCGAACACCUGAACUGAAGUGGUUGGGAAACAAAUGGAGGUCAAAAAAAGUUGACACACUUUUAAUUGCUUUUCAGAUUUGAGCACAUAGUUGAAGCGACACACGUACAAAUGAAAUUAUGCAGAACAUAACAAAGGACAUCCUGAACUCCAGGAAUAUAAACAGUAUACAAAACUUUGAGAUGUCGCAACUAACUGGAAAUGCAAAUGUUAACAAAGUCAAGGUGUUGUCUCAUGUAUCGACCAAAUGUUUUAAUAUGAACAGGUGUGCUGUUUUUAUUAAUUAUACAAACUACAGGUGAAUAACUAUUGAAGAAGCAUUUUCAUGGAAGGUGACUCUUGACCUUCAGUAUCAAGCAUCAAAGCAUCAGACUGCUAUAUGUUUGUGAUUAAAUUGUAAAUUCAAAUGUGGUAACUUUAAUUUGGACUGUCAGAUGGUUGGAUCUUCUUCCUUUUUCAAUUCAAAAUGAUUUUGCAAUAACUCAAUGAACAUGCUAAAAGAUGACAGCAUAGUUUGUACUGUCCAGCACUACAUCCAAUCCUCUGACCUGCUUCGCUCACAUACAGUACAAGCAUAUUCAUUGCUUCUUUUCAACCCAGCAUCAUUACGUGUAUUAAAGUCAUUUUAUGAAAGUGGUUCCUUUGAGAGUAUUCUUGUUUUUUUUCAUUUCUCUGACUUGAAUAUGUUAGAGUGGCUUUAAGUCUCGCUCUCACUGCUUUGAAAGAGAAAAAAAUCUGGCUGCAUGUUAGGUACAUAAUAAUAUAUUAUCUCAAAUACAGUGGAGGUUUAUUGUAGCUAUUAAAGUAUUAUUGAGGCUGAACAUCCUCCAGACAAGUCCAUUAACAGUAAUCGUAAAAAUGUUCUUUCCUUGCACUUAAAGUGACGAAAAAAAGAUGAUAUGGAGUUCUGUAAUUUUCAUAUUUACCUCAUGAAAGGCUUAUGAUGCUGAUCCACGCUUCAUGCAUAAUACUGCAAUAUAAGAUGUUGAUUCUCAACCUUAUAAAAUUGCGUCACGUGAUCAACCAAUGUUGUCUGUCAGCCUUGGUCAUGUUUUCUGGCCGCUCUGAAUGGCUUGUUUCGGCUACUUUGCAGUACAUUGCCAAAACAGUGAUGUCAGGUUUUGUCAUCCUGAUACUUUUUUGAAUCAGUGUGUUUUUGAAAGCGGCUUGUAUGGGUUUGUUGUGAUGGAAAAUCAUCUUUUUCCUCCUCUUUAAGGCAAAGGCACUAGAAAAAAGUGGAAAAUGUGGAUGUUUUUUGGGCAACAGCUACAAUGUUUACUGAUGAUCAUCUUGUAAACAAAGGCCAGUAUAAGCUGGAUUUGUGUCCUAGCUUUGCCUGAAACCUGAGGCUGUCACAUCUGUCAUGACCACCAACGAAAGCCCCGAAAACACAAGAUAGGGGUGUCCUGAUACAACUUUUUUUUUUUUUACCUCUGAUACAAUAUCAAUAUUGUAGCCUUCAGUAUUGGCCAAUACUGAUAUUGAUCCGAUAUUGACACAUACUUGCGCAUGACAAGUUUUGCACUCAGUUGCAAUGUUUUUUUGGACUGUAACAAAAAAUGCUGCCACAUGGCUGACAUCACUCCUACUCCUUGCUACUAUGUUCAUACCGUAGUGCACACAUGGGCUAUGCAUGCUCGAUCUGGGCACUGCUACAUAGAGGUGCUAGAGCGGAGUCUUAAAUGGACUGUUUGUAUUGGGGUGCUGAUAUUACAGAUUUUAGACGCAGGCGAUAUAAUCCGAUGUUAGUUUUUUUGUGGAUAUCGCACCAAUAUCUGAUAUCAAUAUCAUAUGGAGACACCCCUACCACAGGGUGUAAGUAACAUUAAAACAGCAAACUAAUGAGCAGCUGGUUUUGGCGCCAGUGGCUAGACUCAGAUGUUUUCUGUAAAGGUCUAACUUCAGGUUGUUCAAUGACUAAAAAGCCGUGCAGAAAGUAGCACCCACGAGCUGUGUCUAAUUUUAUAUCAGUGGAAAAGCAUCCAAAGUGAAGCUUUUCAGGCAGAGGCUGGAUUGUGCUGAAUUAAAAAAAAAAAAAAUUCACAGAUGCCAGUUUAAGAUAAAUAAGGAGAACUGCAAAUCCUGCUGUUCCUCUGCAGGUGUCCUAGACUAACAUACUGAAAGGUGAAAAAAUAAGCCUUUGUAGAUGUUAUAACCACCUUAGAUUUUGACAGCUUAGGUCUGGUUUGAGUAUCUCUUUCAAGAGGACGUGAAGUAAUCAAUAUUAAAAUUCAUAUUGUGAUGUUGUUCACUGACCUUGUACCAUAUGUUUUUCCUUGUUUCACAUCUACAACAGUCUUUCACUUAAGUGUCCCUUUUGUUUCUUGAUGCAUGACACAACUUGUUUUUCUGUUUCUGGAUUGGCAUGAGCGCCUUUGUUCAUUCAGCGGAGACAGAGAUCUCACAUCUUUCUCAGAGAUAGGUUUAAUGAAGCCCUGGCACAAGCAAAAAGGCAGCAGCACAAUACACACGUCUGUCUGCUGUCGUAAUCCUGUCGAAAAGACAACACAUUUUUUUCAUCAAAGUGGAUUUACUUUGUCUGCACUGCUGGGAGGAAAAUACAGCAAAGACUUUAUUGCAACUUCUAUAGUUUGGCCUUUGUUAGCAGAUCAAAGUCAGGAUUAGGUGUGGCUACCUCUAACAAUCAGAACAACAUGACAGGAACACAAAGAAAAUACAUAUAUAUGACGAGGCCUUUAACACAUUUUGAACGUCUUAAACCUCCCAGCCUAUCUCAGAGACCACAUCAAAUCUGUUUGAUGCCACCUGCUGCAUAACAGCUCAUGCUAAGCUGCGCGUUGCCCCAAGCACCUUUCUCACUAAAGUCAUUAUCAUUACCACUUUUCUACCUGUGUUCCACCAGAGGCUCAGCAGCAGCUGUGGGAGGAAGCUGCCACAUUUUGGGCUCCAGACAAGUAACUGUUGGCAGCUUCAUGCCAUGAGAUGAGGAGGUGGUAGAGCAUGACGGUGUGCAUGGGAUGGAAUACAGAUCAUAUAGAAACCUACAUGGGGCUAUGCUUGACUUUUCCACACAGCAUUGAGCAGCAGAUACAAAUACAUCUGGAAUACAGUGUGAAAAGGAGCAUUUAACGAGUAUGUUGAAAACUGAUAUUUUACCCACACUUAAAUCCUCGUCUUGAAAAGUGGUCUCGAAGCUUUUACUUAUAGCAGCAGGAGUGUAUAUUUAACUUUUUUCAAAUCUAAUUUUCGGCUCAUUUGUUUAUCAGUUCUUUUGCACAUCAUCAGCAGCCUGAUAACAGCGUUGCCAAAGAGAUUUAACACAUGAAAGCGCAGUUUGUUCAGAGCAUGUUGGAGCUAUUGAUAGUUGUUUCCAGCAGUAACUUGGGAGUGAAUGAGCAAGAGAAGUGAAUGUCGAUCUCAUCGAUCUGACACAGUGAAAUUUACGUUCACGCUAGCUGUUGUUUUCUCUCAGAUGUUAGAGCAGCUGGUGCUGCCGUGUCUCUGUAUGCCACCGUCAGAGUGCAGCGGGAGUCUCCUGCCUGUUAGGUUGAACGUGGAUUUGAAGAUAGCAAGUAAUGCAUAAAUUUGAGCUCAUGCGAUAAGACGGCGGAGCCACGUUGUGACAGCAUUGGAGCGCUAUGACAGCAUAAUCGAUCAUUGCGGGAGUUGCAGCGGACACGCAGAUGAUGCAUUCUUUGUUUGAACUUUUGAAAUCACCCACCGAGACACAUUUCAACUGUUUGUGUGUCAUCACUGUAUCACUCAUCUGAGGAGAUAUAACAUCUAUUUAUCAGAUUGGAGCAGACUGGCUCAGCUUUUGCAUCUCAUUGUUUUCAUAUUGCAUCAAUUUUAGCUGGGAUUGGGAACUGAUACAUUGUAGGCCAUUUGUCAUGACUAAUCUGUGCUACUUUCAUCACGAGCUCGUGCAGAUCUCUCCAAGUCCCUCCCCUGUCUCCUUAAUGCCAGCUGAUUUGUAUUCCCAGUACAUUUGUCGUUUUGUGUUGCCGCGGCAGUGAGGGGGGUUUGACAGUGAGGACCAAGUGGCUGACAUUUGAUUGACAGUGCAAUGUUCCAGGAGAGAGGCAGGGAAAUUAUCUGAAUUCCAGGGUGAGGAUUAAUCCCUCUCCUGGCGUGCUCCUCAGUAUCUGAGGCUGAGGACAGGGGAGGGAAAGAGUGUUUGAAAAUUAUCAUGGAAGUUUGAGUUAAUUGAAGCACAUUUUUGAGGGUCUAUUAAUGAUGUUGACAGACUCUUGUGGGGCAAGUUGGAUUUAGUCUGAAUGUUGAGCCAAGCGAAUAGUUUGCUCAUCCAGAGAAUAACUCAAAUGGUGUUUUUCUUGGUUUGUGGUAAUAAGCUCACUGUUAAAACUCUUAUUUUGAUGCUUUUGUGAAACAGCCAGUUCUGUGCAGAGUUUAGGAAGAAGAUUUCUGACUGUAAUAAAUAGGAAUGGGGGAAUAUUAAUAUGGCAAUAUAUUCAUUUCCUGGCUUGUUUGAAACAACUAUUAGUAUGCAGGGACUGAUUAACAAUAUUUUAACUGUUAAAAAAUAUGGUGCUCUCAAUAGAUGUUCCUGUGUGUCUGUCCCACUGCAUCACUACUUCCUGACUCCUUAGGGUGGUGCUCAUGACAUGAAUGAGGGAACAGCAGUUAAUUGGCUGAAAAAGACGUUGACAGCUGCAUAAUACCAGAGGAAGACAGUGGGAUGGCAAAAAGCAAGGAAAAAGAGCUGAGAGUCACUUUGAAAAUCAAAAGGAGGAGUAGAGAGAGAAAAGCUAACUCAUCUCUUAUUGCUGAGACAAGAGAAAAAAAAAGGAGAGGAAACCAUGAAACGUGUAGGUAGUAUUUCACUCACCUGCAAUGGAUGGACUACACGUGCUGAAGAACCCUGCAUGAAAAGAACCGCCUGUUUUAUCGACAACGAGUGGAAAAGCUUUCCUGCAAGCUGUACAGUAACAGAGUGCAGAGACUGACAGAGGUGAUGCUCCUGAAGGCUACAGAGGAGUGGAAGCUGACUGAGAAAGAUCCAGCUGUGGUUAUCGACUACAUGGUGAAUACAAAGCUGAUGCAGGUACAGACAUUCAGGUUUACAGACAAAGAACAAGUUUAUAGUUAUAAUGUAAAGCAUAAAUGCAUAUGUAUACAUAUAGAUGAAGUGUUUCUGUUAUUAAGAGUACAUUCUUUUGGGUAAUGUCUGAUUUUUCUACUAGUUUUAUACUUGUUCAGUUGUUCUGUUAAUAUAGUUUACAGACAACGACGUCCUUGUUUUAUAUCCUUGGCGCUAAAACAAACUCAAUUAAUGAGAAUGCAAUAAUCCUACACUUCUAUCCUGAAGUUAAUCAAAUAUGUUCAUCAUGUUAUUACAAUUAUUGUGGGCCAAAUACUGAAUCUUGGAUCAUGAUUGGGAUAAGGAUCAUUCAUUUUCACUGAUACUGGUACCAUUAUCUAGACUUCUUAAUGAUUUGAGUCCUUAUCAAUGCCACUGUUGAGUCAUUUCUGUUAUUGGUGGAAAGACAGAAGAGGCGUUACUGCUGUUGCUGGGCAAAAAAUGAGAAUAACAAAUGAGAACUUUUCUGCAUAUAAAACUGCAGCAGAUGAACUUGUGAACUUGUAACCUGAACCAGUUUGGUGUGCAGUGAUAGUGUUUUGAAUCUACACGUCCCUCCUCUGUUUUUGGACAGGACCUAUGCCAACUAACAGUGCAACUGUGUUUUUAUUUUGGAUUUAUAAAUGACCACCGCUUUAGUUAAAAUCUAUAAAAGGAACUUCAUCAAGCUUUAGGAAACACUCAGCACUCUGCUAGCCGUUUAAUUGGAACGCUCGUAGUGAUUGCAACCAAAAGAAGCACUCACUGCAUUUAACAGACACUGUUCACCUGUCUUACCUAUUCCCUGUUGCUGCCUUUAUUCUUGACAUCCUCAGUUUGAUGUUUUAACAAGAGAGGAAGCAGUUCGCUCAAUGAACUCUACUACAUUGAGCAGCAACACCUUAAGUAAGAUGUAAGGGCAUCUCAGUCAGCCGUCUAACUUCUCAGUCUCUGAAGUCAUUGCUCUGUGUCUCAUUUCCCAGAGUAUUGAUGUCUUUAAGUGAGCUUCCCAAGUGCCAAGAGGGAGAGGAUCCUAUAUAGAUUGCUCUGAGGAUGUUGGGACACAGGUGACUGGCAUCGCUCAAAUAGUAGUCUUCAGGUUGUGGAACAUUUUUCAAGUGAGUUAAUAUUAGUAAUAGAGUUUUUGAAUUAUAAUGUUGGCUGAUUGUGAAUUGCAUAUCGUAACAACUUGGGAAAAUCACAGUACAAUUUGACAAAUUUUUUUCUUCCAAUUGAAGGUCUAACAUCCUAAACGUGACAAUCAUGCAGGAGCACCGAUUUUCUUGCUUCUUUUCAGACUUAGCACACAAAGAGAGAUUAAGCAAACUGCAGGGAUUCACUGGUGGAUCUCUCGUCUACAAAAAGGAUAGGAUUCCUGCUCAGCUGGGGUGAAAUAUAAUUCUACAGCAGAACUUCAUUAAGGAUACAUGGUUUUCUCAAACAAGAUCUAUGGACUCCAAAGUUAGCUUUGUCCACACAAAUGAAAGCUCUAUUUCAAAGAGAAGUAAAAAGCAGAAGGAACAGGAAUAUUGGGUUCCAGCAGAGAAAUGGUUUACAACAAAGGAAAGUUUAAAAAAUGGAAACAAAAGAAGAAUCAAUACUUGUGCUCUGCAACAUGGCCAUGCAGGGAAGUGGAUCUGAUAGAGAGCCUAUGUGGAUAUGUGUAGAGAGUAACUGGAACUAGGAGAAAAAUUGUGUUAUGCUAUCCUCCUCUUAAGAGCAGCAAUGGACUCCUGCCAGCUUUUGCUUUUUCCUCAAGGUCAGCAGUAUUUCAUCUUCAGACCUGUACUGGUGUUUCUCUCAAAUAUCAGAGAAAAUGGACUCUUUAUCGUGAAACUAGAAAGCAACAACAAGAUAUCGUCAGUCUUGUCUUUAACUGGCCACUCUCUGACUGAGGUGCAGCUGUUCAAACACUGAAUACCACCGCAAAGCCAAUAGUUUGAACCAAAGGCUGUGAAAGACGGACCGUAACAUUGAACUUUGGAAAAUUGAGUUUUCCGUCUGUAUAUUAUAAAGUAUUUAUAUGGCGACACUGUCUGCAACUCUGCCUCUGAUUUUGCCUUUUUUUUUUUACAGAGACAUUGUUAGUAUCUCCUCGAUUGUUGCCAUGUUUGUUGUAGUUAUAAACUUUUGACUCAUCCACCUUUUUUAUGCAGCAACUUUUGAGCCUGAAUAGUGCCCCCUUGCUUAACAUGCAGUCAAUCCAAAGCAAAGGACAUGCUGAUCGGCUAUGGUGGCGUAAAUGAUUUGCUCAAGUUCGGAUUUUUAACUCUUACCAACAAGGGAAUGAAGCGAGUAGUGCGUCUAAUGCAUCAUUUGAAUGUGUAAUCAGCUCAAUAUGCACUAUUUGUGCCGCCUCAUUUGUGUCAUCCAUGUUGCCUGAUAAGUCAUGACAGGGAAUUUACUUGCGUGAAAGAUUUUGAGGCCAUCUUUCUGAGAGCAGUUUGGGUUUAACCCAGGGAUUAGGUUUGGGAAUUAAUAAGAUAAAGUUGUAACCAAUAACAUUGAUGAUUGUGCUUAUCUAUCUGUUUCUGAAUUAAUUCCCUUAUCAUUUUUUGUGGCCUAUACUACAUUAAUGGACUCUGAAUGUGGUUUAAAUUGGUAAAUGUAAUGCCAGACAGUUCUUUGUAAGAACUGUCCUUUGACCAUUUGUAGCAUAUUUAAGACCUGAUAAGUUUAGGUUUUCACUUCUUUUUCCAUUCUUUCUACACAAGCACAAAUUUUAAAGGCAAAGAUGUGAGACGAACUCCACCAGGGACGGAGCAAAUGCAGUACCACCUGGUCAGGCCCUCCCUUUGGAUUGAUUUCAAACAACUGCAACUAUUAGUAUGCAGGCACAAUAUGGCAAAGCUCCAAUCUCAAGAAAACAUGUUCUUCCACAACUGGAUAAGCACUUCUAGUGAUUACAGGAGAGACUGGAGAAGAUGUGCUUGGACCGAGAAGCUGGCAGAGUGCUCCAGAGAGUGGAGGCAGCUGGACUGCAGUAAUUAGUCAGUGAAACUCUUCGUUGAUACAGGGCAGCUGACCGCUGGCCUUGAUUGCCUGAAGGAAAGGCAGGGUCUCCUCUCUCUCACAAAUAUGACUGCGAUUAACAUCAGCAAUUACCUGCAGACAUUACACCCCCCUCCCCUCAUUCCGUCUUUUCAUUAAAGAAGAGAAAUUAAUUGCCUGUUAGAUGGAGAUAGCCUCAACCACAUUGUGCUUGUGGUUGUUUACUCAGGCACAGAUUAAUUGUCAAGGCUCACAAGUCAAAAAUGUGCCAUAGUUUCGUAAGUUUUGUUAGAAAUCUAUACCACGUACGUGUCUGUCAUAUAAUUUGUCUUUCCUGGAAAUUGACAGUUUAGAAGUGUUAGAUUUAACACAGGAAAAGCUGCUUCUGUUCUCACUUGAGAUAAAACAGUAUCAUGCAAAUCUCUACAAAGCAAACCCACCAAGACACAGUUCAGGAAGCUGUUUUCUACUUGACCAAAAGGAUAAGAAAAUAUACCAAAAAGCAAAGAAGCAAAACUUCUCUGUUUCAUUAUUACUUUGGAGUAGUUCUCCAAUCUAACAUUCUCAGAGGUAUAACAUUGUCUCUCUGAUCUCGGCAUUUAUACCUGUUGUCAUUCAAGGUUCGGCUAAUGAGCUAACCUCUCAACACCUUCAGAAUUUGUUGAUGUUUACUUCCUCAGGAUUGAAAACAGUUAGGGAGAGGGCUGUAAUGCACAUUAAUGAGCACGUCACAUGGAUGGAAGCUAAUUACAAUGACACGUUUGGGGCCUCAUUUGGAUGGCGGUGUCAGCAGUGACAACCUCCCAGCAAUUUGAGAGCCUGCGUUAGUCUGAAUUACCUUAAAAGCACCUCUGAAAGCACUUCCUCUCUGAAUGUGUACAUUUCUCUCACGGAAUAAAAGCAGAAAAGCUGUACAUUUGAUUUUCAUUCCUUUUACAUGUUGCAGCAGAGAGUUGUGGGGGCUCGUUCCUUUUGAGGUGAGGCAGAAAGGCUUUUUAUCAGCGCCUGUGUGGGCUAACCCUCAGAUUCUUGAGAUCAAGCCAGCAUGUUGGAAAAUCUAGAAGUAAUGGCAUCGUUACCCAGGGUUUUGUUGUUCCUUUUGGUUUUCUAACAGAAAAUCUUAACAGAUUACAGAGACGUCUACCACAUUAUCCUCAUAGAAAGAAGAAGACAACAAGAAUCCUGCUAUCACACCAGGUCAUGUUUUAAUUAGCUGUUACAGAUGCAGAGUAUGCAGUGUGAGCUAUGCGUUUUUAUUGAAUAUGAAUAUAAAUCAUUUUAAAACUUGCCCUUGCUUUUCUGCAGUGACAUCCUGCAAUUUUUAGGCUGUUCAUACUGUGAAAGCAAAAAAUGUGGCAACUUUGGAAUCUAUUAUAAUUUUCUCCUAAUUGUGCCAGCAUUCAACAGAGGAUACUCAGAGAGCCAUACAAGCACUCAACUUGAUGACAGGAACCAAUCUCGGUGUGUCUGACAUUUCAUGUAAUCCGCAGGACACUGACUUUCUCCUGACUUUGGUGAUCCCCUGACUUUUCAUCAGGCAGUACCACGAGGUUGACAUUUCUGUUUUUCAGUAAAAUAUCUGAACAACAAUCAGAAGGACUGCUGUGACAGUUUGUGCAGAGAAGAUAGAUUAAAAUAGUUUUGGUGGACUUCAAGGUCAGGACUCAUAGUGCAAAAUAAAAUCCUGUAGAAGUAAUGAAUUGCCAAACAGCUUCAGUGAAUGAGCAACUAAACAGAAAUGCUGAGCUGUUUGGCACACAUAAACAUGCUGUAACUCAGUCAGCAUGUUGACUCAGUCAUUCUGGCGAUAGCUGCUCAAAGCAGAGAUGUUUCCAAGACCGCAUUCAGUCAGCUGCAUAAGUCCUGUCUAAGCUGUCUUACUCACUUGGAUGAGGCUAGUCUGGUUAUGCAGGUGAGAUAACACUUGGAGGAGGUAUGGCGAGAUAAUCAAGGUCUACUUGUUGGCAAGUAUGCACUGUUUCAACACAAGGCGGAUUCUUGGAUACUGAAAUGAGUAAUUAAUGGACAAAUUGCUCCUCAUUUGGUAGACGUUUUAUUUUUGGCUUUUCACCUUUGGUAGGGCUGCUUGAAAGAGACAGAGACCAAAUAUUGCCAUGGCCAGGAAUCAAUCCUAUGACCAGCCUUAUUAGGACUGCAGCCUCUGAGCAUAGCAAUCUAAACCAGUAUCUCUUUGAUGGCACUUUUGACAAAGUAUCUGCAAGAAGUACAAAAGUGUUUUAACCUGACAUCAAAAGACACCAUCAUUCUGGUACCCAAAGCCAUCCUCUAAUUAUCUAGUACUUAAAUCUUUUUGUAACUUUUGGUAACAGAUUUUGGAGAAAACCCAAUUUUGCUGAAGGUUUGGAAAACUUGCUAUUCAAAUGCAGAGAGAAUUUUCUACUAAAAGCCAGUUGUGGAAACAGGAUUUGUUUAUUCACCUUCAGGGAUGAAUGGCAGGUAGAGAUUGGCAGAGGUGUCCAGUCCACUGAGGAUAGUAAAUCUGGCAAGUAUACAAAAGAAACUCAUAAUUAGAAAAAAAAAAAAGCUUUGAUGGCAUUUAUGAGGAGAAAGAAGAAGGAUGUGUGAAACUGGGAAUACUGAAACAGUGAAGCUUGCAGCUGUUUUUAUAUGAUUUGCCCCAAACUCUUGUCAGACUGUUUGAUUCAAUGCAGCUGUAUCUGAAACGCCAAGGUCGGUUUUGAUCAGUGAGCCAUUAUCCCACAAAAAGAGUUGCCCAAAGCAGUUUAGGAAAAAGUUUUAUGUUCACGGGUCAUACAAACUCUGAUAUGCUUAUGAUUAAUUUAUAGAAAGUUCACUUGUGUGAUCCUGCUAAAGAAUCAGAUCUUCACUGCAAGCCGGAGCAUUAUUCAUUUCUUUUACAGGAAAUAUAGCUGGAAAAUGUGAUCUACAAACCAGCACAGCCGGGACCAACGCUCCCCUUGGGCUGUAUUAUGAAGUUAAAUAUGUGAUGGCAGAGCGAGAUGCAAUGCCAAGAUGUCAGAUGAAUCGCAGCCGAGUAAAGUGGUUCACCUGUCUGUAUCACUUACUGCAAACUAGAAAAAAUAUCUGAGAUUUUGAGGUUGAAAUAGAAGAAAUGCUAGACGAGUUUUAUGAUCUUGUGGCAACAAAAUCUUGCCCACUCAAUCACACUGCAUGUUGUCUGUUUUUGGAUUUAUCAAAAAAUGACGCAGUAUGCGAUCCAAAUUGGUUUUGGUCCCCCUAUGGUAUUUGUCAAGGAUAUAUCACAGUAUAGUAUAGAAGAGUGAUGCCCAACUCGUUGAUCACAGCAAACUGAUGAACUAUGGUUUGACUCCCUUUUGAUUGCAGGAAUUUUACACUCUGUUGUGUACUGUUAUCAUCCCUUUUUCCCUGUCUAUACCCUCAUACAAUGGUGCAAUUAUGUCUUGUCAGAUACGCCUCAAUAGAAAAUACCAGCUGGAACACAUCACAGUUUUGCUUUCGGCUUCUUGUUGUGCCGGGGCAGCAUGAUAGGCACGCUGCACAAAGACAGAAUGAACCAUGGGUGCGAGUGGAAAUAGGCAGCUGUCAGUUGGCUAACUACACUUAAAGAGAACCAAAAUGGCUGAUGCUUAAAAAAGAGCUCAAAUUUAAAAUCCCUCAGUCUUACCUGCAAUACAAGUGUGGCCUUGCAGAGGACAAACAAUUUAUAACAGUAUUUCAAGCCAGUGCACCAACAUUGGGUGACUGAUUUCCCUGCCAAACAGCUCUCUGAACCCUGAAAGUGUGAGAGUUCAAGGGCCAGUUAGCAACGCAGCUGUCAGUUUUCACUGAGCCGAACACCAAGGGAAAGGCUGCAAUGAUGGCAACUUGUCGCAGCCGCCAUAUGACAGGUCUUUCGAGGACAGCAAAGCAUGGAAGAAGUUGGGGUGCCAGUGUCCCAGUGCUAGAAGUCCACAAAGUAGAGUCUUGCUUCUAUUUUCACUUGUCUAGUUCAGAUAACUGCCUUACAUAGAUUUCCUAUAACCUUCUACAAAGUCCUUGCAUUGAGUAGAUACCAUGGAAAAAUGUAUAUCAGCCCUGUAGUUUGUACAUCAAAAGAUGAAUAUUAUAUUAGACUGUGCAUUGGAAGCUUUUGAGACAGAUAUGUUUUUUUGUCCUGAUAAAAACUAAUCCCACUACAAAAUAAAUAAACUUCCUGACUUUUUGCAAUGAUGCAGAAACAUAUUAUUGCUGUGAUUGUGUAAAACCUCCUAUCCUGGCCUCUGCAGAGGAAAGUGAAUUUUGCCACAUAUGAAUUAUCUUUGAGUCCAUCUUAACUGACUAUUCACAGAUUUUCAAACAUCAGUGGCCUUGUUGAAUACUGUAGUUGCACUGUAAUGAAUCAUUUUAUACGUAGUUUUAGUCUUCACCUCCUUUUGACCUUUAAAAGUAGAUUUUGCGUAUUUAUUCUCUUUUCAAAGGCCCCACUUAACCAGCUUAUUUGCACUGGCCUUUGUUAGUUGUGUAAAUACAGCCAUUAGGAAUGACUCAACCGAGAGGAGUUUGACUUGUGUGUCUUCCUCUGCUUCUAAGCCACCAAGGUGCAACCUCAUUGUUGUGUUUUUUUGCCAUUACUAAGAAAUUGUUUUUGUAAAUGCCCCUUUCAAUGAAGUCAAUAGCCAAAAUCAACAUUGUAUUAGGAGAAACAAUCAAUCCAUUUCCUCCCUGUGAUUAUGAAAGCAGGAGUAAAACCACAUCGGCUUUCAGUCAUGCUUACUAUUGAUUGUUAGGGACAUAAUUUACUUUUGUCCCAAAGCAAGCUUUUCACCCCAUUACUCUCAGCUCAUGGCUGUUUGGCCAGAGCUGGUCCUGGUCUCCAUCAUCAUUAACACCUGCCUGGUCAUUAAAUCGAGCAGCCAGACAAAGGGACAGAGAUUAUAGAUUCCAUCAUUGCUCUUCACAUCACCCUGACUAAUGAUUUUUGUAACAGUCUAAUGGUUAGAGUGGCAAUAGGCCAGAUAGUACCAAAGAGCUACAAGCAAGGGCACCGGAACAAGUGUCAGAGUGUUAGAUUGUUUCGUACCCUCACCUUUGACAUUAAUUACAAAGCACAGCACCUUACUGGUCAAUGAGGCCUGAAAAUGAGCACAGAGUCCAUUCUUAAAAACAAUAUACCCAGUGUAAUACAAGAUGUGUUUACUCGCCUGAAAAACAUCGACUUUCUGAAUAACUUCUCCUUAGCUUUGUAUUCUUGAAUAAUAAAGGACUCCAAAGCAUUGGAAUAACUACUAGUACUUCUUGUGUUUUGGUCAGGUAAAAACUGUCUUUGUGCUAAUAUUGAUAGUUGUGAGUAGCUGAAUCAAACUUCUUCCGAAGUUUACAUCCCUCUGUUUAUUUACUGACAUUAUUUUCCUUGGCCUCAAGCAUUUGUAAUACUUUGAUAUGUUAUCCCGUUCAGAAUCACUACUAAAGUAGGACACAAAAGUUUGCAGACGCUCGCUUUUAUGGAUUAGUGCAAGGGGCACUUAAGGGUGAGAGCACACCCCCCUUUUUGGCCUCAAUAUGUCUACCUUUGGCGUCAACCCCUUAGGAAUGAGCUACCUCUGAGUGUUAAACAAAUUCAGUCUUGUCUCUUUCUAUCUACUCAAAAACCUGAAACUUUGGUGUCAUUUUCUUGCGUAUUUCUUUCUGCACUGCCUCCCAUAUAUAAAAUAAUGACACUUUUUUUUUGGCCUUACUGACCGUAUAGCUGAAGAGAGACAGGAAAUGUGAGGAGCAGAGACACUGGGGGAAGAUUCUGAACUGACGUCAUUUUGCCCAUGUCAAUGUAUUCGGUGUCCAAAAAAAAAAAAAAAAAGUUUUGGAUGUGUGUAGGAAGGCUAUGGUCUCAUGUCCGUUUAAGACACUGUCCUACAUCAGAGAUGCGACUCCACUCCAUCCAGUCCGUAACAAAAGAGGGAAAGACGGUGAAGAGAUGGAGGACGGUUCAAAAGUUGAAGCGGCUGAAGUAGACAAAGUUAAUGUGGGAGGGGGUGAGCAGCUUGUGGAGUAGUUAUCGUUCGUUUAUCGUUAUCGAGGUGAACUGCUCAAUAUAUUGUGAUAUUGAUUUGAGGUCAUAUCGUCCAGCCCUACAACAUAUGAUAAGUCUAUGAAUCAUGUAUAUACCUUAAACUAAAAAAAAGCAAAGAAACAAAGAAACAAACAAAAAAAACAACGAAAAAAAAAAUACAACUGACUAGACCAGCUGUAAAAUUAGUCACCUAUGAUUUGACUAUUGAAAUGACAAAUUAUCCCCUUAUUUAUUCAUUGUUUAUGACUGCAUUUAUCCUACCUGUGGUGUUCUAUAAGUAAGCUAUAUGACUAAUGCCAGUCUGUGCAGUCCUUAUUAGCUUUAUGCUGUGCUUUGUGCCAUACUGUUUCAGACAGCCGUCUCUGUGGUUUGCUGAGUACUUGGUGACACACUAUCCUGUCCUUAAACAGCUUUUCAGGAAUGUGGUCCUCAGAUAAUUUCUAAUAUCAUGAGGGCUAUAGCCAGUUUUAUAAUCUGUGUGUCAUGUUUGCAUUUAAGGCAAAAAAGCUGGAGCAAUGUGCCGCGAAAGACUAGCAAUUCUACCCCCAUGCAAAUCAGUUUCUGUCUCAUACAAGAAUCUGAUAGAUUCAAAGGUAGCUAAGGCUUAGAGUCGUCUGCAGUCUCAGUCAAUCCUUGUCUGAAAAGCAUACCUGUGCAAAUGGCAACAGAUAACCUUAAAAGAAGAGUGCUGAUAUGUCAGGAAAUACAUUAGGGUUUUCAUCUAGAUAGACUGAGCCCCCAUGUAUCAUUCAGCAGUGGGAUCACACGUGGAGCAGCUUGAGAACAUCUGGGAGAAAAGGUCAAACUUUAGAGAUUGCCAUUUCUCUCAGCCAAAUCCUCAGCUUAACAAGUGUGACACCUCGUCAACACUAAGUGGAAUGAGGAUAUUUGAUUUUAAAGAUGGAGUAAAGCCUGACAGGGAAAUAAAAUAAAGUCUUUUUUUUUUUUUUUUUUUUUUUUACUGAUAGAAGACUGUGAGUGGAAUAGAAAAGACUUGUUGCCAUGCACACACUUCUUAGAGCAGGAAAGUAACACUGCAACACAAAACUACGCAUAGUAAUGAUUGCAAAUGUGUUGACGGGCUGCAGAUCUUCAUAAAUAACCCAAGUUGGAAAGCUAUAAAAGUCGUACUGUUUUAGCCUCGCACUGCUGUGCCAGUUUAAAUACUCUUAUUUGCCAAUGAUAGUUUGGACAAAGGAUGUUUGGCAGAGUUAAAACAUCGGAAAAACAAAAGGCAGAAUAACUGGAUCCAUCCCCAGUUAGCUGCUGCCAGCCAUCGAUUUGAGAGGUAGCUUGACUUUUGGUGCAGGGAAGAUUCAAUUAGGGCCCGAGCCAGCUGCAGAGCAGCCGGGCGUAGGCCCUGUUAUUCCUGUAGGGGUUUUUCUUUAGGGCCCGAGCGUAGCUGCUAAGCAGCUGCGAGAGCCCUCUUGUUCCUGCAUGUUUCCUUCUUUUGUUAUUAUUAUUAUUUUUCCUCCCCUUUGAACUGGAAAAUGGCCCACUUCCCACUGGCGAAAACUCAUGAAAUUUGGCAGGACGACCGGGCCUGGUGAAAAAUUUGAUAUUCCGAAGUCGCCCAAACAAGAAAAUGCAAAAUGGCUCCAUAGCGCCCCCUAAGGUGAAAAUUCACACUAUUGACUGUCACGCGUGUACGCUUUGUCAAAAUGACACAAAAAUUGACACACACAUGUAUCUCAAUAAGAUCUACAAAAAAGUCAGUGUGGGCGUAUCUGUCAAAUGUAUGGUUAAAGGGUUAUUUCGCAUUUUUUGCCGAUCCGCACACAUUGGAAUUUCGCUAACUCCUCCGAAGGCUUUCGUUCCACCGGCACCACAUUUGCUCAGGCCAAUCUACACCCCAUGGCCAUUAAAAGUUAUUCAAAUCAUGACGCUGCACCCCACGGUUUAGGUUCUAGGGGGCGCCAAAGAUAACCCUAAGAUCCACAUAUUUAAAAGUCUUAUAACUUUUUAUUUUUGUCCUCACUGGCCUCCAAGUUUUCUAGGAUGAUGCAAUGUCCAGCCAUCAACACAUUUGUGAAGGAAUUUUUACUCCCCAAAAGAGCGCCCCCCCAUGGCAGGAGAAAAAAGUCCAUUUUUUCUUGUCCCCUAAGGUGAAAAUACACAUUGUUGAGUGUAACACCUGUACGCUUUGGCAAAAUGACACAAAAAUUGACACACACAUGUAUCUCAAUAAGAUCUACGAAAAAGUCAAUGCGCGCGUAUCUGUCAAAUGUACGGUUAAAGGGUUAUUCCGCAUUAUUUGCCGAUCCGCACACAUUGGAAUUUCGCUAACUCCUCCGAAGGCUUUCGUUCCACCGGCACCACAUUUGCUCAGGCCAAUCUACACCCCAUGGCCAUUAAAAGUUAUUCAAAUCAUGACGCUGCACCCCACGGUUUACGUUCUAGGGGGCGCCAAAGAUGACCCAAAAAUCCACAUUCUUAAAGGAAUCCACAUCCCCCCCCCCCCCCCCCCCCCAAGGCAGGAGAAAAAGUCAAGUUUACCCUGCCCAUCGCUCAAUGGCUCAAUCGCAUCGCUCUCCAGGCAACACCGUAAGGAGGAGCAACCUGCCAUUUCGAUAUAUCAUAGCUGUGUUUGUGCCCUCACUCAUGGUCCAGACUUUUUUCAAAUAGGACAUGAAGUUUGUCUGCAGCGAGUGUUUUGGUAGAAACUGCGCCUCCCAUUCAUUAUAAUGGGAAAUGACCACAGACAAGUGCGCACACCAUCUUUGGACCUUGAGUGUGACGCGAUCGGGAGGGGGAGGCGGUCGCGCUGGGAGCGGCGCGACGCGGCUCGGGCCCGACAGUGCCCCACCGGGGCCCUAGUUGUUUCUUUCUUUCUUCUUUUUCCUCCCCUUUGAACUGGAAAAUGGCCCACUUCCCACUGGCGAAAACUCAGGAAAUUUGGCAGGACGACCGGGCCUGGUGAAAAAUUUGAUAUUCCGAAGUCGCCCAAACAAGAAAAUGCAAAAUGGCUCCAUAGCGCCCCCUAAGGUGAAAAUUCACACUAUUGACUGUCACGCCUGUACGCUUUGUCAAAAUGACACAAAAAUUGACACACACAUGUAUCUCAAUAAGAUCUACAAAAAAGUCAGUGCGGGCGUAUCUGUCAAAUGUACGGUUAAAGGGUUAUUUCGCAUUUUUUGCCGAUCCGCACACAUUGGAAUUUCGCUAACUCCUCCGAAGGCUUUCGUUCCACCGGCACCACAUUUGCUCAGGCCAAUCUACACCCCAUGGCCAUUAAAAGUUAUUCAAAUCAUGACGCUGCACCCCACGGUUUAGGUUCUAGGGGGCGCCAAAGAUAACCUUAAAAUCCACAUUUUUAAAAGUCUUAUAACUUUUUAUUUUUGCCCUCACUGGCCUCCAAGUUUUCUAGGAUGAUGCAAUGUCCAGCCAUCAACACAUUUGUGAAGGAAUUUUUACUCCCCAAAAGAGCGCCCCCCCAUGGCAGGAGAAAAAAGUCCAUUUUUUUCUUGUCCCCUAAGGUGAAAAUACACAUUGUUGAGUGUCACGCCUGUACGCUUUGUCAAAAUGACACAAAAAUUGACACACACAUGUAUCUCAAUAAGAUCUACAAAAAAGUCCAUGCGCGCGUAUCUGUCUAAUGUACGGUAAAAGGGAUAUUUUGCAUUUUUUGCCGAUUCGCACACAUUGGAAUUUCGCUAACUCCUCCUAAGGCUUUCGUCCCACUGACACCAAAUUUGCUCAGGCCAAUCUACACUCCAUGGCCAUUCAAAGUUGUAAAAAUCAUGACGCUGCACCCCACGGUUUACGUUUUAGGGGGCGCCAAAGAUGACUCAAAUAUACAUUACAGUAGACAAAGUAGUUUUGCCCACUGCGUGGCGCCAAAGGGACUUGUCUGUGGAGUCUGUGAGUCACUAUUGGCCGUUUUUGACUACUUUAGAUUUUACCUUUAUAUUUCCUCUUACAAAAUUUUUACCUUGCCUUGCCUGGUAUCAUUUUUUUCAGCACAACCUCACCUGUGUCAAUUUACAGUUAUUUUAUCAUUUUGACAUACUAUAUUUACACAUUGGACCCAAAUUCACACACAAAACAUAAAAUCCGAGUGGAAAAAAGUAACGUUUUUACUGUGAAAACCACAAAUAUGUGUGAUGAACUGUUUUUAAAACUUAAACUUUAAAUAAAAAUUGUAAACUUCAAAACAUAUGCAAAUUUUUAACAAAGAACAUAGUAAUUUACCUCUAUUGACAUCAAAAUGCAAGCAAUGGCCCAGGUGUUCUUUGUAAAAUUAUUUACAAAACACUGUAUAGUCUCACAAAUGUCACUUUUUAUUUAUGCCACUACAAAAAAACAUGAUGUAAAUGAUGCAUGAUGUAAAACAUGAUGUAAAAAACUUGUGUAGAUCCUCCUCUAUGUUAGUCCAUGUGUAAUUUUUCCAUAAUUCUUUGUUUUUUGCAGCAUUUUUGUUAGUGUAACUGCAGAUUGUGCUGACAGUGUCUAUGGCAAAAAAAAAAAAAAAAAAAACUGAAAAUGCCUCAACAUGAACCCCUGGUGGUCUCUGAGGGUGAAACCUGCUAACUGCUGCAGCUCUGUCAGUUUCAGUCUCCCAUGCAGAGCUCUGAGCGCAUGUGUGGCUCUGCACCCUUAGCAGCGUUGCUAACUCCUCAGUAAGGAAAGCCUGCUUCAUGUCAGAGUCUCUAAACUCCAGAAGAAGUCGAUAAAAGUCACUUUCUUUCUAAAAAAGUCGUUAGGGGGUCUGAAAAGUCAUUGAAUCUAACAACAAAGUCGCUAGGUUUGCAACUACGUGUCCCAGACUGCAUCCCUGCUGAGAGUCCCUCCCUCCCUUCUCAUAUUGCAGGAAGAACGUAAGUUCCCGCCCCUUGUCAAUCAGUCACCAUAUAAUUUUGGAUUGGUUGUUGUGGUGAAGUUUUCCACCAAUAGGAGAGAUGUUGUGGUGUGUUUUUUUUUUUCCUUUGGCAAGCCUUUUCCGCCUGUAAGACCUGUCGCUAAUGUCUGCAUGCUAUGUUUUCCUGUCUCAUACAGCGCGAUCGAGCGCCGAACGUGAUCAAAAUAAGCAGAAAACAAGUAUCGUGGACAUAAUUUAUCAUAACUCUAGUUUUAUUUGGCCUAUCAACACAAUUUAAAAACUGGUAUAUAGGUUGAGGUCCUCACUUUUGAGAUAAAUUGAAACGGAGAGUCAACGAGGCUCCGUCUUGCAGCUACAUCCGGUUAAAUAUGUCAUGUGACUUGAACGCACACACACACACACACACACACACACACACACACACACACACACACACACACAGACACACACACACACGCACACACACACACUCAGAGUCUGGUUUUUAGCACCUGCAAAAACAUGCUAUUUACAUAUUUGACAAGAAUGCAGAGGCUCCUUUUGCCCCUGAAAAAAAUCAAAUUUCAAACACAACUUGACUGGUCAUUUCUCCAAAAGACAACCAUGAAGCUCCAUCCAAACCUGAAGCAGGCAGUUGGUGCAUGUGUACAGUAACCUGAGGGGAGUGAGGUGACUGCUUCUGAGGAGAACAUGAGCAGUGAAGAUUCACCUUAGAGCUAGAACAGAGACGUGCACAUGAUUAUACAGGGGCAGGGGCUCAAGUUUUUUCCAGUUGUUUAUACAAUAUGGAAAUUAAUGUGAAAUUAAAAAACAAAGUAUUAAUAGAAAGGUAAUGACUGUCCUGUGUAGGUGACAGUGAUAUCCAAUAGGCUAGGCACUCAAGAGGCUGGCUGUGGCAAGUGUAAGUGAAAGCAACACGCACUGGCAGGAAGAACAGCAAACGCCGAUGAAGGAAAAGGGUCUUUGCAGUGAUGGGCGUUACCAGAGAGGGCGAUGGCCAGAGGACACAAAUGGGACGGGGAGGCAGCGCGUUGGGGGGGGGGGACGCGACACGGCUCGGGCCCGCCAGUGCCCCAACGGGGUCCUAGUCUCUUAUUGAUCUUCAAAGUGUCAGAUUCUUGUCAAGAGGGCCUUCACCACUUCUUGAUGCAAAAACUUGGCAGGACAAAGAAUAAGUCUGGGCAAACUCAAGAGAGAAGGGAGAGAGUGGAGGGAAAUGUUGGUUAUGGGUUUGUGUGUGAGUGAGUCUGGGAAACAGAAGGGGGAAUAAUGUCUCUAAUUUACCAAACAAACAAAAGUCAAACAAAAGCAUUAAUUGUGCAGUUGGCUGCAGAAGUAGUGUCAAAUUGUCAUACCGCUGCAAAGCUUUAUGGGCUGUGCACCCAUUUGGACUCAAAAGCUUGGACAGCAACUGGCUACCAUUCAUUGUAAAUGGGAUCUGGCAUCGCUAUCCAACAGCCCUAUUUGAGCUAUAAAGAUUAACAAAGCUCCCAGUGGUGCUAUAAGGGAAAGUUGAGAAAGGCCGAACUUUAUGCAAAUGUCCUCUGGUGCAAACUGAGCGAAAACCAGAUGAGGGCCGGUCCUGCCAGUUUUAAUUCUCACAGAGAAAAAUAAGCUUUAAAAUUGUUUGCUACACUAAUUCAUAGCUUCCUGUGGAGAUGAAGGACAGCAAUGUCAAUCAGUUUAGCAAGCUCUGGCAAUAUUAUGUUUUGAAAGAGUCCAAAAUACAUCAGCUCCAAGGUUAAGACAGCAGCUCACUUAAAAUAAAACCGAAAUUAAAUCUCCAUCCUGCUCAAAAUUCUCAAUUGUCUAAAGUCUACUGUGCCUAUUAUUGUUAGAAAGGGCUGCACAGUUAAUCAAAUAUUUUAUGGGUUAAUGAUUUGACCUUUCCGAGAUUGUAAGAACCAACCAAAAAUCAGAAGAGCAAAUUCUGGGUUUGAUGCAAAGAUUUUAAUAGAAAGAAAGAGGUAAUAGAAAUAGUAUUUUUCUACUUUUAUUUGAAACAGCACAGUUUAGUAACCAGCUCUUUUUUUAAGGCUGUACUUGUACUGUACUUGUUAGCAAGAGAAGAAGAUGAAGAAAAAUCCAUCAAAAUCAACAUUAGACUGAGAAUGAGCAGUAAGUUUAGCACAAAGAGGUUGCAAUGCCCUGACUCGCAGGGUUUUCCCAAAUCAUAACCCACCAUCUGGUACACUAACCGUCCUUUUCUCUCUGACAUGUACCCAAACACCUUUAGUUCAACACUCUUACUCAACCCCUGACUCACUGUGUAUGGGGAGAUUUGGCUUCUUCCUCCACCUUGACCUUCCUCUCUGCUUGUGCUGUGUUGUAGUGGGAGCUUUUCGCCAGAACACUUGAUUAACUGGCUGAUGGCAGCUGAGCUCUUCCUCUCCAGGGUCAUGCUCUGAUCUGCGCAGAUAUAAAGCAAAAACAUGGAUGUAUUGGUUCCUACCUCAGGUGUUCCUGCCAGACAAGUGCAAAAGCAUGAAAAAGCCAAGGCAAAAUGAUGUGUACCAGGGAAAGAAAACUCUCACAGGGCCUCUUUUCCUCCUGAGGCUCCAUGGCAAAUAUUUUAAAGCUGUAUUUUGUCAAGCAGAAGUUCCAAAAUGUAUUUCUUAAAAAGAAAAAAAGAAAAAACUUAUGCUGCAGUGGGACUGGCCUUACUUCAGCAUCCAUUGCUUGACACCGGCAUAUACAGGCCAGCGUGUGCUAUUGGCAGGUAGCCUGUUGGUGCUGUGCUCUGUGAUGUUCUGUAAGUAUGAACUGCCUGCCUCAGAAACCAUUCAUGCCAAACUACUGGUGCUAACUGCAAGUAGCAUACGCUGGGGUUGCUGAUAUCUUCCAACUGGCUUCACAAAUUGUUGAAGGGUGUCAGCACAUGCAGGAAUCACGAGCAGCAAUUUCAACAGUGUCAGCAACAAGAGUUACGAAAAAACUCACAAUCUAGAGUUCACACCGGUAGGAACAACCACACUUAGACAAAGCGAGAAAUACCAGCUGCUGUCUGUGAAGACUUUGUUUUAAAAGAAAUUACCUUGAAUGUUGGAAUCCUGAGUGAAUAAUCACUUGAGAGAAAACUUCAAAUAAUCAAUUUUUAUCCACUUUGCCGAAAUGCAACCUAAGUAGAAAUGUCAACAACAAUCGUUACAGCUGUUGUAACUUUUGUGACGCUCUUGUCUUUUGGCUUGAAAUUUCCUGGAAGUCCAUCUAGUCCCUCAUAACAUGAUAUCUUGAGAAUCCUUGUAGGAGGUUUUUAAAGACAGCAUGAAUAUCCACUUGAACUCACAGCAAAAGGUCGAAGGUGAAAGAUCAGGUUUUCAGUGACUGCAUAUCCUCCUCAUUAAACGUGAAUGUAAAAUCUCACGAAUUGAUUUUGAAAAAUCUGGCAGAAUAUUGAACUUAUCAGAGUUUGCUGGUCCAAGGUCAAUGCUGGUGUGAACAUGCAGGCUGUAUUUUCAACCAGAAACCAUUCCCCUGGAGUCAGGCAUGUAGAUGAAGUGAUAGCUCCCAUUUUAACCAAAAAAUACACUCAGAAGCUCGGUUACAUUCCUGCUUCCGGGAAUGGUGUCUUUUUUUAUGUUAAUAAGCUUGCUGCACUUGUAUAAGUCCUGGGGUUAUGUGAUGAUCUUAGUUGUUUCUAAAACUUACUGAGUGAAAGACGAAUGUCUUUCAAAGGUCAAUUUUGACCUGUAACCUCACUUGCUUGAAACAUACUCUCUCCUGCACAGUAUGUGCAGGAGAGAGUAUGUUGUCUGUAGGAGUAUGUUGUCUACACUAUGUUCAUGGGACCUUUCUGACAUCUAUUGGCAGGGUCCUCUUUAUUCGAUCCAUCAUAUUUUGCAUUCAGCAUUUAGUGAAGGAAAGUCUCAAAAAACAUGCCUUAUUUCUCAGUUGAGACAAAAAGACAAGAUGUGUCAUGAGAUCAGUUCAUCUAUUUUAUUGCGUGUGCUAAUAUUUUCAACAGUCUGGGGCCUGUCUUGAUUGAUUUUAUUAUGUAUAUAUCCAAUAGAUUGUAUUUUUCUUUAUCUGCUCAGUAGUUUAUUUUUAUUUAUUUAUUUUUUAUACUACAUAGAGCCACUUAAAUGUUCAGACCACUUCUAUUAAACAUUGCCAUAAGCUAAAUAUAUAUAUAUUUUCUAACAUUGUGUAUGAAGAUUCUAGCAACAUUUCCUUUGCAGAAAAAGUUCUACUCAAAGAGAAUGAAAUGUGAUUUUGUGAGUCUUUGUAAAAUGUAGUGUGGGAAAUUGCCAAGUGACUCAUGAUUGAUAUGAUACAACAUGACAAUAGGAUACAGUGUCAUACAGUACAGCACACAUAGCUACACAACAAUACAAUCCAAUACAAUAAAAAAAAACAAUAUUUUAACAUAUGAUACGGGUCGAUAUGAUACAUAAACAUUUUGCCAUGGCACAACACAAUCCAGAUAAAGAUGAUACAGUAGAAUACAACAAGAUACAGUAUGCCAUAGUUGUCCUCUAAUAGCAUUAUUGCACAGCGGUACUGUGAUAAUCAAUUCAUUUCAAGAUGAUCAUUUAACCUUGCUUUAUGAUUAGAGCACUGAAAAAUACUAAUUGCAUCUAAAAGAUGUGCCGCAAUAAUACUUUUAUUUAACCUUUACGUCAUAUUGGCCACAAUAUUGAUUACAGUGCUCUGGUCUUUUUUCAGUUAGCCAGCUUUAAAAACCCCCUAAACUGAUUUAAGUCUCCUGCAUCACUCUGAUUUGUAGCACCUUGGCUUACAUACAGUUGUUAAAAGAGCUGGAGCGUUCUUUUCUUUUUCUUUCUGUUUUUCUUUUGUGUGACCACUGCAUCCCUUUACUUCUUUCCACUACUGUCUGACAUCCUGUGGUCUUCUUCUAUUAUUAUGCAGCUGCCAUCUUUGUUCUUCAGCCAAUUAACUGCUAUUCAUGCCCUCCUCAUUCAUGUCAUGAGCACCACCGCAAGGAGUCAGGAAGUAGUGACAGGGUGAGUCACAUUAGCAGGAAAAUCUGUUUGGAGGAGCUUAUUUAUCUGAUUAAAAGAUAAUUAUUUAAAUGUAACACACAAGUGAGAAGAACAUGUAAUAUCAUGCUGGAUCAAUAUUUUGUCCCACUUCUAGUAGAAUGUAGACAAAAUCUUUGUUUUUUUUUAUAACAUAUUUGACCUAAAAUCAAAAGACAGCCAUGUAGUAAAAUCAUCUUCAGAGGAGGGUAAGGGGUGGUUUACACUCCCAUUAUUUGCUGACAAAUUACAAAAUUAAGUAUAAAAUACAUUUUUAAUCAUUUUAUAUUUAAUUUAAACCAUUAAGCAGCUAAAACUAGCUGGUAAACCUCUCCCACCCAUUACCUCGCUGGAUUCUGUGGCUUCAGCUUCUUUCACAAAAUUCAAUGACACAGGGGCUUUUGUAAACUGCUAACACUUUAAGUACAGUGAGAACAGUCACUGGGGCCAAUCCCUUUAUUCACAGCUUGCUUUAUUCCAGCUUAGCUUUCACACUUUUCCAUGGGAGACCAUCGCGCCUCCUUAUAAGCGCCUCCUUAUAAUGUCAUUUAUGUGCAGUCAGGAACAACAAAGAACUGAGCUACUGUGCACAGAUGGUCGUAUAUAUGGUUAAAAACAUAAAUAAAUAAAAUAGUUGUGAAAUUUAAAUGUCCAAAGAUCCACGGCUAGAAACUCUUUCAUACUUCCUUUCUGUUUUGUUUAUUUUUAGGACAAUAGCUGCAAUAAUCAGAGAGGGGAAAUAAACAUGAUCAUGUAUUCAGGGCUCACUGAUUUGGAGUUUUUUUAAAUUAUGAUGAUGGACACACACUCCAAAGUACCUCAGCUCUAGAAAAUGAAAUACACACGCUUUAAUUACAGACUUAAUUGUCUUUGUAAAAGUGAUUAAACAAUCUUCUAUUAACUCUGUUUAUUCGUAGGGCCCAUACCCCUUUUUCUGACAGUUUGCCUUAAUCUGCUAACUUCCCAAAAAUAAUAAAAUGGAGAAUAAUAAAUAAGACAAUGCUGCAGUAGUUUGAUGUUAAAGGAUUCAGAGUAAGCAGUGGUUAAAACCUGUGACUCACAUCUCCACAAUUGUUUAUUUUAUCAUAAAGCCAGAAGCAAUUUACAUAACUUAUGAUGAUAAGCCAACUGAUUUCCAGCUCAAUGAAAGGAAAUUGAAAAAUGUGAGCUUGUUUGUCCAAUAUCGUCAUUAAAUGUAUUUACGUAAAUCAAUGGACUAAUUCUAUACAUUGUUGACUUUGAGAUUUACAUCUUUGAGUCACACUGACAGCUUCCAUCAACAUUAACAGGCAGCCCUGGCUGAGUGUUGCAAAGAAAUACCUGCUUUGAUUGAAGGCAGAGAGAAAUCAAUUAAAAAGGAUGCAGAUAACGUCUGACAUUUCUGCUAACGCCAAAGAGAUUUUUAUCUAUGAGAUGACUGCUUGAGGUGGGACUGUUUGAUUUGUCUGCCCUCUUUGACAGCUGGAGCUGUGGGAAGGUCGACUAUAUAAAAUUGUUGCUGCGCCAUCUUACAUUGUGCAACUAUUAUGUAUGUUUGAUUCUGAAUUAACUUUUUGAAUACCACAAGAGUUAUUUGUGAUGUGAAAUGUGUGACAUCUAUAAACAUAGAAUAUUUUAACACUGUAUAAGUUACUGUAUUCUACAAAUGAUAGUUGUAUGUUAUAUACUGUAUGUAAAUACUGGUUUGAGGAACCAAGUAUGGACUUUAGAUGACUGCAGCAUGAUUCAACUGUAUUUCAUUGCGUGACUCAAACUGUUUCUCUCAUCUGUUGUUGAGGCAAAAGUACAAAUACUUAAUUCAUAGGUCUGAGUCAUUUUGUCAGACUUUAUCAAACCAAAGACACAUUUUGCAAAGUUGAAUAAAAUAAUAUAAUAUCGUAUCCCUGGGGGCACAGAGCUGCACAUAUGGCAAAGAUUUGCAUGAAACCAAUGAAAUAUGAUAAUAGCAGAUAUGUAUAAUUGUGCAUGGGUUACACAGAUGGACAGAGUGGAAGCAAACAUUUGCAAGGGCACUUUUCAUGAAGAAUAACUUGUUGGAUUGCUGAGCACACAGUGACACAGGCACACAUGCAAAAUGUCAGGCUGAAUUUGUUGAUUAUUAUUUGGGCAAACCCUACAUUUGUUAGGAACACGCUUGCUUUUAGUAAAACACUCACAAACUGUGCUAAGGGACAAAUCGGGGUGUCACUUAGAGACAGAUUUAUUUGAGAAAUAACAUAAUUCUAAUUGUCCGGAAACCAGUUUUCCAUCUGCAUCAUCGUCAGGCAUGAAAUUAAAUUUUCACAAGACUAGCUCUGACUUGAUAGAAAAUGCUUCAGGUACAAAAAGAAGAGGAAAAGGCUCUGACUUGGUUUCUUUUCAAAGGGGUCAGUUGAAACUUUGUAAACGGCGCUGUUUUGUACUAAUAACAAAGCUGUGGAUGUGCUGGAAGUGUGUUUGAAGUCUACAGCCUUUUUUUUUUCAGUUUGUGUAUGCGAUGCUUAGCCAGAGGUGACCAGAGUUAAGCUGCAGACUGUUGAGUACUCAGUGUUUCCUCGUUAUCUCUUCAUGAACCUUCAUGUAUUUCAUUGUCUGUCACGUAUUGUCAUUGUAUCAAUCGUCUGCAUAGCCACACAUUUUUCUUUCCCUUUAUUUAACUUCAACUUGAACAAGAUCUAUAAUUCUGAUACUGUAAAUAUUGACUCACAGUAUUUAUGCCAGUAACAACAGAUGGCUAGCCUCUAUUUGAUGACAACGUGCAUCCAUGGGUUUCAGCUUAUCAGGUAGUACAAAUAAAGCCUUUGGCCACAUAAACAAAGCUGUUUAAGCUUCAGCCUUUACUGGAGAGAAGGAGCAGCUUUACAUUGAUCACUCUUUGCCAGUUUAAAUCAUUUUUGCAGAUUCGUUUUUGUACACUGAUAGCUUAUUAGUGAUUUAUAGGUAGUCCUGCUUAAUUAAACUUAACGUUCCCCUUACAGGGUGACGUCAAUGCAAGUUGGUAGACCUCGUUAUCUCAUCAUGUAUGAGUUCCUGCUCUCUUAUUAUUCCAGUCUCAGGAUUACAUUGUUUCUUGCCAGUUUCUUCUGUUUCCUUUGCAGCUUGCAGGUUUAGCAACUAAAGUGAUUUGUAGCUGACAGGUAGAAAGAGAGAGAGAGAGAGAGUACGCCUCCUCGCUCCACUGUCAGGUGUGCCAAAUUUUACAGCCACCUUCGUGAGUAACAAAAUAAGGUUUCUCUCUCCUCCUCUAACGUUUGAUUAGACACAGAAUCAAUGUGAGUGAGAUAAAAACGUAAAAACACACACCUCAGUUUUUAUCUAACAUAUUAGGCUAGCACCUGACACAAAAGUGAGAAAAGUCACAUCAUUAGACAUACCUGUCAGUAAACAUGGGAUGUUGAAAUAUCAUAAAUAAAACAAGGAAUGCAGUUGUUUCAUCGGGCUGCAUGGGGAAAGGCUAACAUAAUGGCAAGACCUUAGAAACUUCAAUUAAUAGAGAGCAUGAAUCAUGUUAUCAUCCAGCAUUAUCAUUAUGUAGUUAAAAGACCAGCGUGCCAUUGAAGCCGGGGUCGUACCAAGUGGGAGGCUGGUGAUUUGAUUCCCAGCUUGUGAAGUCUUGCUGAAUUGCUAGUGAGGCCGUCAGACUUUGAAUGUGGGUGAACUAAGGGGCACCAUCCAGUCUUGAGAAAUGAAGCCAGUGCAGAAGUACUUGAAACUGCAGCUUUUUCAAGGACACCUCAAGUGUCCACUUGAGGCUGACUCCAGAGGCCCUUUAGGCCACACAUACACCGAUUCAAGAAAGCCCAUCCUUACAGCAAAAAACACAUGUUUAUAUCUUGGUUAAAAAGAAAACAAUAAUCUUGGUCUAAAUGGCAAAUCUUAUUGUUUUAAUAGGUCAUUGUAAAGGAUAUUAGUUUGCAAGAAGGCUAUAAGGUCAGACUUAACUCCUCCUCUUUGCAAAAGUUAGGUUGAAUCAGUGUUUCUGAUACAGCGACCUUUGUCGAUAGGCUUCAGGACUCAAGUGGGGGACAUCACUCAGACUAGGGCCAUACUUAAUACAGUCUGAGGUGUGAAUAAAGAAAUUUAAGUAGAGUAUAAAAGCCCCUUUAAGUGUGUGAGAAGACAACACAAAUUCAGUGCAGUCUGUUCAGCAUUUUCAUUUACCAUUUAUCAUUUUAAUCUUCAGUCACAGGCCCCGACUCUGAGUGACCUGACUCACUAUAUGUUUGUCAACGCAGAGGUUUUCAAGCUGAACAGAGAAAACAUAAUACUUAACAAUGUUACCACCUCUUCUGAAGCAAAGGUUGGCUCUGCAGAUAAGUUCAAAAACAGUUUUAUUUAAUAGGAAAAUAAAAUGAGGAAGUGAGCCAACCAAAACUAAGAGUCUUUGAAACUUUGGAAGAAGGGGAAGUUUGGGCCAACCAAAUGAAGUCCGGUAGAACUCUGAGCUUUUACCCUUAAAUUAAACUUGGAAACUGUUUGCCAGGCCUUUAUCUUCAGAAAAAGAGAGAGAGAGAGGACAAGGGGUGACUGAUCAGAACAAUAGCUCAAUCACAAUAUUGCUGUAUCUGGGAAACCUCCUGCCUUCAUCCUCACACAUAAAGCCACAGUGAACGUGACAAUGCUCUUGUCAUCAGUUCUCAAAUAAACACCAAGAUACUGAUUUCUUUUAAAACUGUUUCAUCAAGAUCAGACAAAACAGCUUUGUUGUCAACUUGAACUCGCUGAGGAGGCAUUUUUAAACUUGGAUACAUAUCUAAAGCUUGUUGUUCUCAGCCGUAACAUGAGCCAGAAAUUCUGCUUGGACUGUUUGAAGCUUAGGUGCAAGAUGAGCUUUGUAGUCCAAUAUGUCAAAUAUUGAUUUGCCUUUCAUCCCACCAUAUUUGCUGAAAACUCUUUGUGUCUCUUUGGCUUGCUGGAUGUCUGACAUUUUUCACCGCUGCCUCGUUUGUUUCAGCAGGAAUCAACUGUUUUUGGUUGAGCUGGAUAGCUUUCUAAAUCCCUCACAUCUUCCAGGAGUUGAACAACCACAUGUGAGCCAGCCUGUGAAAAUGGAGACAUCCAGCACAAUGCUGUGCUAUAUUUCCAUAAGUCUCCUUUCUCUCAAUCUGCUUCCAUGAAAUCCCUUUUUGAUCAUGUGCAAUCCCUCCUCGGUACCUGGCUGCUGACCAUUUUUCUACACACAAAUGUCCGUUUGGCACUGAAAAUGCAGCAGACAUGAUUCUGCUUAACAUUUCCAAGCCGGACAAAUUGGGCUACGAUACCAGCUGUUAAGCAUGGGAAGGCUAAUCAGUUUAGCAGAAUGCCGAGGAUUAUGCAGUCAAAGAAGAGUUGUUGUUCUAGACACAAUAUACUGCAGAGGACAACGCAUCUGCUGCUGCUACUGCUGCUUCCGUUAUCUGAGCUAUUUCUGCUUGUUCAUUCUGGGAGCUUGUCUUAGCCUCGUUAUUUGCUCGCCUCUGUUUACCACAGGCCUGUUGUGAGAGAAGUGUCCAAUUAACUGUGGAUUUGGUGGCAUGUGCUAUCACAUCAGGGUUUCCAGAGUCUCCCGUCAUCUGUGCGCUUGUGUGGCAGGGUGUGAGGGCUUUAGGCCAGCAGUUUUAAAUAACUUCCCACAGCUAAAAGUAGGGCAUAAAAGCAUGGCAUGUCUGCAGGAGAUAAAAAAAAAGAGGUUUUGUAUGUACAAUGAUUGCAAUGUUAAAAGAAAAGAAAAUUACAAAAGGAAAAUAAGAUAAUUUAAACUACAAAGACAGAAAUAUGACAUUUCUGCUUCUUAUAUGCCAAGAAAAGCUUUGUUUUGUAGAACUAAUUUUUCCUGGUAGCAUAUUGUGAAAUUAAAAGAGAAAAUGAGGUCUUCAUUGGAUCUGAAGAGCACUCAGACUGCUGUGCUUUGACCUCGUACUGUACAGCAGCGGUAAAUAAUCAGAAGACUCGCAUAAAGUCAUAAAAAGUAGCACCCUGAAACAUUUCAAACUCGAAUCCUUGAUGUGAGGAAACUCUCUUUUACUCUUCACUAGGGGGGAACUUACUCACUGUAGCUUUUGACUCCUUCAUCCUCGUGUUAGGCAUGCGGUAGUCUGCUCUCCGCAAAUUGUUCCAGACUAGCCCAAUAAAACGAGGUCCCAAGGUUCAGACACUGUAAGAGUCUGACUCAGGCUCCGUGUGCUACAAGAACUGAUGCAAUAAACCUUUGUUUAGGGAUGUAGUUGCACAGCAUCAGACUGUUGUGGACAUUGAGUUCUCAGCGUGGAGCCAAAGACCAAAGUGUUUGCUAUUGAAGCCUUUUUCUUUUUUUGUCUUUCUAAAGGGAAUACUUUUUGAGAUUUCACUGACACUCAUGCAGACUCCCGACUUAAUGUAUUGACCCUUUUUCUUUGAAGCCUUUAUGUCUAUAUAUAUAUAUAUUAUGAUAUAUAAUUUAUUUUUCUCAAGUGUGGCAGGUGGAUAUGCUAUCAUCUUUUUUUCUCCAUCUGUUCAUGUGGAAAGCACUGACACAUUCCUGACUCCUUUUUUGUUGUUUCCCUCAAGCUGUGUUCGCGUUGAACCUCCUGCAAAAAAAUAUCUCUCUGACCCAAAAGUUUGCCUGAUUUCUUCAUGACAUUUAAAUGACCUUUCCACUGAACAGUAUCCAGAUUUUGAUACAGUAUUUUUUCCCUCUUUCCUUUGAGUGUUCUUUUUAUAAAAGUAAGAAAGCUGAAUUUGCUUUUUCAUCUAUUGUGUUUUAUUCUCUUUGAAGACAGACAGAUGAAAAGGAGGAUGGCGGAGGUUGUUAAUACUUUUUUAUAAAGCUUCUCGAGGCAAUCUGUUUAGGAGUCUGGAAGUGCGUCUGCAUGUACAUGUUGCUGAAUUUAGCUUUCUGAUUAAACGCCAAAAUAUGUGCAAUCACAGCAUGAUCAUCGACAACUUUACCAGUCUUAUAAGAGGUGGUGCUACCGUCAUCUUUGAGCUAGCAGCUAUAACACAAACAUAAAUAUAUGCAAAAUUUAUCAUAGGAUGACAACAACAGAGCACUAUGUAUAACAACACGUUAUCAAUAUAGCAUAAAUGUUCCAUAAGCUAAAGGCAGAGGAAAGCUGUUAUUUGCAUUUCACUAUUUGUGAGUUAACAAUAAUGUUUUGCAAGAGAGAGAUGAUGUUUAUAAGCCAGUGAGGAUGUGAUAAAGAAUCCCAACAGGGGCUAGUGAUAAUGUACAUUUUGCAUAGGAGACAGAAACAGAGCAGCAUUGGCGGAGUCGGGGGGUUGGUAAGACCACUUAAUGCCACGCAGUUGGAGGCCGAAGAAUUCUUUUCUCUAAUCGUACCGAUGAGAGUAAUUGACGAUGAUCCUCAAAAAAGUCCAGCCAUUGUCUUCUUCAUUUCUCGAGGUGUUAGGUGUUGGGUAGUGACAGCAGCAACACCGCCCCCACGGUUUCCGGUGGUACUGCUCUGUCUGGCCCGUAUCCCUAAACUUCAAGGAAAUGUGCAGAAAUAUGAAUGACAAAAAUGUGAAGCACAGACAUAGAGCUCCAUCCGUAUCAAGGUCCGUAUGUAACGUUGAGCAUAAAUGAGCCUUAAGGGAGUCAAUGUUUACCGAGUAUCAAGCGAUUGAUUGUAAAGACCAUCUUCUAACACAUAGUUUUCUAUCAGGCAGGGAUACAUAGUUUGUGCUCUAAUAAUACAUUCACAUAUCAGUUAGUUUUUCAAAGUCAAAGUCCAUUUCAGUGCGAACAGGUGUUCUUUUAAAGGUGUUUGGCAAAACUGAGAUGCUUUUUGGGGGGAACAAUACACAGCCAAGCCAACAGAGAGGUGAGGGAUUUCCUAGAUUGACAAAGCUGUUGAGCCGGCAUGUCCGCAUACAAGCAACAUCAGCGCCUUCUGUGUGUGCAUGUGUUUUCUGGAGCCAAACUGAUUGUGACCCAGUUGCACUGCUGACUGACACCAGACCAUGUGGACAUGCUUAUUUUUCUUAGUUCAGACAAGCGAAGAGAAAACCGUACACUCUGAUACAUACUGGAAUAUUUUUCUUGUUGCAGCAGUUCCAUGUUUUGCGGUAUGAGCCUUUGUAUUAGUGGUUUGGAUUAUCAAAUGUGUCUCUUGAAAUUCAAGAUGUACAAAUGGACUGAUUUGGUGUUUGUUUUGGAAGUAGGGGAAGUCAAGAGGAAAUUGAUGACAGUAACUCUUUAUAUUCUUUCUCUAGCAGGCUUUUCUAAACUGGGUUUUAACAGCAUUUCAGCCCUCCAUCCUGGAAUUGAAUUUUAGGGGGAAAGGGUCCUUUAUUUAUGAUUAAUUAUAGGUCUAUAAUUUUGUUUGUUGCUACCAUAAUACUUAUUUCUACAACUCUACAUUUUCAAUGGCAGCUGCAUUGGUUUGUAUAAUGAAAUGUGUUCUGAGUUAUCCAUAAAAUGUGAUUAUUGAAAUGUAGUAAAAUUGCAAAAGAGGAUUAAUUCACUGAGCAUGCAUCUGCAGAGAAAUUUAUGAGCAGUGCUAAUGUGCUCUUGAGCUCAGUCAAUGAAAGAACAUUCUCGGACACAAUGCGGUGCCACCACAAGAAAUUAUUGCUGUUAGUUCUCCUUAUUGUGCAUGUAAUUGAAUUGAGCUUUGGAUCAAUACAGCUGGGUCUAAAAGCCUCAUCUGGCAUGUUUGUGUCAUCAAUUGAAUUGAAUUGCACAAAGUUGGACUCAGCCUUCAUGUCAUGUAACAUAAUGAAACCACUGCCUGGGUUGUGGUCUGAGUAACACUGUAGCAGGGGAGGAUGACUCUGGCCCUGAUUCCAGUUCUGCCUGAGUUUAGACUUUGAAACUCUCUGAACUGAAACGUGAAGUAAUUCAUGAUGGAGGAUGUAAAGUCUGCUCCUAAAUCCUACAGGGGGGAUGGUGAUGUACCACAUAGGCUUACAGAAACAAGUCAGUGAUUGAAAGGGUUUUAUUGCACACAGGAUCCUCUGUAAGCCUACAGGGCUGAACUGAGAGGGGGAAAAAAUACAACAACAAAUGGCAACAAAAAAAAAAAGUAGUGGUCCUUCUUACAAAAUAAAAACAGAGUAUUCACGGUUUCCGGUGUUUAUGUAACGAGGACAAAAAGACAGUGAAUAAGCAGUGAAGUGAGUUGAGCCAUGUUGACAGUGUGGCCUUUUGUUCCUGGCGAGGACAGUUGUUAGAUUGAAUUGAUCUGACUUUAGAGCCUAACCAUUUAUCUUGGUCAGUCAUAUCUGAUCUGUGGCUGUCAAGUGGAGACAGGCUCCUCUGAGAAAUAAACCGCUUGGAGAGACAGUUGAGGGGCCUUAUGUACUUCUGUACCUUGAAGACAGAGUUUGUUUUCCAUUCAGGGGUCUUCUAAGUCUAUUAUUACUUAAUUCAUGUUUUCUAUUGUGGUCUAUGUCCGUCCAUGUAGUCUGUAUUUUCUAUCCUUAGCUGUUCUACCCCUGUCUCUUAUUGGAGCUGUUUUGAUGAGUGAAUUUCCCCCAGUGACGCAGCAGUAAUAUGAUAUCUCAUCUUAUUCCACUUCUAAUAAUAACUAUAUUUAGUCAUAAUUUAUUAACCAAAAAAAAAAGGUUUACAUAGAGGGCUUUGAAAGACAAGCAAAGCAUUAGGGCUGUAAUCAACAAAAGAAAUACUUGGUCGACUAAAACCUUGAGAUUUUCGAGCAAAAAUUGACUAAUCAGGGAGCAAACCAUCGAAAGUUGAUCAGCGUGGACGCUCUUCAAUCUCUCUGUCUCCAGCCGGUCUCCAGUGGGUUGGGUGAAUCUGAAAUGGUGAAAAAAAGAGGGGUGUUCUGAGAUAGGCUGGUACCUGUGAAACUGUUACCUGUGCUGUGAAAACACCCCCAUUAGCACUUGGUAAGUUCCUUCUGACGACAUUAACCAUUGACUGUAAAUGGACGCAGAAAAAAAUGGAGUUGACCAAUCAGAACUUUGGUUGACUCAGCACGUAUCGUGCAAUGAGUCGACCAGUCGACUAGGAUUUUACAGCCCUGCAAAGCAUAUACAAGAAUAAAGCACAGGAACCAACAACAAUUGAACCUGAACAUCAAGAAUCCAACAAAAAAGAAGCCAAACAGCAUUAUAAAACAAAAACACCAUGGGACAAUAACAGGACCUUUAAUAGCCAUAAGAUACCAAUCAACAGCAGAGCUUGAUCUCAUGAACUUAAACCAUAAGGACCAGGGAAAAAAAAUGGUUAAUAACAAAGAGGUAAAAACAAUAAGAAGGAGUAAGACAGUGAAAUAGAGAUGAAUGCAAUGGGGUGAUAAGAGAUGUAAAGACAGAAAGUUUAAAGUGGAAAAGAAGAUUAUGAACCAAUGCUAAAAGGAAGCUGUUAAUUAAAAUUAAUAUUAUCUUUGGCUGAGGGGAUGGUGAUUGAGGCUGAUUUGACUAUUUUCUACACCAAACUCUUUAAUUUACAACAUAUUGAAAAUGGUUCAACCUAACCAUCUCCUGUUCUAGUUUUUUCCAUUAAAAAGCAGUCCAAAUUUAGUGAAAAUUUCCCUCAUGUGAUUUGAGUGCCUAUUAUACAGAGGGAAAUUGUUUUGCUAGGGCAAUAUCAAUUAACUUUUAUAGCUGAUGUAACAACACAAUUUUAGUUUUAUUGAAAUCAAACUCCAUAUUUGUAAUCAGCUGGAGCACAUAAAUUAUGUUAUUUCGAUUUAAAUGGUCAAAUGGGAUUAAUAAACAUGCUCUGCCACUUUCUCUCCAGCUGUGGAGGCAUGCUGCUGCUUUUCCUCAAGUCAUGUUUUCCUGUGAGGUUUUACAUUAAUUCAAUGCCAUCCAAGGACCCUGUUAAAAAAUAAACAAACCUUAAGAUUCUAUUGGCACAUUUGCAGCUAAGCACUGUCACUCCAAUUUAGACGGCUGUGAGUUGAUCCUUUUGACCGUGUCUUCCGCUACCUGGGCCAUUUCUAAGCCAUGGAUGAUAAUCCUCGAGGGGCCCUCAUUAAGUCUGUGCUCCAAUUAAGCCACACACAUUUUGCUGCAGCACAAUUGCUCUGUACCACAGCGCGCAAAUCCUCCAACAGUGGAUUAGGCUGAUCAGUGGGUGGGAUGAAAAUAGCAGUGCUGGUAAGAUGGUGAAAGAGGUGAGCAUUUCUGAGGUGUCAGCAGCAGCAGCUCCCGCUCACAUGUCCUGUAGUACAAUCCGAGUUCAGGGAAAGUAUAUAGGAUGUGAAAAUUCACUAAAUUUAUAGUUACAGUAGAAACGGUCCAUGUAAGUGGCUCAAACAUGGCUUAGCAAGUGGAGUCACUCAGGAAGCUAGUGCUGCUGAACUUUGAUAUAGUGGGGUUAUGUGGCUGGCCUAAAUUUUUCUGAUCCUUCAGAGUUUCAUAAUCCAUUUCACAUCCAGUUGCAGUCUUGAUGAGGUUGUCUGGAUAUGAUGUCUUAGCAUCUCAUUGAGUUUGCAUUGUAUUUUAAGCAUCGCAAAAGGAUAAUAUUGUUAUUCUAAAACCUACAUGCAGCAGUAGCUUUAUUUUGUUGAUCAACAGUCAUUUAAAUAUUUACUUGCUGACUGUGAAAGAGUAUUGAAGAGCUGGUCUAUUCAACUGUUAGCCCCUGAGCUAAAUCUGGCUCACAGGCAACCUCUGAGCGGCCCCAACCCAACCAGCACAGAUGAAUCCAAUAUAUUAUACAAUAACUGAACAGUACAGGAAGUGUGCAUGGACGUUGCUUGGGAGUUGAGCGCCUUACUUCAUUAACUAACGUUCUCUAGAGUUGCACAUGCGUAGUACUCAUCAGAACAGAGUUUUAUGAAAGUUGAAGAGUUUAAAACCUUCCAACCAUACUUGGUAUCUUAGCUUUGGAUUCUAGAUAGUGAAACUGGUGGUUUAACUCUUUCAGGUAUUUCUAUGUUUUACAGCCAACUUAAAAUGCAAAGCCAAUGUGCCAGUUUGCGACUUUCCCAAAGGAAUACAGGGGAGGGAUGCAAGUUUCAGAGCAGAUUAUCGCUUAAUUCUGCAAGGUUCAUCUGGAAGGUGUUUUUUCAAGGCACAGGUGAAGAAUAAAGGUGCAGAACCACUCAAACCUCAUUCUCACUACUCUUUUAUAUCAGCAAAUGAUGAACCAUGACUGCUGUGGAGUAUUUAUGAUUUUCUUUUCUUUAAUGCAUUUUUUCCAGGCUUCUUUCCACUGUGGGUGUCACCUCAGACACCGCUGAGGGAAGGCUGCUCUGACAAACCAGUUAGGAGAGCCUACUGCAAUGACUUCAUUAGUUUACUGAGUCUCAUAGACCGCUUAGUGAGAUACCAUGUGAUUACCCAAUGAACCAUUUUGAGCAGUUAACACUAUUUUCUAGGAUUCUUACAACACAAAAUGCAAAAAUAACCAUAUUCAUGUACAGUAGGAACUCAGAAUUCUCCACUAGUUUCUGCCUAAGGGAACAAUGGCGCUUUUAUAGAUAUGUGAACAGUAAUUGCCCCUAACAGCUAUAAUUAAUGGCUAUGACCCCUUUAAACACAAUUCUGCUUGUAAGUGGUGUUUGUAACCUUGGAGACCAGCCUUAGCAGUGGUACUGGUGUGGACUUUGAGUGUAGUCUGUUGGUCAGAUAUACUGAGCAACAAGAACAAGUAAAUGUAAAUGUUUUAUGUGUGCAGUUGUUGUUUAAUUUACAGCUCAGUUAACUGUAAAGUAGCAGGAAAAACACAUCUGCAGGAUCACGAUGUCAACCACAACAACUCAUAGAGGGAAAGUAGCUCAAUUGGAAGCUUCAUUUGUCCCUGUGUCCUUAUGUGAAAUAAAUCUAAGUAGACCAAAGAGAUCGUGGUUUCAAGAAUGCUCCCUUGAGAUGCUCUUGAUCUAUUGCUGAUGUGCAUUUCUACUGACAGAAAGACAGUAACCCUGCACCGCAAAGUAGAAUGGCAUGAGCCCCACAAAUGCUUCUCACUUGUCUUCCCCCAACUCAAACGAUGGUGUAAUGAGCCAUUCUCUGGCAGCUAUUUAGGCAGAAAAAUGAUCAAGUUGACCAGGCAAGGAGAAAGAUGCUGUGCAUAUGUCACGCUGGUCCUUUUUCUGCCUGCUUCCCUGUUGUGGCUCAGCUAAUGCUCUUCCUUGGACUGACAUUUCUUCAAGGAUGUUUAUCCUGGAUCGCUGGGCAUUUGUGGUGGCUGAGUCGGUUGAAGUCGUGAGCUCACUCUUUAUGUCGGCUCUGAUUUGUGUUUCUUUUGUUUACUUUCAGACCCUGGGGUUAGUGACCUGUGAAUAGAGUCACACUGGGGAUAGGACUUCCUUGCUUCUGUAACGGUGUAUGGACGUCUGACUUUGGGAAGCCCAGCAGGUAUGUCAAAACCAAUUCCUGUCUUCUUGUGUGUUUGAAGUUCUUGCCUUUUUUAUUUUAGUCAAAUUUAUAUAAAAGGUCAGCUUAACAUAAAAGAAUACAAACACAGCAAACAACAUUGCAAACCAAACAUAGCAUGUGCUCAUUGGCACACAGACUGUGUAAAAUAAUCCACAAACAAAUGAUCCAAACAUAAGUGGUUGUUGGUUUUCACAAUAAAAAAGGAAUAAAAGCAUCCUAAGAAAAACACCAUUAUCUUCUACCAUAAUUUAAAAAACAUCUGUUUAGCAAUGAAGCAAUGGCCCUCUGACUUAGUUAAUUAGGAACCUUGUGGAAGGUCAAAAGUCAUCAUGUGCACAGUUACAGAAUACCCCCCUCUUUGUCUUCUUGAGCCCAGUUUGGCCCUGUAUCAGCAGCAGCAACAAUACAUGCAACACGUGAUGGAGCGCAGUUCAACACUAUUCUGGGAAUGGCAACCUGUUUCACUUAUAAAAAAAACAUAUUAGACAAACAUAUUAGAUGCAAGCCUGAUGUGACUGUGCCAUCUGUUCCAGUGUUUAGGUCCCCUGGCAGUGAAAGCCCAAUUACCCCUAGUUUAUACUAUAUCACACAAAAUUAACAUAUUUGUUAUCCUCAGCUUGGACUUAAAUUUGAUUUUCAGUAUAGCACUGCCUGGAAAUAUCACAAUGCCUUCAUUGUGUUUAAAUGGUUAAAUUGAGAUAUUAGUAACUCUGCAAUUAGUGCUGGGAGCACUGUAGGGUAUUAGAUAAUACAUGUUCGAAAUGUCCUUCUCUGCCCUCGUUUUUAAAAGGCGCUGCAGCUAGUGGAGACAAAGAAAGAAAUCAUUUGCAUUGUGCUUCACACAAUUUCCCCUUUAUUAUAAACAUGGAGCACGAAAAAUUCACUUGUCUUCCCACACAUCUUUGAAAUAAAGCUUUAAAAACAACAAUAUAGAAGUCUGCAGCCACGGUUUUUAUUGAAAAGUCACAUUAGAGGAAGUUUGUCCAUGACGUAGACAUCUGCUGCUGUCACAGAGAUGACAAAAAUAACCUAUUAACAGCAUCUGAGCUAUUAAGGAGAUUUAAAUAACUUGAUUUAUAACUAUAUGUGGUAAAGACAAAACAUGACUCAAACAGGGUGUACAUCUGGAAUGACGUGAGAUUGUCUGUCUUCAGGUUUUCCCUCUCAAAUUUUGUCAACAUUGGAAAAAUAAAAAGGAAAGAAAAACAUAGUUAACUUAACUGAAUCACCAGCCCCAGCACUGCCCCAAAUGCUUAACGGCAUCAAAGUGGCAUCUCCCCCAAAGGGCAGAGAUGACAAAGAAUGACUUGCAGGGUGUCAGACACAUCUAACCAACAUGCUUAAACGCCCGGCCUCAAAUGCCACUGCUGCAUGGUCAAACCUAAUGGGCAUGGUCACCAGCCCCUCUAUUUUCCUUUCAUGUCACUUUUUCAAUAAAAGCACCCAGGCAAGAUGAGGCAAGAAAGACUGAGACCGGGUGGAAAUUAAUGUGAUCACGUCGGGGAAGGGACUGUGCUGAACGACGUGUGGAAGGAAAAUGUGUCUCUCUGAACUCCCCUGCUGCCGUGAGGCAUAACACAAUUAGACUUUAGAUUGUUUUUUCCUCUCCCUCUGCCCAUCUGAUUUCUGCUCUUGCCCGGCUAUUCUCUUUCAUCUGCUUUAUUCCUCUGUAUUGUCAUAAUGUAGCAGACCCUGAGUGCUCUCACAGAUCACUGGUACAGCUUAUCAGUGAAGUGGUGCCGCUUCAAAUUGGGUGCCUUAAUUUAGUCUCUCUACAUUCAUUCUCAGGAUUACACUUUCAGGGGGGAAACGGCUGUGGUGGUGGAAAAGAAAGAUAAACAUACUUUAGCUAGAGCAAUCUUGACUAUGGCACAUGGAAAUGCAGAUUUUUUUGGUCUUAUUAAAGAGGGAAAAAAAGUGUAUCUAGAGUUCUUAACGUUGGAGCGACUUUUGCUUUUAGAAACGUCUGCUCUGAGUAAUCCUCAGAAGUGUUUGAGAGAUAAGUGGAGGGCAGGUUGACAUCGGGUCAAGUUAAACCGCAGGAAAAAUACAACUAACUCCUCAAGUAAUUCAGCGCUUUGUUCGAGUUAAUGACUGUAGUGUUAAACGCUCAAUGAACACAGUGAAGUGCAAAGCUGCUGGGAGUAAAACUUCUACAGACGUGAUCAGAUUUACAUCAACUAAAACGGACAGUAAUCAGUGUCACUGUUCAUAUUUGACAUGCAUGUUGCACCUGUAGGAUUGCAAACACAACUCUUGACUUAGAUAGUAUGGCCUGCCUGCUAUAACAUGAAUAGGAAUGGUGAACUCUGAAUGAACUUUCUUUGCAGUGCUGUCAGAAAAAUUUAAAAUGAGGCAUCUCCAUGCUAGUUUUUCUAUAGCAAGAAGGAGGUCGAGUGAAAUCUGUCUGGGGAUUGUGUAUACAGACCUUAUUUAUUCUACCACAAACUACUCUAGGAACAGGUGUUAGAUAUUUAAAAGACUUAAGAGAUGAAGAAAAAUAACCAACAGUGAUAUACAAAAUCAGAAAAGCACAGUACCGCCUCAGCAUCACACUCAGGUAAUGACAUAACUGUUUCUAAUACGCCAAAUGCAGGGUAAAUGUUGGCUGUGGAGAGGGAAAUUAUUCAGGCCAACUGCCAGGUCAAUAGCAGCUGUUUUUUUUCUUUUUUAUAAUAGUAUAUGUAUUAUGGAGUCGUUCAACUCUCAGCUGGAGGGUUGACGGGUUAGUUCCAGCUCCCUCUGUCAUACGCCAAAGUGUCUUUAGGCAGGAUGCUGAACUUGAAUCUGAGUGCGAUUAGUUCAUACUGAUGGUCUCCUGCUGUAGCAUCCUUUUCCAUCAGUGUUUGAGUGUGGUGUGGAUGACUAAAAGUGACAGGUGAAAGUAUAAAAUGCUUUCAGGAGAGCAGAGCUGCUCGAUUAUGGCAAAACUCACUGCCAUGAUUAUUUUGAUUGAUAUCAGGAUCUAAAUUAUCAAACAAAAUUACUCAUGAUUUGACUAUUGUACCACAUACAUUUAAACAACUUAAAAAUUCUAAAACUAAGUAUCGCAACAAGGUAACGUAACAUGGCAAAGUGUUAUCCUCCAUGAUCAUGAUUUCAAGAUAUUGACGAAACCUAAUUCAUCACUCAGCUGUACUGGAGAGUCUAAGAAUAUCAGUGAAAAGCUCAGUUUAGCCAGUUCUUAAAGCUCCCAUAAGGAACUUUCAGUCUUUGAUGAAUUCAGCACUCCUAGUGGACAAAUUGGUCCUUGCUAUCGUCUUUUGACAUUCAAAUAUGCCACCAACAGAGGAUAAUUUCUAUUAUGUAAAUGUGGAAAAAAAAAACCACCAGCAGUUUUAGAUGUUGAAAUAACUGUUUAGAAGCAGCUUCUUGUUAAUGCACCUUUUUGCCUGUACAGUAGGGCUGGGCAAUAUGGCCUCAAAUCAAUAUCAAGAAAAAUUGAGCAGUUCACCACGAUAAUGAUAAAUGGACGAUAACUCCUCCACAAGCUGCUCACAUUUUGUCUACUUCAACCGCCGCUCCAGCCGCUUCAACUUUUGAACCGUCCUCCAUCUCCUCACCUGUCUUUCCCUCUUUGUUAUGGACUGGAUGGGGUGGAGUCAUGUCACUGACGUAGAACAGCAUCUAAAAGGGACAUGAGACCAUAGCUUACCUACACACAUCCAAAACCAACUUUUAUUUAUUUAUUUUUAUGACACUGAAUGUAUUGACAUGGGCAAAACUAUGUCGGUUAUUGUUGUAAAUUUCAGUAUCUGUAAAUUUUCUGUUUAUCACCCAGCCCUCCUGUACAGGUCAUCAGGAGAUAUCUUUAUUUAUUUAAGUUUGUUUCACAUCUAGCUACAAACCUCUCACAGGAGCUUUAAGUUUUCAGAUAUUUAGGGAAUAUAAUAUCCUUUUCUAAGUGAUGUGACCACUGGCUCACCAUUGACAAAGAUUAAAGAUUGUACUGCUGAAGACAAAUUUAAACUUGCAUCUAAAAAUACCCGCAAUCGUAUUUUCACUUUGCCAAAGAUCUGCUCUUCAUGUGCGUCUGCGCUUGUCAUGCUCUACUUCCAUACAGGAUCCACAUGCUUUACAACUGGUGAAUUAUUCAUCUCCCUAAUAUAAUUGAUGUGUGCUCUGAGAAAGCAUGCAGAAAGAGGUACAAAAGGAAGUGUCUUCACUACCACGCAUGUUCAAUAUUCAAAGGGCCGAGGGGAAAUGUACCAUGGGGCUAUACUGAAGGUUCAUAAUGUAUUCACUAUAAUCAUUGAAGUCAAAUAGCACACAGUGGAGCUGCAGCUGUGAGGGGGAGUCCAGUAGACUACCAAGCUAGUGAGCCUGAUAAUUUUACUGAAUUUUAAUGGCUAUGUUUACCCACCAACUGCAUUAGGAUUUGCUCCAUUUUCAGACUUGCUGUCAGAUGCUCAUGUUUUCAUGGGCGGCUUUAAACAUGACCAGAGCAGCUGUCUUCAAAUUUGCAUUUCGAAUUGUUUUUUAAGGCAUUACUCAUGGACGUGAGGGUUGAAACAAUAUUCAUCUGUGGCUGCACUUUAGUAGAACGAACGUAAAGGCAUGAUUAAGCCAUUAAGGCCACAUCUGCCAGCCUAAUUUCUUUUUAAUUUGCUGAGAACUCCGCUGUAUAUUGCUACAGUGGAUGUGACAUUUUGAUUAAGCAAGGGCUGUAAAAAUGAUUACCACAGGGUUACAGAGGGUUACUGCUCACAUCACUGUGGAGAACAGUAACCAGAGGUCCACAGUGGCUACCACUGCCAAACCAGCACACCCCUGAAAUCACACUGACCUCCCUUCUAUCAUUACAGCAAUCUGUGUCACACACUGUGAGCACAGAGAAAGGAGGAGACAACCUCAAUCAAUCUCUCUGUGUGCGGGCAAACAUACACAUUUUAUACCAGUAAACCUCAUAUUAUUUUAUGGAAUGCUUUGAUUUUACAGCCGAGCUUAUUACAUCAGAGUAUUUACAUCUAUUUUAAAGCUUUUCUUCUCGUGGUAAAUCCCUCUUGAGAAUUUCUUUUUUUAAUGCUGCCUUUGGCAUAAACACUGGGACUAGAAAUAGAACUCUCAGAUUAAUUUGACACACGGAGUGCCAACUUGAAACACUGAAGUGCCGACAAAGCCAUGAAUGAUUGUGGUAAAUACUGUGUAUAUGCCUAAAUAAAUGGUAUCUGGUUCUGGGGGAUCAGUCCUUAUUUGAUGCAUGAGUAAAACAUAACUCCAUUUGCAGGGGAAAUCCUUGUGAAACUGAUAAAGCAGGAACUAAAUCAAAGAGGCAUUUGUGGCAACAUUUGUUGGGUUAUUUUGCUCUCAUAAGACGGGAGACAAGACAAGCCUUGGGUCGUUUUUGAAAAUGAUGAAGUAAAGGCUAUUCAAACUUUGUGCGUACAGACAGACAGAUCCGUUGUGCUAAUCAUUUUCAAUACCCAUCAUACAAUUUACAGUAUAGUUUAUAAGUCAACAAUGGAAUUCCCCAAAUUUAAGAACACUAAUUCAGCCAAAAAAUAUCCUGUAACAGAGUGUGAUGUUUAAAGACAGUUAGCCUGAAAUGUUGUUAAUACGCUCAAAUGUGUUUGCUUUCUGACGAUUGGUUCAAAGGCAAGCCUAUUACUAAACCAUGUAACCAUUGUCGGCCUGUACACAGGUUAUAAUACAAAAAAUAAUAACAUUAGACUUCUGAAACCAGUCUUUUAUAUAUAUAUAUAUAUAUAUAUAUAUAUAUAUAUAUCAGACACAUGCAGGGUCUGGAAUCUGCUUUUUGACUCAUCGGCAAGUAAAAAUAACAAAAUACUUAAUGUCUUUUGGAUGUCACGUACUCAUUUGUUACGGUGCAUUUUAUAGUAUUUAAUAGUAAGGUAUUGAGAUGAAACUUGGGAGCAAAUUUGAAGUAAAAUAACUUGAAUACAGGAAAAUCACUGGGGUUCAUUCUGCAAAAAAAAUAUUUUGUGAAGUAAAACCUACAAAAUGCUCAUACACUAAAAUAAGUUUUUUACUGAUUAAACUAGUCAUCAACAUUCCUUUUAUUUUUCAUCCCAUGCGUACAUGUUGCUCACAUAAUGUUUGUCUGCAUCAGCCCAGCCCUGCAUAGUUCAGACAUGCAGAGGGACUGGAGAUAGAAGUUUUACACCGCCAAUCAAGUGAGUCUUUUUCUGGUACUUAAUCUUAAAAAGAAGGGGUCAUCCCUUAAUCAGGGUUGUUUAAUGUAUGAAGGUCAAUAUAUUACACUUAAACAUAUGUUUCUUGUUUUCCCAUAUUAUUCCAAGGCACCAAAGCAUUUCUCCUCUUGGUUUUACAAACCCUUGUGUUUUAAGUUUAGUACAGUAAACAUGUAAAGUGGAAAGACUUGAAUCACUUUUUAAAUAGAUUUCAAAAUAAUCAAUUAGAGAUGUUGUUCUGUCAGCAGCUGCUGCAUGUCGUGCUGCUGUGCUGCUGCUGCUGCUGCUGCUGCUGCUGCUGCUUUAUAGAGUAAAAUACACUAGUGUCUGUCCCUGCAGAAAGGUGCUGGUUCAAGUUUCCAGGAGUGCUGGUGAUAUAUGAAAGUGAAGAGUGAAUUACUCUCCACUCUCCCUUCAGCAUCUUGUGCCUGCUGUGAAGCUCUUCAAUAAUGUGAGGUAGAGGAGGAGGCGGUGAGCUGCUUUCCUGUACAUACAGUAUCAUUGUAUCUACUCUAACUGUGUGAGGAAAUGAAGUCCUGCAGCACAUUCGAUACAUAAGUUCUCUCACUUCUGCAACACUCACAGUCAGUGAACAUGUCUGUGAAAGAAAGCCACAGCUGAAGAGCUCUUGGAUUUUAAAAGAAUCAAGCACAGUCAUUUUUUAUUCACUACAUGAAGUCAAUUGGAUGUGUUUUUCCUGAUGUCUCAUGAAUAUGUAAGUGGUGCAAAGGAACUGUUCAGUUAAUAGUACACAUCUUUCAUGCUCAGCCCCACCUCAGCACAUGACUUCACAUUAUAAUGAUACCCUGUUAUAAUGUCACUAUAAUGAUACACAUUUUCCUGUGACACAACCUCAUGGGUUGGUUUGAUGAAAUUUUGCUUGUGCUGGAAUGAUGAAAAUAUCAGAGGUGUUCAGUCAGCUAAAGCACCCGGCGUUGUUAGCUGCAAGUGUAAUAGAGCAUGGGAUUUUAGGAUUUUACGACGCAUUCUGAGCACAUCCUUGUCAAAGCACAUUUUGAUUGGUACAGAGAGUGGGAUGUGGCAGACGAACAAAAAGAGGGUGAGGACUGUCUGAAAGAGGCGGUGUCUGCGCAGUUGUCUGUUCUGACUAAUGUUGCAAAGCCAGUGCAGGAGAGAAGCAGUCAGUGCUGUGGACAGCUCUGCUCUGUGUUGUGUUUUCACUUCAGGACCUUGGACAGCUCUCUGAGGAUCUGUCAGGGAUGAAUGUAUCUCCCCGACAACACACGUGUUUUUCUUUUCUCUCCACUUCACAUGUUCACUGUACUGUUUGUUUAAAUUAAUCAUUACUAUUAGAUAACUGAGUUCUGAAGAGCCUCGGGCCUGUUUAAUAACCAAGAGUAAAGGAUAAGUGAGGUAAUGUUCUGCUUUGCUUGUCAAGUUGAAUUUUUUUACUCACAGUCAAUGCGGUGACCUUGGUAACCUUAUUACUUAACUGUACCAGACUCUGAAAAGUGCAGCCAAGUGGCUAGCUUUGUUCCUUUAAAAUUAUAUUUACAUUGAAUCCAUUAAUAGAGAGCUGUCUGCAGACGAACUUAAUCCCACAGACAAGAUGAAGUCAUCUUUUCAAGCCUUAUCACGCCUGGGUAGGACCCGGGUUUACAAUGGCGUCACCUUUCUGCAAAAUUAGACAAAAUUGUAAAAUUAAGGGAUGUUUUUGCCUCUCAUGCGUUUUUUUAUUUCUUUAUUUUCUUAAUUUGUCUAAAGAGAUAAACACAUUUUUGCACACAAAAGCAGCUUACAGAAAAAGAUAAGAAGUAAAAGCCAAAGACGCCACCCACAUUAAACAGCUGCAAAUAUGCUUAAAAGUCAUUUACAAGCCAAAGUAACAUCGUUGGAAUACACCGGUUUCUACACAGGUCAGAAGUAUCAACCCUCAUAGCCAGAGCUAACAGUGUGUGUAGUUUUUUCAUACCCUGGCUCUUAACGAUGCUAUCACCAAAUUGAAUCAUCUGGCUAAUCGUUCUGUAGCCAGAUAAAGAUGCAAACUUUCCGCAGAGGAGAUAGAGAAUCUCCCCGUUGCCUCAGAACGACCUCAUAAUGUCUUUUCCUCAACUUGAAUACCUCUUUUUGAUUCGUCAAUGCUGUAUAAUACUGUCCAUUUAUUAGAAAUUAGAUCUCUACAAUAGGGAUGCAGUCACACCUUGAUUGGAGCAUUCAUGGGGUUGAAAGAACAGCUAACAAGCCCUGUGGGCUCCAUCAUGGAGAAUAACAUAGGUUUAAUGAAGGUAGCUAGAUUGGUUUUUCUGUUGUUUUUCUGUUCUCUCUUUAUGCACAAAAGGAAAUUUAAGUCUCAUUAUAUGGGAAUGUAAUAAUGGGAGAGUACACAAUUCUACCUACAUUAGGAGUCAAGGCAGUGUGAUUUUUCCUUUCACAAAAUCUGUGCAGGAUUUUGCUCCCCUUCUUCUGCAAAUCAACGAAGUAAUCCUUUUUUUCACUCUUCGACUCCCAGCAUGGCCUCAUGCUGUGCGGUAUAUGGCAGGUUGUAAUGCGACUCCCCUGCAUUACGAGAACAUUUCCUCACCGGAGUGUACUUAGACAAAAAGUUUGGGAAGCGUGGUAUGUUCUUUUGGAUAUUUUAAAGCCUUAAAUAUAAACUUCUAGGAUGGAAAAUAUAACAGAGUCAAAGUAAAACUGUCUAAUAUUUCCUCUAGCUGUUCUGAUUCAAGAUUCAUAAUGCAGCACAUAAUCCUUUGUUAUUCACCCAAGAGUAUUGACUAUCGUAAGCAGCAGGAUUCUUUUCUUCUACCUUCAUUUUGAUGUUAGGCUUUAAAAAAUUCUAUAUGUACUUUGAGAGUUAUUAGAAACUCCUGACUAUUUUCCCUGUUCCACAGUCUGCAUUGUUUCUGUGAGCAGUUUACGGCUAAUGAUGCCUUUGCUACUCCUGGGUACACUUCAUUAUUGUCUGGCAGAGAAUUGACCUGAUAUCUUUACAAACAGGAAACAUUUUGAAGUCGGCCAUUAGAGGCUUUAAUUGUGCAGCUGAUUUACCACUCCUCAUCUAAAAAAAAAAAAAAAAAGUACUCCAGAGCAGAUCUUCCUAUGUCAAAACUAUUCUGUUUGCAGCUUUAUGAUUGUAGUUGCAAUACAUCUACGCCAGUGCCUGCUCCGGCUGUCAUCUAUGAAUGCACGAAUAGGGAUGAUGUGAAGGUUUCUCAUUCAUGGAGCCAAGUUGUGCUGAUUUGUGCAUUCAUAUUUGCACAAAUGACUAUCUUCUAUCACUCAGUAAGGCAGUCUUAUUCAGAGUUUACCAGGACUAAACCCAGAUACAUUCCUCCUCCUUCGUAACUUUAUAUAUGUGGAGUGUAAAAACAUCAUCAUUCAGUAUACUUUCACUGAGCCUUCAGAAAAUAUACUAAGGUGUCUUUCCUGUCUGUAUUAACCACAGCUCAUUAUUUUCAAAAGCAAACUGUGAUCCGCCCUGCAAACUCAUGUUUAUGGAUUAUGAAAAUGGAGGAUGUGAGUUUCCAUCAUGCUUUGCCUGUAACACUUGGAGGCACAACCAAGCUACCAGAGCCAGCAUCACCUCGGUCUGUCCUCUUCAUCUCCACUACAGAAGGCUGCUUUCACACCUGCCAGAGCUUCUCUUUCCCCUCGCUCUCUCUUUCUGUCUCUUUCUCUUCCUUUUAUGGCUAAAUGUGAUUAAUGCCCACAUUUUUAUAAUCUCUGUUCUUUGUUAGAUCCAUCUUUGAAUUUCUGAUGCUCUAAGUCGACCUUUUUAUUGGGAAGUCUCUGCAUUUAGACCUACAUUACUUUGUGCCAGUAAGUAAGUGGUCUAUCUAAGACGUGUUUUGUUGCUCUUUAUUAUCAGACUUUUUCAUAAUCCCUGAUCAUAUGGAUCGGAUUUUUUCUCUAAACUGGUCUAAUUAAAAAACUCAAAGAAUACUGUCAGAAAUCAGGAGUUAAAUGGAAUAUUUUCUCUCCUCAAUUUUAAUUCAGAUGACUCAUAUGAUACAAAUAGGGCAGGUUUUUUUUCCAGUAUCUAAUUGGUAUUCCAUUCAUCGAGGCUGUUUCAAAUCAGGCUCCAGUGAACCAUCAUGAGGAAAAUAUGGAGAUUUUUUUUCAGGGGGACUUUGGAAAUAGGUUCUGACAGGACUGUCACUGUUGACUGAAAUAGCACAAGGUCAACAGGGUGUAAUAUCCCGUGUAGAGGGACAGAGUAGGAUAUGAAUACAUGACUGUACCAUAAACUCCAAUGAGUACUUCUAACUCAGGAAAUAACAAACUUUAGUGCUGGGAAAGUAGAUGCACUAAAGGGAGAAUAUCUUUUAAAGUAACUCAUCACCAAAAUGAAUUUGUAUUAGACUAAAAAAAUUAAAAAAUCCUUGUUUCAAUCGAAAUGAAAACAUUUAAAAUAGAAAAAUAGAUGUACUGCCAAUUUGCUGUAUCCCAGUCACUACUUAAUGACUUCAUUCAGUGGUGCUAAUGACGUGAAUGAUGCUACCUUUAUUUCUUAAAGAAGGAGAUGACAACAGGAUGUGUAAAAAGGGUGAAUGUACCUGAGCAUUGGCCGCUUGAAAAAGGAAAUAGAAGAAAGAAAAAGAAAGAUAUGUCCCAACUCUUAUUCUGAGACAAGGUGGAAGACAAAGGAUCACAGUGAUUUGUUCUAUGUUGUGUUGUGUUGUGUUGUGUCGUGACUCCUGGUUUCUCCAAUCUCCAAAAUAAAUUGGCGAAUAAAUGCAGUAAGAGAAACAGAAAUCAUGUUUGAACUUGGACCCUGCUGUAGCUAAUUGAAUUUUUGUUAGUUUUGGAGUCUUGGUUAGACAAAACUAGCAAUUUCAAACCAAGAACAAAUCCACUAAACCAACAAAUGAGAAUUUAAGCUGUAUAAAUAAAUUUGAAUGAAAAUAAAGGUAGCUAUUUGUUUCAGCCCAUUUCAAUAUUUACUUGAGUUAAAUAUCUUGCAUGAUGAAGAAAGUAAAUUGUCUUUCACAAACUCCGCUUAAUGGUUAUAUGCAACAGGAUCCGUCCCGUUAAACAGUAUCGGUCAGUCCUUUACUUGUUAUUUUUUAUAGUCCUAACUUAAUAUUUAAUAAAUACUCUGAGAGUUUCUCCGGUUUACACACACACACACACACACACACACACACACACACACACACACACACACACACACACACACACACACACACACACACACACACACACAGUUUCAACUAGGAUAAUCUUGCCUCUUCAGAUGUUUCUGCUGUUGCUGAGGAAUCUCACUGCGCUGAUCAUCCGCCUUUCUUUCCGGCUGACAAGCUCUGCUAAUUGGCGUUUAACCAAAUAUGACCUACCUGUCAGGCACUGUUUGUUAUUGUGAUUAGAGUUAUUUGAUGCUCUAUUCCUCGAGGUGUUUACAUUACCUUACGAUGUCCCUGCAUCAUUGUUAUGUUACUAAUGGCAUUAUGCACCACGUACUCGACUAAUGCAGGAUUGUAUUUUUUAGAUAAACUAAAGAUUUGACCUCAGAUGGUCUACAUUCAUGCCUCUUCUAGCUAGCACCUCUUCAAGCCAGCGCCACAUUCGGCACUUUCUUCUACUCUCCCUUGAGGGUUAAUCAGAGCUCUGCACAAGACAAAUGGUACAGAUGAGACAGCCCUCCUUGUAAAGAAAGACCAUUCAAUCCCUUCUUAUUGUGACUCUUUUGAGCAGCCCUUUAGUGAGAGCUUAUAUCUUAAACUGCUCGCCCAAUAACUCAAUUCUGCUCUUAUCUCAGGCAGAAGAAGAGAUUUAGAGUGAGGUGAGGGAGCUUUCACUCAUUCACUGUAGGAUGUCUCCCACAGGCCAGACUGUAAAGAAAUACAAACGACCCACAUCAAUGAUGUCUUUGAGAGAUCACCAUGAAGAUGGGUGUUAAUAACAUGGCACAGCAGGCAGCAGGGCAUGGUAUAUUGAUAGGAGAUACACAGACAUUUGCAACACAAGGUGGUGGUAACAGAUAAAACAACACAGAGGAUUUAUAAAAUGGAAGAGAUGGCUCUAUUUGCUACAUUGAUUUUCUAUAUACUUAUGCUAUAAAUAAAAGUCUGGUUGGGGAUGGAAGGAAAGUGGGCAGAAUAGUACAAAUCAUUGUAACAUCAAUAUUAUACCAUAUAAAAUCAAAAUGCCACUCCUUUCUGCUGUUUCUUUGGAUAGUUUAGGAAAGCCACUGUACAUUAGAUGUAAAAUGGGGUCACAUCUGGGGAAAUGGACAAUCAGCAUUUUGUCCAGCCAAGAGUACUUGAGCCAUAUAACAGAUUCAGAGAAGGAACAAGAGUCCAGUCAUCUGAGCAGACAAAAUCUCUCCUAUCCAUCUGUUUACUGUGUAGAAAAGAAGCCAUUGAUGCUCCUUUGCUCUCAAAACUAAACAUAAAAUGCUUUUUAUCUUUAGCUUGGUUCAUAUUAUUCAGGAACUGAACUCACCAUAAAAAAAAACGUGGUCAAUUAAAUGUAAACCUGGAAUUAAUAAUCACUUUGAUACUCUGUUUACAUGCAAAUAGCCAAACAGCUGCUGUUUGAUUGCUUUUUUUAUUAGUGUGCUGGAAUGAUUUCAUAUAUUUUGUAUCAGAUUGAUAUCAAACUCAACCAAUAACUCAGCCAAAUCAAAGCUUGCAAAGAGUAAUUUGACAUUUUUUGGAAUCAAGAACAAAAUGUGUUUUUUAAUAACAGUUAAAAGCUCCACACUAAGUCUAAAAGGCCCCACAACAGUUAUGUUGGGUCUGGAUUUCCUGAAGCUUUUGUGCUGAGCAGGAACCACUUGUGAAAUUGUAUUUAAAUAAAAAUAUUUUGCAAAAGUCACAAGGCGGUAUAUUAAUAAAGAACUGGCACCUAACUCCACUCGUGUGCAGAAGCACUACCAUGGUAGAAGUGUGACUCCAUGUCGACUCCUGUGAGGGGAAGCUGCAGGGAGGAGGAGUGGGAGGUGCUUUUUAGGUGUUCAGUGUACAUAUUUUCAAGGCGUCUCUGACUUUGAAGCAAUCUUAGGUGGGCCGAUGGCUCAUCUUAUGCAAUACUGCUGGAUGUACGGUACAUUAUUUUUUCCCUUAUGGACGGCCAUGUAGGCUCUGUAAAGUCUGCACAGUUCAGACCAUAAAUCCCUCAGCUGUGUCUUUAAAAAGCACACUGAAUGUUUACAUUCACCUUUGUUAGCGCUCUAAACUAAGGUAGUUGUUAUCGGCAAGUAUUUAUUAAAGCCCCUGAAAAUGAAACAAUGUCUUCUACCUGCUGUUUCCUGACAGCAAUUAGGGUUCUUAUCUCCCAUUACAGUAACACAAAAACCAACCUGUGCCUACCCUCAAACUAUUAGUCCUUUCUUUAAUUGCAGUCUCUUACAUAUUCUGCCUUUCUCUGUGUGAAAAGCAGAGUCUGAAUUCUACCUCUAGUCUGGGUAGGAAACAAAGCUUCAUCAGCUACAGGACACAGUGAUUUGAUUAGGUUUAUUUGCAGAAUAUAAAUAUAUAAGAGGAAAAAAAAAACAUGUUUACAGUAAUCUAUCCUGACUCCAUAUAUUUGUGUUCUGAUUUUUCCCCGCGGUUCCUCCUUCAUCUGAAGUUUUUCUAUGCCUCACCCAGCUCUCAAUUUAUUCCCCCAUUUAUUUAUUUAUUUCCUCAAUUUCCCUGCAUUUAUAUGUCUGGAAUUUAUAUGAGACACAUUAUUUGCAUUAGCGGCUGUGUGGAAUAAAAAUUGAACUCCAUUUUCUGGCUGGUGUAGUUCACCCUUGUUUGUUCCCUGCCCUUUAUUUCUUUUGCUCAGUAUUUGACAUUAUUUGUCCAACUUGUUUGUUGUCAUACCCAGUUUGUUCAACUCUGUGUUUGUCUGCCUGUGUGUUUGUCUUAAUGUUUACAGAGAGCAAGGACAUAUUUGUUUUCUCUCUUGUUUGCUUUUGCUGUUUAGUGAGGAGGAUUUGCUGCUGCACUUGUGGAGAACAAAAGCAGAAAGAGAGGAACUGUGUGUCCCUGCAGCGUGUUCCCCAUGUUCAUAUUUUAUAUGGAGCUCCACUGAGAGGCACGUUUCCUGAGGAAAUAUAUGAACCCAUAGCUCUUCUAUCAAAGGUGGACACAUUAACAGGUCCAGUGAUAAGCUCACAUAUUUCAGUGUAGUGACAGUAUUUAUCCAUCUUUAUGGGCUGUCUGUAAUUGUGGGGCUGUGAUGAACUGCAGCCUAAUGCUGGUUUUAUCAGUUAUACAGAACAAAGGAGCAGAAUAACAGCGACGCCUCAUAAAAGUUUUGUUUUACAGGUGAUAUAUAUAUCUUGAUAUAUAUAACAUAUCCCAUUUGUUAUAUAAAGUGUAACAUAUAAUUAGCUCGAUCAAUCAAUCAAUCAAUCAGUCUCUGUUUAUAUAACACUGAUUCAGAAAAAUGGUUAUCCUAAGAUGCGGGAUUAGCAAGUUACAGUAGAGAGGAAAAAACUUCCUUUUAACGGACAGAAACCCUGAGCAGAACAAAAAUCAUAUUAGAUAGUCAUCUGCUGAGACUGCAUUGGGUUUAGAGAGGGGAUAGAGGGAGAUGAACAAAGGUAAGACUGAUGUGAAUAGCUAAAGCAGCUGGAAAACAGGCAGGUCAAUGACAUCAAAUUUUCUAGAAGUUUGGGAGAAAUAAAACAAAGGUAACUACAGAUAUUUUAGACAAAUUCCCAGAAGAAAAUCAUUGUUAAUGUCUUAUGUUCCUCAAAAAGGCAGUUUAACUAUGUCUGGGCUGCUCAAUUGGCAGAUCGUGAACCACGUCUGGCCUGAAGACAACCUCUAAAUGUCCCCUAACCAGCGUAGAUGAAUCUGUUGAACAUUUACAGUUUUCACAAAAGUAUUCAGGUAAUGCUUUGUGUCUGAACUUUUGAAUAUGUCCGUGUCAUUACCAAAAAGAAAAAAAUAGACAUCAAAAGCCAGCUGCUUUACCCUGCCUGGUAUCUGUCUGCCUUUAAACUUCAUAUGCAAAGCCAACAUAUCUCAUUUGCAGCAAGUGCGUUGCAAUAAUCAAAGAAUAUGACAUUCAGAGAUAUCACUUUGAAAAACUUGUGCAACAACUUUCCCAUCAAACUACAGGAGAGAAAGGCUAAAGCGCAGUCUGUCUGGAGCUUACAAACGAAGACUGAUAAUCCUGGUGUGGCUCUGCGCAGCUUAACAGAGGACUACAGCAGCUCUCCUCAGUGUGUCAUGGGUCUUUACUAAAAAAUAAAUAAAAGUGACCAUUCACAGUCUAGAGGAGCGAAAGGAAGUUAAUCAAUGUAAUGAAGCUGGUUUAGUUGUGCCUCUUUGACCAGAAGUGUUUUAUUUCAAAUGUGACACAGUAAUGUUACUAUUGCAAAUGUAUUCAUCGGUGGGUAUUUCAAAUUUCAUCCUAAAAAUGUCAAACGAGCUUCUUCUAAGUAAUCAAAUAUUUAAAUAGUUUUAAAAAUCCUACAUACGAGAUAAUAACUAAGUAGCUGCAUUGAAACAAAAACAAAGACAAAGACUUCUCUCUAAAAACUUCUGAGGUAGUGUGUGCUACAGUAAGGUAGGUGGUGCUGCCACCAACAGUGGGCAGCAACACCACCUGUGAGGUGAGUGUUCCCCAUGACUGAGGCCAGUUGUCACUCACAACACCAGAGCUAUGAGAGAGAGGGAGAAAAACAGUGACUGUCAGGAGCUCAGUGGCCCAAAAGUAGGCCAUGUUAAUUAUCGACAGAGGCAGAGCUACGAUUAAGAUUCUAAAAUAAUGGACACACGAAACAGCUGUCAAAGCAGGCAAAAAUUAUGGUGUCAGAGAGUGUGAAUGUCCAACAAUGUGGAGCCUAAAUAGACUGUCUUUAAAACGUGAACAGUCAGACGAGUGUUCGCUUGGUCCUUAAGGCAGCUGCCUCUAAGAGACUGACAGGAGAGUGUGUGAGUAUGUGUGUUCAUUACCAGAGCUGUCCAGACAAAAGCUUUGGACAUGGCCAAAGGGAUUAUGGUUGUUUUCAAUAGAAGUGGGCAGCUUAAAAGCUAAUGAACAUUUAUCUUUAGUUUUAUGAUAUUAAUAGUUCUCACUGAUGCUAGAAAUGCUUUAUUUAAAUAUGUACAUGUACAUGAAUUGAAAACCGUUUCAUUGAAAAAAAAGGUGUCAGAAAACAGUUUAUUCAACAUGUUUUUCCUUCCAAAUUAUAUUUUGUAUAAGUCUGAGCAAGAUUUGCCUUCUAAAAGUAUUUUUCCAAUAGUUAAAUUUGAUAAAAAGGUUCAUUUAAUUAUCAGAGAAAUUUUGGCAAAAAUGUUGUAUAACAGUUAGGUAUUAUUUCCCAGAAUACAUUGUCUUUUUCUGGGUCCAAUUCAUUCUAUAGACAAUCAAAACCAGGCCCACAUUUAUCCAUGUCCAGCUUUUGGUUUGGUCUCACUCUUGAUUUCUCUCCUACAACAAUAUCCUAAUCAGUUUCUCCCAAUAAUACACAGUGCUUCAACGAUAACUGAAGGGAGGUGUUCGCCCUUCCUCCAGUAAGCUGGGCCUCUCUACCCCAGGGAGAUGUACUCCCCGAGGCCCAGGCUACAUGGGAAAACAGGCUUUCAGGUUGCAGAUUGAUUAUAAAAAGGGGAUAUAACUGUCUUCUGCAAGUCAAAAUUACAUUUUGUUCAAUUUUGUACAUUCUUACAUUUUUGCUCGAACAGUUUUAAAUAAAACUGGUGAUAUUGUUUGCUCUCUUAUUUAACAUCCGUAUAAAACUUUCAGCAGGAGAAGUCUUUAAUGGUGUCUGCAGGAUAUCUCUCCUAUUGUUCAAAGGACUAUUAAAAACGCUCCAACAGUCCCUUGGUUUUGUAACUUUUUGGAGUCUUUUAAGACUUAAAAAUUCUCCCUCAGAUUCUUCAAACUCAAAUAUUCCAGCUCCUACAAGAUGUAUUUAUCAUUAUUAUUCAUGUAGGGCGAAUACAUAUUCCAAUACAUAUGCAGACAACAAGCCUAUACCAGUUUUUGUCUUCACUGGGAAUAUCCUCAGCAGACAGACAUAAAUCUAGAUAUCCAAUUACCAAGUGUAUGAGGGAUUAUAAUGAUAUGUACCAGACAGUGCGGCGAGUUGUUUAUGAUGUCUCAGCCUCCUGUGGAGCCACUAAGGAUUGAUAGCAAACAAAGCAAAAUGUUGGUGUCUUAGCAAUAAAUCCACACAGAUCUUGUCCUCUUUUGAACCAACAGAGGGGUCACGUCCAUUUGAAAGGCCCCCGUGUUUGGGCAGGAUGCUCAUUGCCAUCUCCCUCCAGUAAUAAGAGAAGCUCUGAGGUGGCAAUGACCAGUCUGACAUCUACAAUACUUCCCCCAACCCCUGACUUUAUGCAAUCUGUCCAUGUCUGAGCAAACAUUAUCUAGGUCACAGAACGACAAAUGUCAAAUAUUCCCACAUGAGAAUAGCUAUGAUUUAGUCCCCGAGGAUAAACAGGGUCCUUUCAGAUCCUUUUUCUAUCAGCUUCUCUGAUCCCUCAUCGCGUCCUUUCCCUCUCAUCUUCCUCUGAUUUUCCUCUCUUGUCUACCUCAGCUUCCUCCUUAUUUCCAGUCCUCCCUCCCUCUCCAUGCCUGCACUGUGGCACACAGGACCUGUCCACUUGCUCGUAGAAAACGUUGUGGUAAUGUUGUGUGGCAGUUGCUGAGGACAAUGGCCCGCAGGUGUUUUGUGAUGUAAUGAUCCCUGCCAUCGCCUCUCACCCCCUCCAGUCACUUAAGAGCAAGAAGGGGAUGGAAAGUAACGGGCUAAGUCGGAAAGAAAGAACAUGCAUGAGGAGGAGCAGUGCUGCGAAACAGUAUCCAAACCAAGCCAAGUUUCAAAGUGGACAGAUGCUGGACCAGAUAUAGCAGCAGAAUUAGCUGUUGAUAUUGUGUAUCCAGACAUCUCCUUUUCCUGAAAUAAAUUAUCAGCCACUGUGAAGCUGCAAAGUGGCGAGCUCUGUGAAAGUGCAAAGUGUGAAUGAGUGUUUGACUAUAUAACUGUGAAACAAGGCUAUACUGGGAAAGGGCAUGCACAUGCUCACGAGAUGUUUCUGUGUUAAUUAAAUGUCACUUUGGCUUUUAAUCGCUGAAUGACAUGGCGGGAGAGAAAAUGAGAUCCAGCAUCACCUCAGAAUUGCUUUUGCCCAUUUAAUUUUUCAAUUUACAGAAAUGAGCCCAACAAGACAAGAAAAUAUCAUCGAGGAUAUGUGACCUCUUUUUCUUGUCUAAUUAUACUUCUACAAUAGAAAUGGAGUCAAAAUGGGGAAGUAGUUUGCCGAAAAGACAAAAAAUGAAGAAGCUUGUUUAGUCGUAACAAAAGGGCAGAGCAUAAAAAUCAAAAUUAUCUAUAUCUUUGUUAUGAAUAGGACCACUGACUGUGUAAAGCGAGGAAAAAGCCUCAGUCUGUUUGUUUACACAUUACAAAUCCAACUAUUGUGUUCAUCCAACUGGACUUUUAAGGCAAAUGUAAACACGCUAAUCUGACUUAAUCAAACUUCUGGCUAUUGGGCUAACAUGGUUGGGGAUAGAUUUUCUCUUGCAUACAAACUCCUAAACCAGUCUGAGACUGGCCUAAGCAUCCAUAUUAUUCAUGUCACACUACGACCCAUAAAUUGAAUAGAACUACUGCACUGCAAGUAGUCUUGGAAGUAAACAAAACUGAAACAGAAGAAGAAAGGAGGUAAAAAAAAGGCAAAUCUGUCAUGACAUAAGCGAAAGGCACAGAGCUGCUAUGCAAAGUACCCAUCAGUAUUAACAGAUCCAAUUCACACACCACUGGGUACAGCACACAUGGGCAGUCUUGGAUCAAGGGUCUUGCCCAAAGAUGCUUGGGCAUGUGAGCGGGGGACCUGGGCUGGAACCUCCGACCACCUGAUUGAGAGAUAAGUGACUCUGCCUCUCUGUCCCUGCUGCAUUCUCAUAUAUCGAGAAAACAGAAGGGUUAGAUAAGUUGGAUCACUUAGAAGCUGGUGAUAAUGCCUGGGCGGUGUUAGACAAGUAUCAUUUUUUAGUGUCUUUUUAGCCCCCUGCAGCUCUGUACUCUGCUCUUCGUUUUCAUCUCUGUCACUGCAGAGGUCAUUGCUUGCUAGAAGCCAUAGUGGAUCCUUCCUAGUGGCAAAGACAUUAUGCAAACAUACCAUGAACUGGAACAGCUGUUUUCCAUUGUGCUGACUGUCCAGUGGGGUUUAAAGGUCAACAAGUGACCCCAGUUUCAGUCAUAAACAAAAUGAAAACGGUGUCAAAACAGCUCAAGAAGUUGUUUUGGGGUGUUCAUGGCUCAAGAUUCUGCUGCAUCUCAGUUACUUCUACAGCUGCCUAUACGCCUGUAGCUGUUGAUUCAAGUUGCAUUUGGUUUUAUUUAGUCUGUAAUCCAGCAUGUCUGCUAUCAUCUGCUCAAGAUGUUGCUGAUAGGUAAUACAGGGGGAAAUGUGUUUUGGAUUCUGACGGGAUGUUCUCAGCACAGCCAGAGGUUCAUUUCAGCUGCCAAGACAAUAGAAGUUUAGAAAAAGCACAGCCAAAAAGCCACAGUUGAAAAGCCAAAACCAGUUUGAAUCAAAUGUUUGCUUGUUGUCAGCGUGCGCUGGCAUACAAAUACGUGCAGAAUGUGAAGACAUGCACAGCCAUUCAUGAUUAACCUGUUCAGAUAACAGACAAUUUAUAUGAUAGGACAACAGCUGAUUUAUAAUAGAUGAAAGAGGAACAUAGCACAGCUCAGCUACUUUCCAGCUCUGCUAUGAUAAAUACUGUCAGUCAGUGGUUCCAUGUUUGGGUUUGAGAUGAAAAGAAGACAAAAGAUUUCAAGGCUGUAGACGCUGGUAAUGACUAGAGGAGUUUGGGCUCUGUUUCUGUGGUGCAGAAAGAUAAAAUUGGUCUUUCUUUUAGCGGUUGCUGCAUUUAUAAAAAAAAAGAAAUACAGCUCAGGCUUGAGAAUGAAACCCUGGAGCUGCAGAGCACAAAGUCACCGCAGAGUAACAUAUCUGUGAACAACGCUUUGUGAAUUGAGCUAACAUAGCUGUCAUCUCUGGAGGACGUGGUAGACCUACAUAUCUCAGUCAAAAUCUGUUCUAACUGAAACUCGACUAAUAGGAAGAAAAUUGUCAGUAAUUAAAAUGUACAUCAGAAGUUCUUGUUGAAAAUACUCCACAGGCUGCUCUCCCAUCUGUUAAUUACUCUAUGAGUGGCUUGUUAAGUGAGUGCCUCUGCAAUAUGCUCAUUUCAAAUACAUGCAGCUGAUGAGCAUGACGACAAUGAUGAGGCUUAGAUUUGUGUUCUUUUAAGAUGAAGUUGGCUCACUUCUUUAAAAUAUUUCAACACAUAACAGCAGCUCAGUAAUUGCCUCAUCCAACUAUGUUUUAAAUCUAUUUUUAAAAACACAAGUUAUGAUGUAAAGCAAAGCAAUAACCCUCAUUUCUUUACUUCAGCAUAUGUAGAAAAAAUACAUUCACAUACAUACAGUAGAUGCAAAGACCCGACAAAGCGUCACACAGGCCGGGUUAUGGAGAUGACUCAAAGCAUUUCUUUGCAGGUCAGAUUUAGGAGAUGAGUCAUAUCAGUGCUCUGCUCUUACAUCUGAGCCAAUAUGAUUAAAAACAACAACAAAUAUUGUCCUUACUGCACAUAAAUCCUCCUGGCUUGGAUUGAUAAUACCAUCUUUUCCUUUUUUAAAUUAGUUAUCUUAUUUCUUCUGUUAUCUAUAUGCAGCACUUUCAUGCUCACUGAAGUAACUUUAAAAACCCUCAUCCAUUAAAGUGUCAGCACCUUGCUGAGUCAUAUCUCCACGUACAACAUAUUACCGUCUUUGUUCCUUUAUCAUUCCUGUUUCGUUUAUUAGUAGGAUGUCAUUUCAAACAAGAAAACUAAUGUUGUCCACUGAAAUAUUAUUGUCUGAGCGAGCGUGCGACAAUAGCUGCUUAUUCACUGAGGCGCAACAAAAGGUGAUGUGGCUUUUGUAAAGAUAAAGAUUAAAUGAGACUUCGACUGAACUGACCUGGCAGAGCUCCUUAACAAGCCGAGGGAGACAUUUUUGUGACCAGGAGUAAUGAUAAAAUCUCAUCUCACAUUUGUUUUAACUUCCACUUCAGUAGAUUAUAAUGGAGAGUUGUUUCAGAGGGAAAGGUUUGUUGAUUUUUAAGUGAGGUUAAUGAGGUAAUUGUCAGCGGUGAUAACAGUCAUGGAUGUGAGGCUAUCAACCAGUGCAGACGGGCCCACUUCUCUGCAUAAUUUAGCUAAUAUUAGGGAGGUACAACUCAAACAAUUAUCUCAGUGGAAGUGUGUAAAUUUUCUUUGCCAUCAAAAAGCACAUUUGUUUUAGCAGACAUCACUCGUAAGUUUCCGUCAAAGGGCUCAGUGGUGUGAUCUGUCAUCUCUCAACUACAAGGUCCCAGAUCCCACCAUCCCAUUAUCCACAUACUGUAUCCACAUUUAUGGACAAGACUCUUGACCCCAAAGUGCCCCUGCUGCCUGCACCAAGAGGUGUGUGAACAUAGCAGCCUCUAUGUAAAAUGCCAUUAGUGUGUAGAUGUGUGGUGAAUGUGACAUGUGAUGUAAAACACUUUUAGUGGUCAGGAAACUAAAAAAAGGUCCAAGAUCCAUUCAGGGUAAUUCACUUGAUAUUAACGAGUAUCAUAUACAACCCCAAAACAAAAAGAAAAAACAAACUAUUAUCUGUCUAUUGGUUCAUUUGCACAUGGAGUAAAUGCAUGCGUUUCAACAGCACUGCCCACUCUAGGCCAAUCCAUGUCUGUUCUAGUUGAGGCUUAUGUUUCCACGGGGAGCACCACGGCAUGUCUUAGAAAGUGUCUGCCUCUCUCUCGCUAAAAGAUAUAUGCUGAGUUAAUUAUUAACAGAGCCCGGACGUAGCACACGCCAAGCUGAAAAGAGCAGAUCAACCUAGACAGGAAGUCAAACUGGGGCGUAUACCAUCCAUUCAAUUUAAAAAACAAAGCACCGGCCUACUGCACAGACCUCCGACUGUAAACCAGGAUGUAUUGAUAAAUGAUUUUAAGUGAUGGAUAACUUAAUAAGAACUACAAAAAAACCACAGAUUGCUGAUCCAUGUGUUAGAAGCUAAAAAAAAACGGCAGUGCUCGAAAUCCAAGACAGAUUUUCCCAAGGGAAUGAUUCCGUUUUUUUUGGUAUCGUAUUGUAAAUAACUUAACUUGAUAACUGUGUAGCAUGCCUACUAUUGACAGGAGCACAAAUGUCACACCUAAUCAACCUUGGACAGGCAUAGUAGUUCAGCAAAUAGACACACCAUUGCAAGAUUUGCAUCUCUUAUUGCAGAAACAGAAACCGCCUAAUUAAAAACAGCUUUCUUUGUGCAAGGUUCCUACACAGUUGGGAUUUUCAUACUUUCCCAUACCCUACUGUUUCACGUUAUUUUUGGAAAUACCUACUUUUCUAUUUUUAGAAAACAGUAUUUUAGAACUGUGGUGAUAGUCUGGAAACAUAUUUUUUUCCCAUACUUUAUUUUUAAUUUUUCAUACUUUUUAAGACCUGGAAAUUGAUCACAUUUAUUUCCAUACUUUUCCAUACUUUCGAGGAACCCUGUUUGUUUUUAAAAUGCAAACAACCUCACAGAAAACUGUAUUAAUGAGUACACCAGCUGUUUGUCACAGUUUUUGAGUUGGUUUCAUUCUCACUACAAAUGACUUCAUGGUUGAUUUAAAAUGAGUUAAGGCCACCACAGUACUUUCCUUCAACUCUAGAUUGUAUUUAUCGGAUAAAACAUUCAGACCUGUUUGUUGGGGUGAUUUUGUCUGUUCAGUGAGAGGUGCAGUAAUCUGAAUAACCCUUUUGGAAAUGUUUUGAUUACUCUUACUGUAAAUGUUGGUUUUCAAACAAAUCCAUCUUCAUGCCUGAGAUAGAAUUAUUCAUUAUUUCAAAUCCAUGAAAUAUGCAUUCUCUGAAAUGUACUCACUCAUCAAAGGGCCUGAUCAGUGCCAACUCUGAGAGCUGUCUAAAUCUAGUUUGAAAGCACCAGCAAAGUCCCUGAUGAGGUGAGCCAAAAAUCUCAAACAGCAUUGGGAAAUAACUACUUAGCAUCUCCAUCAUACCUGCAUGUGUGUGCAAUGGUAUUAAUAGCCUUGCAAUUAGCACAAGAAUUUUGAAUUUAAACGGAUCUAUAAAAUAGAAAUAAACCUGAUUUUCUUCCCCAAUACAAAAAGAUGUUUUCUUCAUUGAGCGGUGAGAGCAAUCCUUUUGAUAUGCAACGUGUGAGGUUGUGGUCCUCAGGGUCAGACCACAGUGGAGUGCUUUGCCUUUGAGCCCAUACAUCUGCAAAUCAACUCUGAUAGAAGUGUCUAGGUUAUACAACCGACCAUUAUUAUGUUGAAGCUGUAGCCAAUGGUGUGUUUUCCCAUGAAGAAUGCCAUCACAAUGAAUACUGAUUGCAGUGAUUCACCCUCAAAAUUAGUCGUGUUUCUCUUCUUGCAAGAGACGUGCUUCCAGCAACAAAAGCCUGUUUGCGCACUUUCAUCUGGCUAUCCCUUGCUAAAGUGGGAUCGCCCACAUACUCCCCUCUCCACUGAAAAAGGAUUUGAUCACUGCUGCCAAGCGGAGUCAACACACGAGUGUGGAAAUGUAUUGCGAGGAGUGGGAGAGAUCUGUGUGCAAGCUGAGUCUGCUUGUGAUGUCUUUAUCAGGCCUAUGCAAAUGGAGACAUCAAACCAUGAAAGCAAUGGGUGGAAUACAAUAAAACACUUUUAUUAUACAACGUCAGGAUCUCAAAAAAGGGGCUUUGUUUCACUGAUUUAUUGACACACUGUAAUUAUAUGCAGAGCUUUAACAUUUUGUUACAUGUGGAAACUUACUGUUUCUGACUGUGACAGUCGUCAUAGCGAUAUGUCUGUGUUUUAAAUAGGUUCAAUGAUCACUACUUUAAUUCAAAGUAGUCAGAUGCAAAACUACAGUACACUGGAGAUCACAUGUUCUCAGAAUUCAGAGUCAGUUUUAGGUCAUUGAGUCUUCACUCCCCCUCUUCUUUGACUCACUCAAGGCUGAAAACAGUUAAGAAUAGCUCCUCUCUGAAAAUGCUUUAUAUUUGUUUUGGUGCAUUUAAAUAAUUAAAUAGAAAAAAAGAUACAUUAUUGUGAAUAUCUAACUCUGACUUUACACCUUAACUGUGGCUUUUCACACAACUCCCACAAUCCUCUUAGCAAAGUCAGGAAUAAAUAUUCUGUACAUCAUCUUGACUAAAGCACCGUGGCUCUGGCACAUUUUCCACCUUUUUUCUCCUGCUCGGGCGUGUCUAUAUUUCUCUGUUCUACUGUGAGGAACCCCGAGAGGCAUCGAGUCUUACACCAGUCAGAGCUCGCCUUCACAGGAAGCAUCCUCAUCCAUGUUUGCAUGACUUCCCCCUCAGGGAGACAUGUUACAGACAGUAGACCCCCCAAUAUCUAACACACCUUAUGCACACUCAUGAUAACCACUACAUGCUGAGGCAAAUUGUCUGCAUACUGCACCGUUUGGAAAACCAGCAAUCACCUGAAGCCUCUUUGAGAGAAGUUUAUGAGAAUUCACCAAAUUCAUUAUGAUCUUAGAGUUACCAUUUUUACUCAUAUUUAUUUGAUAUUACUGAACACAUGGCUGGGUAGAAGGACUGGGCAAUAUGGGGAAAGAUUAACACAAUAUAUAUAUUUUUUUCAUAUCAGUUGACGUAGAUAUAGAUCUCAAUAGAAAAAAAAUAGAUUUUCAAUCUUAGAUGUUCCCUGUUACUCUUAAAUGAAAUUUAACAGUGCUUAUUGGUAGCAUAUAUUUUGCAAUACAAUAAGCUACUGCGUCUGUGAGGUCUUUGUGUUUUCGAUGUUUUGUUGUAAGGUGUUGCACUAGAGAAAGCAGACUGAACGGUCAAUUCAGCGCAGCGCAGACCUGGAGCGACUCCCCUUUUUAAUUGGGUCUUCGUAUAGUUUACCAAAACAUGGCAGAAUGCCGGCUAUCCAAAAGCAUAUUGACCAUGUUUCAUAUCGAUACUGAUGGAAAUUAAUUUUUGAUAUACAUCAAUAUCGUUUUAUCACCCAGCCCUACUGGGCAGCAUUUUAACAACAACAAAAAAUCCAUUUCAUCUUUGAAAAGCAUUUCUACAUACAAGAACAGUAUUGAUGUGAAUAUCAAUAUUUUUAAUGAUGCAACAAAAGUAUUGCUGUCCUGCAAUCCUGGGACCAAUCAUCGUAUAUCUGACAACAUUUAAGCUUUGUCUUUAACCCCGCUAAGCAGAUAUUCAUAUUUGAGUGAAGUUUCAAACCUUACUUAGAUACUAUUUCUCAUCUUUGACUUUAUUUUCAUCUCACAAGUAGCACACACACACACACACACACACACACACACACACACACACACACACACACACACACACACACACACACACACAAAGAGAAAUUCAAGGGCAUGGCCAUCUUUGCCAGAUGUCCUUUAUCUUCAACCCCAGGCUAGACCCUAAGCACCAAAAAGUUGUUUGUCAGACAAAAGCUAAAGGCCUCUAAGAUUAGUGUCUGUCUUCAAUUCUUGUGGGUCUGUGAAAAAAGCUCCCUUCAUAGAAUUUACCCUGAUGAACUGUUUGUGGUGUUUCUGGCCAAGAAUCUCAAACUUUCUGCAGACUUUAUUUUUUCUUUGUCUUGAAGUGAUUGUGUAAGACAUUUUUUUAAGAAAUAAGUUGCUUUUCAGUUUUAUUUGGAGCUGCAAAGUCUGAGCAAAAAACAAUCACAUAACUAGUUGAACUUUCUCACACGGAAAAAAGGAACUUGAGGUUCCCCAUGCCGACUAGUCCGAAGGUCAGAAAAAAACUUGUGGAAAAAGGUCAAAACUGAGCUCUCAUAUUAGUUUAAAGACUGUGGCAAAUGUUCAAAGAUCACCACCAAGCAUUUGGCCUCCAUGGACAUGCCAUGUUACAAGAUCCCACCAUAUCUGUGCUUCUUUACACCUGGAUAAUAGAAAAUAAUAGUACUAUGACAGUUGCCAUCAACUAGGGCUGCAGCCCAGGCAAGUGGAAGGUGGUUUUGUGACAGCUGGAACAGACAUACAAAAGUAAUAAGAAUAUUGGUAUCUAGUUUAACUGACUGGUAAUUCAAUUUGGAAGAGUGAUGACAUAAAUUGGUUAAAUGGACUUAACCUGAACAUCCCAAAUAUGGCUGCCCAUCAGUGAAAUCUUGCAUUGUGUUGCUAGAGUAGUAGCAACCCUUGAAGAUAGUACUCAUAGUCCUUGCUUCAUGUCUGUUCUCCCAACCUCAUAUUUUUCAUCCUCAUUCAUGUAUAUAUAACAUCAAACAUGUGUGCAAUGAAUCAGAGCUCCUUGAUGCAGUCAGGGUAGAAUGUACUUUUAAACAGACUGAUUUACUCCGCUGCCUUCAGGAGAUUAAUGGCAACCAGUGCAAUUAACCAGAUGUAAUUGUCAUUUAGAUAAUUACUUUGAGAAUCGUCAACAGAGGACUGAAACUGCUGAAAUAUCAACUGAGCCAAGAAUCAGCUGGCUUGAGGCAUUAGGAGCUGAACAGUAACUCAAUGUAGGGGUUGACAUUAAACAUGGAGGCACAGAGGGAAUCAGUGCCACAUCAGGCUUGUUUAUGCACUUCUGCACCUCUGUCUGCAGAAUGAGAGCUUUUGGACGUUUGAAAUGGGAAAUAGCAGUCCCUCAUAGCAAUUUUGGGGCUUUGUAUUUUUGCACUGGAAUCUAACGUUUCUGCUAGUUUUACUACUCUGUGGAGUCCUCUAAAAUCCACAAUCUUUUUUCUCAAAACAGCUGGUUUUGAACAUGACUCAUGAGGGAGUUUGUGAUGUUGGAAAUGUGGCCAUUGUGCACAAGCAUGGUAAAUGGACUGCACUUAUACGGUGCUCUCUAGUUUCCCUAUCACUAAAAGCAUGCUCCAUUACAUGCCACAUUCACCCUUUCACAUGUUCAGUACAGUUAAACACUAAUGGUAGAGACUGUGGUUCGUGGUGCCAGUCUCCCCAUUACAUAUUUAAACAAUGAUGGCUCUGCCCUUCUGGAGCAUAAUCAGGUUAUAUGUCUGCAUGUCAAAAGGAAACAUAUAAACUGCAGUUGCCAGGGGCUGAACCACCGAACUGCAGACUGAGAGACAACUCUCUUCACACAGAGCCUGGUAGAGCUGCUUGAUUAUGGUUAAAAUCACAAGAUAAUUACUCUGAUUGAUGUUGAGAUCAUUAUUAUUAGAGCCAUUGAUCUGAUUUUUCAACAUCUGCAUCACAUACAUGCAUAAAGUAACAUUUUGUAUGUUAUAGCAUUGAUAGGGAUAGUUACUACACCAAUAAUUUGCUCCACUUCAGGAGCUUUGACUUCAUUUUGACAAUUUUGUAUAAUUACCCACAAGUCUCACUUGUAGUAUUUUCAUUUUUUUCUCUUGAAAAUAAAGGAUCUUAACUCUUCCAUUACUUACAAUUUACCAGGCUGCAAAUCUAACCCCAAUUUUCCUUUUUAGACCUCAAUUUUCAAAACAUCAGGAUUUGGACUCACAUGUUAAUAAUAAAAUCGAGUGCCAGUCACUUUUCAGGCCUGCAAUCAUUAACUCUUUUAUGCAUGUUUGCACCACUCUGUGCUCCACCCUCUGUCUUGCUGUGCUCACAUUUUCCCUCUGCUUUACUAACACACAAAGCUCAUGUUCCCCUGCCUGGCAGUGCUACACUUCUCUCCUCUCUCCAUCUGUGACUCUAUGAUGGUUAAUUAGCACAACAUGUUGAUAGUACAUCAAUGCACUAUGCAGCAUCCACAGCUUCCCCCCCCCCCAAACUUCAAUCAAUCGAAGCUCCUGAUGAUGACGUAUUUUUGCCGACCGGUCUCAUAGAUGCGUCGACCAACUCGUCUAACACAGGGUUUACCAGAUUGCCAGUCCAGCUCCAGUAAUGGCUUCCUCUGCUCUUUGCUCUGGAUUUAUUGUUUGAGAAUCCUUUGCACAUUUGUAGGGUUGCAGCAUGUUUGGGAUGAAUUACAUUACCUCAUUCAAACCUACAAAACCCUGGUUUAAAGGCAUGGAGAUGCUUAGGGAUCAAUUAGGUGAACUAAAGUAGCAGCUCUGGCCUUGUUGAAAUGGAUUCAGUCAUUUGCAUCAGUCAUUGUGCUUUAGGCAUUGUUAUUUAGGGAUUAUCUCCCUUUUUUUCCCGUCUGUGCUAAUAUGUUGCUUAUAGCCUGCUUCAUCAGCUGAAUCAAUACUUAGAGAGCCAGGGGACCACUGUUAAGCCUUUCCUUGACAUGGCUGUACAGCGCUGACAAGUGUUCACCUCUCAGAGACAGAACCAACAAAUUGCACAAUUUAUUUGACAAGAGAGACUAAUAGUUAUAGAUCAUUACAGUUUGUCUCACAGCAGUGUUAAUUAAUUAGGAUUAUUAGGGAUUUGUAGAUUUCAUAACCUCUGAAAAUGACCUAAAAUUACAGUUGUGAAGCUUUAGCAGAAAGAAGAAAAGAGCUUGCUGAGGGGGUUUAAAGUCUGGGGCCGUGUGUGGGGCCGUGAGGUCGCCCGCUGCUCUUCUGAUGUGCUUUCUUAAUUACCCUUAUUGAAUUCAUUAUUUAUUUGCUCUGUUGAACCUGCUUAACCUUGCUGCCCUUCAGCAAAAGAUGAUUUAGGAGGCAAGAGGGAGUUAGCUGAGACCUCCACCUUCGGGAGGACGUCCAAGUUCACUUCACCUCUUUGAAAAGUCAUCAAGUGGAAUUAAUCACGUUUUGAGACACGGAGCAGAAGGUAGAAUAUAACAUUAAUCAUUAUCAUAAUCUAUAUGAACAACGUGAUUAAAUACAUUACAUUUAUUCGUUUUUAAUUUACAAUUAGGUCAUUUGCUGAUGGUCAAAUUGAAAAAAAAUAAAUAAAUAACUUAUUCACUCAAGUCUUUUGUUCAGAUGUGCAAAAAUCUGGUCACAUGACUGUCGGUGCUCCCUGUUAGUCAUGUCAUCAUGUCCCCGAUUAGGUCCUGGCUUGACAUUUCUGUCAUGCAGUACACAGCAACAUGUCAAAAUAACUCAUCACACAAUUCCUACACAGAUGACAGGCAACAUGGUUUGGGCAAAAUCCCAUUUAAUCCUGAAAGAUGGAAAAUCCAGUUUUUAAAGAGCAUCGAAGUACAGUAUCAGUGCAAAGGUUCCCUAUCCUAUCAACACUUCUUUAUAUUAUAAUAAUCUGUUAAUCUUAACAGAGAAAACCUGUGUGAAUAUAAUUUAUUAUGAUGCAGAUGAUCAAGAUUUGCUAGCAGAAUGUUACAUGGAUAUCUUCAAAAGCUGUGAUUUAUUCCUACUGGAAUGGAAUUUUGCUUUUAAAGGAGCUGCAUACCGAGGUGGUAAGAGUAGUAAUUCAAAUACAACAUGCAGAAAAGAAGUUAAAGAUUGAGCAAACUCCAUGUUGAGCUUUCGCUUUGUAAUUUGAUGACUAUAUUCUGCUGUGUGUCUCCUCUGUGGGAAAUAACCCAAGAAUUCGCUUCAGCAUGACUCGGGUCAUUUGUAUGAAGUGGGAAAUUUAUUUGCGUCUGAUGCUAGCUCCUCUUUUUUUUUUUUUUUUUUUAACUUUUUUUGAAAAUAUCUGGUAUCUUAUUCCCUCUGUGUCUUUGUGGCUAAAUGUCAGAUAACUUCUCUCAAGAAAGUUUCUGGAUUUGCAGAGCUUCUUUUCAUUCGUAAAAGGUGAAAAGUUAUUGGGAUGGCUUCAGUAAUGUUUGCUUUUAAAGUCAAUGAGGAAAAAUAUUCACUAACCUUGGCUACAGGUUGUUCUUUGAGUCUAAACUUCUUAUUCGCUUUAAAUACCCGCCAUUCGUUUUGCAGUAUCUUAAUGCUGUUGAAAGUUUUCCCUUAAUUAAGUCAGGUGGGAAUUUCAGCUCAGAUUUCUCUCCAAAAGAACAUGUCACCCAAAUCAGGGAUUGUGAAAUGACAUUGGGUUGCCAAGAAGAGGUGAAAAAACACAGGAGUGCUUUGAAAUGAGUUACAAACCCUGAACAUGGAACACCUAUCAGCUCCACUCCAUUGCGCAAAUGUGUCUGUUUACUCCAAGUCCUUGAAGGGCUCUGCUUCUGCAUUUGCCAACUACUGGAACACAUCUCAUGGUCACAUUUGCCUUCAGUUGCCAUGGCAGUGCAGGCAGAACUCACCAGAUAGUAAUGAUCAUUUCUGCACACCUUUAGCAUCUGACGCACUCUUGGCAAAAGGCACUGAGACCGACAGAGAGGGAGGAAAGGCAGGCAAUGAUUUGAGUGUCUGUCUGUCAGACUGUCUCGAGGACUGAAGGAAGCAGAGCCGAGCGGUUUCCGGAUUUUGUGACAGGAAGGACAAAAAAUAAAUAAAUAAGGAAAAUUUGUCGGAUCCUCAUACCCCAAAGGCCCAGCAUAGUGAGAUUAUUUAUUUAUGUGUCGGUCUUGCUCCUUCAUAGAUGCAUUGUGAAUGAUUUAUGAGUUAAUUUAUACAGUAAAUAACAAAAGGUGGACCAGCCGUCCAUAGAUCAGGAGCUUAGCCAAAUAAAGCUCAACCCCUCCUGCUUACCCCUGCAUGGCAUAUUUGCUCAUGAAGAAUUUAUGAAGCAUUUCAACAGACCUUCAUUAAGCUGCAUGUGCAAAAGUUGUUUAAAGGUGUCGUCUAAUCUGAGUCAAACAACUCUCUUCUCCGUGUAUAUCACACACUUACAGGCAAAUUAGCAGAAGGAAGUAGUCUGCAAAGAAUGUCCUCUAGAUUGUGCGGUGAGGACUUUGAAGGAGCUGCUGUCUUCCACUUCUCAUUAGUGCCGUCUCUGAUUCUGUGGCAAUUCAGUUGGGUUUGCCGUGAAAGGCAAGAAAAAUGUAUUCAGAUCAAACUGAAUUAUGAAGUAGCCCUGGAAAAUUGGGGUCAGUGAUGAAUCUCUUUGAUUUUUUUUUUUCUCUCCCAGCAGCUGUGUGUCCAAAGAAGCGAAGUUUGAUUUGAAAUCCAAAUUCAGUCAGCGUAAGAAUGACGGGCGUAUGUAAACAAAAGCCUGAGGGUUAGAGUUAGGGUUCUGUAUGAGCAUAGCUUUAAUAGUAUGGAUUCAAGGACUAUUUGCUAAAUGUUGUAAGUUAAAUUUACGUUAAAAAGUCAACAUGUGAAGCUUUGAAUGAACACAGUAUGAACUUUAGAAUCAUAACACAGAGUUAGAGACCCCCUCGAGAGAUGAAUGUUGCCAACUGCUCACUUCUCUAGUUGUACCACAAACAAGCUGCUUUUGUAGGAGAGUGGGUGGGUUGUGUUUGGUCUCUGCUAAAGAAAUUAGGCAAAGCUGAAAAGAUGUUUGCUGGCUAGUCCUAUGACUACGACCUUAUAUGUACUGCUGAUGAAGUUAGGUGCUAUUCUGAGCAUUAUUUGUGGCUAUAGAGUGGCUUUUCCACUUUCCCUUUAACUAAACCUCUUGAAUACGCUAGAAUCUGCUCAAAAUUGAAAUGCUGCUCAUAUGACAUUGAAAAGGAAAUCUCAUUUAAAUAAUGAAUUUAAUUUAUAGUAAACUAGCUUGAGGAAAGAAUAUUAAUUUCAAUCCGGUAUUAAUUUUCUUGCCUGCCUAAGUGUUAAUUUAUUUUAGUCUGCAUUUAAUUUGAAGUAAUAAGUAAAAGGUAAUAGGACUAAAUUGACCGUCAUUUUCACCUGCUGCCCAUCCCUAUGUACCUGAGUCGCUGCCUGCUGCAGGUGAUUUAAUGUUAAUGUGACACCCGGCCAAACAGCUGAGGGUGGAAGGGGAAAAGUUUGUUGACUGCAAAGACCAGAUACGCAGAUAUAUAGUUACCUUUCAUUUACUUAAAUCCGUUGAGUGACACUUGAAAAUCCUUUAUUUUUCUUGGAAAUAAACCUUUGAAGUGAUGCUGGAUCUGUGGCUGCUUUUUGUUUGGACCAUGUGUAUUAGACCCACACGGCAGUGGUUUUCUGUGGCAAAUUGAAGCCACUACAUGGUUGUUUGCACUGUUCUUGAUUUUGAGGUUCCUCAAAUCAACACAUCAUAUUUUAUUUCUGCCUUCAGUGGUUGAUUUAAAAGAUGCGUGCUGUUAAAUUUCAACCCUUUUGUCAUGUAAACUCAGAGGCGUAUUCAAAGCAUUAUAGGGAUGUUAUUAAUCCAAGCUCUCACAAAAGAAAUAACUCUGAUUGUUAAUCUGCCGUUUCUUGAAUAGCGAUGUUAUUAAUGAAUUGAAAGAGCUGUAACUGAACUGAAACCACUUUACAGUACUUUGUAAGGAGAGGACAGUUUUAGCACUCUGUAUUUUUUUUUUUUUCCUUUUAGCACUCAGCAAGCCAGACCUCACGUGGCGCUGCGCAGGAGGUCUGAAACAAUCUGGGCUUGCGACCUCGCUUCAAAGAAAAACAGGCAGUGAGCACAUCUAUAACAACUCUUUUUUUGUCUCCUGGUGUGUGAAACACUCAUGUUGAAGCACCUCCAGUUAUCUAUCUCUGUCACUAAUAGUCAGGGUAUAUACAUGGGGGCCUGCUCGAAUACUCCUUCCCUUUUAGUACAUCUUUUUGAAAAAUAUUAAGAAAAAAAGAGAGCUAUAAUGGUUUCUGCGUCUGCGUCCAAUUAACCGGGAGGCGUUGUGUCGCCAUUCAUUUGUUUAUUUACAUGAGUAAUGAGAGGAAGGUACAACAGGUGAGGCGCUCCCUCAGCGUUGCAGAUGACGAAGCUGCAGCUCGACGUCUCUGAUUACAAACCAUUAAAUGGCAAUCGAGGCGGUUCACAGUCACUCACAUCCAUCUUUACAGGAAGGUUUGUGCUACAGGGGAGGGAGAAGUACAGUUACCUCAGCUCCUAUAUUAGAACUAUUACAUAUGCACUAUGCUUGCAUCAACAAAGAGUUCCCAUUAUACAUAACCAGCAUGUAAUUUAAAUUCAAAUGAGCUGUGAAUUUUAGAUAAAAGAACUAAUUAUAGGAUGAGUUUCAUCAGCUCAUGCAGCUUGAAUGUUUGUUUUAAUGUGUGACGACUGAAGUUUUCCUGAAACACGUGUCUUUGCUGCAGAAAAAGCCUAGAAAGAGCAAUUUAAUCAUCAGUAUUAUUCAAACCCGGCCAAAAUCCUCUCUACUUAUAAAUGAGGCCAAAACAGGACCAAUAAAGGGGUAUCCAGGCAACUGGGAUGGGAAGAAAUCAUUUCUUUUAUGUUUUUGAUAAUUACUUUUUUAUUUUAUGCAAGAGAUUUGCACGGAGGUGAUCCAGGCGCCUGCCAGACUCAAGAUUCUGCUAACACCUUUAAAUUGGUCUUCAAAUAUACUCCAUACAAAACAAGAGUUGAAAAGUUCUGUUUGUUUGUGUGCGAACUUGAAAAAGGACCCUUUUUAUUCAAUUCCAGUGAAUGAAAAGAGAGUGCCGUGUGACUCCAACAGAGUUCUGGUUGUUAGUUUCUAUCUAAGUAAUCGAUGAACUGAGCACAGCCUGAGUUAGCUACCAAGCAGCUCAUCUAAGUGGACUAGUCAGCCAUCCUGGAUGAGCAUUAAACUCAUGAAGCUGUAUUCAACUUUCAGAGAGUUUAUAAACCAAGUUUUGCUGUCUGAUAUGUCUCCAAGGGACAACAUUCACAGGUUUUGGAUAAACAUAGAUGAUGUGAAGGUUCAUCUUCCAGCAGGGUAACGGCAGAGAAAAACUCUCUUGGCUCUUGUUCUGAGCACACCUUUAUUCUGCAAAACACUCCAAGUCCACCCUUUUUUCAGCCAGUGAUUGUUUUGAUGCGCCUCCUCAUUUCACUGUGUUGCUCUGCUUGCAGGAGUCAAUGAUUUCAACUUUUGUAGCCUUAAUAACCCAUCCAUACUUAUUUGUUUUAUAAUACUUCUGCGGAACAAGCAGCGAGGCAGCCACUGUGUGUAACUGAGAUGAUGAAAAUGAAUUUCACUGUAGCUUUAAUUGUAAUGCAGUACAAAACAAAAGAGGUCCAUCAUCAUCAGUGUGCUGCCAGAUUACUUUUUCCUCGUUUAUUUGGCUGAGAACCAAACACAUUUUAAUUUUCCAAACAAAUUAACAAUGAAGAUUAAAUAAUAUUUAAGCAAUCAUGAUUAAUGACACACACUGGAAAGUAUUACAUAAUUAACUAGGAAUAAAUCCAUGUGUAUUGUAUCACAUUAUGCAAAUGUGAGAUAGAAUUUGCAACUUUUCAAGGCCGUUUAAACAUUGACUACAACAUACUUUAAAGGACACUGGCAACAUGUAUUAUGUAUAAUUAUUACACUAUGAAUAGGGAUAGGGUUUGAAGGAAAGCAAAUCUGAAAUCUAUACAUGCUUUAAUUGUACACAAUACACACAUUUGAUUACAUGAAGCUGUGAAUAAUGUUGAAUAAUGCUGCACAGCAUCUAUCAGAACAUAAACAGCCUAAAAGGAGGCAGCAAAGCUCAGAACAUUAAAUGUAAAAGUUCUGAACUUCACUGAUGCAGAAAAUUAGAAACAAUCUGAGAUCCUACAUCACUUAAUGGGUGGAAAUUAAAGGCUCAUUUCCUGCGGAGGUCAACCAUUUUUCCGAUUUUUGCUUUUGUGGGUCAAAACAUUUUUCAAAUGGAAAUCCACCACUUACCAUAUGCUGCUUUUGUUUUUCACAAGUCUCAGAGCAGUGCAGCCAUUUUCCGCCCAACAUACCAUACACUUCUGCCACCUUCUGCUUUGCCAACCAUUAAACACACCGCUUUCUGUUUAUUCAGGUAAAAACUGUGAACGUUUGUUGCCCAAUUUUGACAGAAUCACGUCCAGAUGUUUGAGUCCAGAUGCGCUGGCGUACGCUUUAGCACCCGCAUCCUGGACUCCUUUUCAAGGCCUGUGCGGACCACUCCAGAUAUGCCCUAGUGUGUGUGCAUCCUUGUUUGCCUCACACAAUAGCCAUUGUGAAGGCCAAACCAAGCAGUACUGUCGAAGUAUGUGUGUGCAUGUAGCAUCCUAGAUACUAUACCCUCAUCAAAUAUUUAUUCAAAUCUCUGGUGAGAAAACCCAGCUGUUGUGAUGCCCUAUUUUAUUGCACUUCUGGCUGCAAGAACUCCUCUGCCCUGGGGGUCCUGGAAACUUCCUUCCUGCUCGCUGGCAGGAGAGAUAAUUGAAUAACCUGUAUGUGUCAGGUAUUUUUGAUUAAUCACGCAGGGGCAGCAGGUAUGUAUCGCCGUGUGCUAAGCAGAAGCUCCUCCUGAUUGGAAUGUCACAGGUUUGAACCUGAAUAUAGUCAUCUCAUAUGAAUUGCCCUUGAGCAACUGAAUGAUAACCUGCUUCAGGUGUGCCUCUUCUUGGAAACUGUGCGCUGCAUUGUAUCUGGUAAAACACCCAAAUUUGCAUCUUGGAGGGAGGAAGAACAUUAAUUACCCUGUUUUGUUGUAAUGAUUGAUGCAUUUGAGCAUGUGGAUGCUGAAAAGCAAUCCGUUUUUUUUUAUUAAUGAGGCUCUACAUAUGGGACUAUAGCAAAGAAAAGAAAAACACAUUGAUUUUCCCUGUAGGACACAUAGUAUGAACCUGUGUGGUGUAUUUUCUAUAUAUAUGUAAUUAUAUGCAUAGUGUCGGAGGCUACUGUAUUAAUAUAUGCAAAGAGCAGUAUUCAUGUGUAAAGUCAAUGGAAAGGUGAAAGGGAAGAAAUUGAUUCGAAAAUAUGACACGAAAGCAGGGGUAGCUUUGAGGUCAUACGCUCUUUUCACUGUAUGAAUAGUCAAUGUGUUCUCUUCAUUGAAAGCAGUAUGUAUGCAUGUGUCAUGCAUGUGGAAAUGGCAUUAUGCAGUCCGUCUCCUUUACACUGCUCCUUGUUGGGGUCAGAGGUUUUAUAAAGGCCUCUUUGUCAAAAGCCUUGCCUGAAUUACUCUAUAAUAAGACUUUGUAUAAUACCGUAUUUCCUGCUCUUCUCUGGCCUUACUUUUUCUUCUUGUUCAGGUUGAAAAUCACUAAUUGUGGUUGUCCAAAAUGUUACAAUACUUUUAUACUUAACAAUGGCGCAACUUGAGUGAUACGGUGUCUUUUACUCUUGAGUUUGAUUGUACUGAAAAAGCUCCAAAACCUAUAGAAAAACUUUUCUACUGUAUUAUUCUGAACCUACACAGACCAGGAGCAAAAGAAAAAGCAGCAAUGGAAUUAAAGUAGAAGUGUAAUGUUGGGUAAUAAAACAGUGUAACUUGGAAAUAUGACAUGCAUAUCUAACUUUUUCACGUUUAUUUUGCUCCAAGAUAAAAAAACAACUGCACACACUCAUGCAAAUCUGCUCCGCUAAAGAUACACACCUUCUCUUUUCAAUGAAGCCCAAGAUCAGUGCUGUCAAUAUACGCAGAGAAGGUCAACUUUGACAGGAUGUCAGGCAUGGGAACGGUGCAUAUCAUCCUCCAAACUCCAAAAUAAAGCACCAUAUGCCAACUCCUCACUCUUUAUCACAUCCUAUUGAUGAGAAAUAUUCAUUGGUGAUGGAGGUUUCAACACAAAACAACCUCAUGACCUAUCUGUGAUCCACGCCGUCAUGUUAUCUGUCCAGCUGCUCCAGACUGCACGCUGCUGCUAUGACCUAAACACGCUCUCAGAUGGAGUAUUAACUAAACCCGGGGCACACAUGUCCUGUGGGUGUCUCAGCCUAAGUGUCGUGUUAAAUCAAACUGUGGUAUAUUUGUAAUGCUUGCAAAGAGGCACAUGCAACUCUUGACUGAGGUCACACUGCACCUCUUAGCAUUACAAGUUCAGCACCUGCACGUGUACAAGUAAACAUUUUAUGGAGAAAUGGGGAAAAAAACAGGUGCACAUCAACAGCUCUUUCUUUUGCAAAACUGCUCUCAAACAUAUUUUAACCUCACACAAAUUGAAUGUCCAAAUUAGCUGCAAUUUCAAGUCCUAUUUUAUGAGGAUUUAUGAUGCGUCGAGACAGACAGACAGGCAGCGGAGGACACAGCAAUGCCACCUGUUCUCUCAGUCCUCACAUAUGGACUGUUGGCUGGGAGUUUUGCACUAUUGCACAGUGAUUGGUGCUAUAAAAUGUCUAAAAUAAGAGAAAUAAAUACAAAGGUUGAAGACAGCAUCUGGAUAACAAAUGAUGAUUCAGAGGGAAUCGGCCAUCUUUGUUUGGGGUCUGUUUCUCUAGAAAAAUUGCAGAAGUUGGAUGGUUAUGGUAUAAAUGUAUAAAAAUUUUUUUUUUUUUUUACCUCGGGUGUUCAGUUUUGAUAUGACCCCAUCAAACAGGCUCUGGAUUUGUACUAGAAAUGCAUCUGAGUGUAAAAUUGUAGUUUCAUAACAAUUUCUUUUAAAGAAGAAAAAAAAAAAAAACAAGAUUGAUAUGUUUAAUAUCCUUUUCUUUAACUCUAACCACAGCCAGGCUUCAAUCACAGAGCCCAGUUUAAGCCUCGAAAACUACAAAUAUCUGUCAGGUGUUUUUUUUUUCCCCCCAGCUCAUUUGCUUUUCUUCAUCAUUUCUCUGCACUUUUCUUAUGAGAAGUCCUUCCCCUCAGACGUCUUAGUCAGCAUGAGCACAGAAAGGUCAGGCUACUGUCUCAGAUCCUCUGACAUUAACAAGGACUGAAAAUCAAUCGUCUGGUUUGUGGGGAAAAUUACAUAUCCACAGUGUUUUGAAUCACAGUCAGUCUUAGAGCAAUAAAUAUGCAAACUUCACAAAAUCUUCGGCUUUUCUUGGACUGAAAAACUCCCUAAGAAGAGAACGAAAAAUUAAGAAAGUCUGUGUGUAACAAUCUUUAUUUCCCCCCUGUUUUUUGCUCUCAGUGCAUGAUCACAGCAAGGUUUAAUCCCUGUUUAGUUAGUCCUUUAAUCUGAAAAUUAUACCACAGUCCUCCUUAUGAUUGAUCGCCAAAAAAAGACCAGUUUUCUACAUUAUUUUCAAGAUGCAUUAUUCCAUGACCUGAGGCGACGUCUCUCAGAUGAUAUAAUGAGAGGACAAUGUCAGCGCUUUAAGUACGUCCUCAUCAGAGACAAAUUAAGUGAUACUUUACCCAUUAACAUUGAAACGAGCCUGAUGAAUUGAUGAGCACGUCGCCCUGCACGCCGUGUAAAGUGUCUGUCUCCAACCUGCCAUCUGGCGGGAAAAUGAAACGAGAGCUACAAGGCAUGUGACCAUUUAUUUAGUGAGGAGGGAUGAAAAGAAAGACGCUCUCACAGAGGAGUCCUCAGAGCAGCGUGUGCGGAAAAAAGUAAGUAGACAGAGAGGAAGAUACGGGGGCAUUUGUAUUCAGGUAGAACAUGUCAUCCUUGAACAAAUAAGAACCAUAUAUUUUAAUCAUAAUUGAGUGGGAGGAUUCAUCUAUGAGGAGUAAAAGGCUUUUAUUCUCAAUUAUUUGUAGGAACACAUUCAGUUGUUGAGAGAGAGAGAGAGAGGGAUUUUAAGUGCUAGUGUGUAAUUUUUCUUUAAAUGGUCUGUAUUGUGAUAAAGGAUGUGGGCAUUAAAUUCAAGAAAUGAUAGGAUGUUGUCUCACUUGAAUAUUGUCCCUAGAAUUACUAGUCUGUCGAACAAGUUAUUAGUGCUUUUAUUAUUAUAGGUCUAAAGUGGCACUCGUGCAGAGGAGUACGAAGAAUCUUGAGCCAGAAUACAGACACCGGAUUGAAUGUCAAUCCAAAACACGUUCAAGAUACUGAAAGAAAUUAUAACUUGAGUUAAAAUAUUAAAGUGUGAGUACUUAAACUGCUUUUCAAAAUCCGAUCGCAUUGUCUUAUUUUCAAGUUGCAGUCAAGAAUACAUUAUUUACACGUUGGUAUUAACCUGCAGGGAACCAAAGGAAGGUGGUGGUAGCUCUGCCAACCAGUUUGACUAGUUCAAGUUUAAUUUUUUAAUGUGCUGUCUGACCUUUAGACUAGUUAUUGGAAUUUAAGUGAGUCUUUGAUCAUAUUUUGUGGAGAUCUAUUUUGAUGUAAACAGACAGUAUCUUUUUCUUCCAUUUAUUUUCCCAUAUUGUCAGAGGCUACAGUAGCGACGACCCCCUGCUGCUACAGUACAUCAAUUGGGUCAGAUACAGGGAGUUAGGAGAGAUCAGCUAAUCUCAGCCAUGCAGGCUCCUAUUACACAGGAGGACAGAGAACGGGCUGUUUUCCCACCAUACAGACACAAAGGAAGCUUCAGAAAUAAGAGAUUUGUUGUUAGAUUAUUUUGUCCCUUUUAAUUCAGUCCCAGGUUGUGAUGCAGAUGUGUCAAUCACUCAAGCCUGUUAGUAGAUAAGAUAAACAAGCUACAGAUGUUUUUCUUUGAAUCCAUUUUUGAUGGCGACACCUUCAUGUCUUGUCUUUGACUCGAGGAAACUUGAAGUAAAAGCUGGAAGCAACACCUCCUAAGUAUAAGCAAGAAAGUUACUGGACGGUGUAAUCUAGUUUGUCUUCACUUAAAUUCACUGUGAUAUGCACUGCGUCACUGUAGUAACUUCUAAGAGUUUCGUUUGUUACUUUAUGUUUUGCACAGAAAGUGUGAAGAAAGAUUUUUUUCUCAUUCUGCAAAAAUAUGUUUUGCAGCACACUUUGAAUUUUAAGGCCAUGAUUCAUCCCCAGCCAAUAAAAUAUUUAUGCCAUUGCCAGAACAUGCAUUUUAUGGAUAAUGUAAUGUUCCUCUGGUCAAGCCAGUGAGUCAACAAAUGUAAUCAGCUGCAACGUGAGACUUAAAAUGUACUUUAUUUCAAUAUUUACCUCUGCAGCGUAGGUUUGAGAGCCAUUUGUAUGUAGAGUAGAGUACAGAAAAUGACUGAUUUCGAUGGAGUUUAGAGGGAAAAGUGUGACAUGGACAGAGGAAUAAUCCAAAGAGGUUAAUGUUGGAUCUGUAUUCAGCUCCUGAGUAAGCAGGAGGUUUGGCCUUGGCAAAAGUCUGCAGCCCCUCUAGUUAUGAAAUGGGACUUAAUUGGCUUGUGAAGGAAACUGAGACUGUAAUCUGCAAGUUCAGCUUCAUGUCUUGAGUAAGCCCAUGCAGGUGUUUUUUAUGAGUUUGUCCAUCAUUAUACAAAUUUGAAACCGAAUUUCUCUCUGUAUUUCCGGGAUUUUCUCCACUUUCUGGAACCACCACUUGCGCAGCAGCAUUGUACGCAUUCAGCGGGAGAGUCGCUGUGAUGACGCUCGGCUCAAACAGCAUAUCUACUGGGUGAGCUGCGCAAUCUUCGUAUGCCCAUUGGCUGUAUCAAGUGUCAAUCACAGAAAACAUGAACCCCCUAAUAACUUUUAAAAAGAAAUCUUCACAGAAAAAAGAGGACUUGAGCACAAACCGGUCUUACAGUAACUGUAAUUAACUUAUAACUUAUAAAGUUUGUCCCCAUUCCAUAGGGAUUGCUGGAGGAGGCGGGAUUUAUGACCUACACUGUAGCCCAUCACCAGAGGGUGCUGUCCUCUAUAUACAGUUGAUGGUCAGAACUAUCCCGUACAGUUGAGAGAAACACAGAUGAUUGUUGUUGUAGAUGGGCUUCAUCAUGAACUCUGCUUUUGAUUUACAGCCACCAUGCUGAAUCACUUUGUCGCCACAUUUCGAGUGCAAUUCCUUGAGCUAAGUGUAUGAAAAACAGAACUCUGAAAGAAGUGUGAAGUGAAAGCUUUUGCAAGGUGUCGAACAAUGCAUGCAAAGACACAUUCAUCUAUCACAAGAAUAAUGAAGGAGUGCUUUACGGCUGAUAAGGAGAUGAGGAAAGGUGUCGUUUUUUUUCAUUAUGUCAGCAAGAAAGGAGACAUUUCCAAAGUGAUCAGUAGCAGAGGUGGAAAUCAGAGACAGCAGGGAAAAUCAGGAGGAAAUUGGAGGGUAAGAACAUGAAGUGUCAUCUUCUCAAAAAGAAAAAAAAGGAGAUGAGUUUCAGGUUACAACAGAAGCCAUUUUCUAUUCACGCAUAUCAGCUGACUCCUGCAAAGCUGAUAGAGCCAAGACAGAACAGACAUUAUCUCUGUGCCAAAUUAUUGGCCAUCUGAUGUGCCGCAAUAGUUUCCUUACCCAUUCAUUUCCAUCCUCUGUCAUUAUGCGAUGGUGAAUGCACAGUAAUAACUUUGCAUUGUAAAUCUCCCUCUCAGUUAUGUGUUCCUGAAUCCCCUCACAGUCAAGAUUUUUCAAGACUUCUUUUGUGCAAACUUUCCGAGAGAUGAUUUCAAAGUUUUUGACCAAAGUCUGGCUUUGAGGCUGUCAAACAUCUCUGCUCACUUCCUAAAUAAAAAAUUAGGACUAGCCUACUAAAUAUGUCCCUCAGCAUUCUCCAGCUCGCCUCGUUUCAUGCCAGUUAACCUUCAGUCAUGUAAUUAUGAAGCACAGUUAUAGGAAGUGAUUGAAGACUUAUAUUAAACAAUAUUAAAUCAGCAUUAAUCAUGUUUGAUUGGUUAUGUAAGCAUUGGAUUGAGCUAAGAGGCAUAGUAUUGCCUCUCUUGUUAGGAUUACUAAUCAUCCACUGCACCCUGUGUUAGCGAAUGUUUUACAGGAAAAUAGAAAGAAAAAUCAAAGGUUACACCACAACAAUUAUUUGUACUUGCACAAAUCCUUUCAAAUAUAUUUUGAGGCUCUUCGGAUUAAUUUCGGGAGCACAUGUGGCCAAAAUGUCACAAUUUUGCGCCCUGAACCCUCAUGAACGCCCAUUUACUGAGUGAAAGUUUGAGCCCUAUUUGAUAUGACUGAUGACUGCUAGCUGCAGGGUAAUUAGGUAGAGGGGACAUGGCAUUCUUGUGAGUCUAUCUCACCCAUUAAGAGAUGCAGCUCUGCCCAUGCAGAAGUGUGCUGCUUAAUUGGUUCAUUUCAUCAUGGCCAAAAAGCUUUAAUUGGGUGACAAACAGAAAGAUGGAUGGAUCAGUUGUUGUGCAACUAAAUAAUAGACGGGUGUGUGGUGGAUGAUUGAGUUUGAGUUCUGUGUGUAUCUGUGUGUGUGAUAAGGAGAGUGGAGGCUUUGGAGAGAUUAUUUUUAUUAGGCAUAUUAAAGCAACAAAGAGAUGUUUUUGCAUGACUCUGGCGGUAACUUAAGAGGCUUAAACUUAAGUCUUGCUGGAGACUUAAAACAGCACCUUGCGAGCGCUAGACGUGGGUGUUGCAUUUAGGAAGUUGGAGCUAGAAAGCAGCAGCCCACGUGUUGCUGUGGGUAAGAAUCGGUGGAUAAAGAGCAAACUGGCUGAUGGAAAUCCCUGUUUGCAGAUUGGAACCCUGAGGUGUUUCAAUAUGUCCAUCCUCCAUAAAUUCUUCCAUAUCUGAAUCUACAACAGAAAUAAUGACUCACAAGUAUAAUCCACCUGUUAAAGUGUGUCCUUUGUGCUCCAUUAUGAAGCGGUGCUUAUUUUAGACAGUCCAUAACCAAAGCGUUUCAUAUUCUGGUAAUUGAAAUUGCAAAUUACCGACAUCACUCCAUGUUGCCAUUUACGUCAAAGGAAAUACAGGUGCACCUAUCUGACAGGAAGUACAGGCAAUGAGUGUUUUCUGUUUAUUUGUUUUGGCUCAUUUUUGUUCAGAAUAAUUGAAAUUGCCAAUUACCGUAACAAUAGGUAUUCAGAACUAGUCUUCCGCCAAUUGUUUUGGAGAUAAAGAAGGAAUAAUUAUGUUUUUCCAUUUUCAUAAGAGAGACUAUCAUCACAGCAGAUGUUGAGGAGGAGUGUUGAACCUUCUAUUCACGUGUUACCUAUUACUUUAAUGAUGAUACGUCUUCCCCUGUGACACAGCUUGAUCUGUUUUAAUCCCUUCACAUUUAAAUUUGCCAUCAGAUGCUGCGCUCAAAUGACCAACUUUGCCAGCUGGUAAAAAUAGACUUUUUAUGAUUGUACAAUUAGCUAAAAGUGUAAAACAACUGGGUUUGAUUUGCACUUAUUACCGGUGCAUUCGCAAGGCAGUGACAGUUAAACAUAUUCUAGGGAGGCUUGGAUGGUGAAUUGUGACAGAAAAAUAUCUUAUGUUUGAUGAUGACAAAAUAGCAAUUUCAUUGACUUUUUAUACUCUGUGUUUUGCAAAUAGAGAUUGAAAUGGAAUAACAUUAGUAAUACAUGAUAAUUUAAUUUAUAAUUCAGGUUUUUUUUUCCACAUAAUAUAUAAAAAUGCAUCAAACAAAUUGUAAAAAAGCGUGUGUAGGCAAUAAGAGUAAGCUCGUCUUUUAUUUUAUUUAAGCCUUACAAGACAAGAUAGUUAUUUUUUCCCUGUUAUGUAGACCUUAACUCCACUGAAAUCUGCUUUGCACGUCUUUCUUUUCCAGCACAAAUUUGCUUUCGGAGUGUAAAGAAAUUACACACUCUGCUGGCUUUUACGACUCCCGCAACAAGAUUCAUGGCGCACGCUGCACAAAGAAACCACUGUGUGAGACAGUCUGUACUCAUACCACAGCUUAGACUCACUCUGUAGAGGUUACCCACAGUGUGUGUGAGCUGAAUUCUCCCCACUGUGGUUAACACCAGCGGUGCAUUGUUGUUUCACUUCAUGACUGUUUUUUUUUUAUUAUUAUUGUGCUAUAGAGAUCAAAAUAGUAGAGAUUUUUAAAUGUAAAGAAUCCAUUGUCACGUCUUACUAACAUUUUGCAUGUGGGAAAGGGGGAGGGGCUUAAACCUUUUGCGCCUCUAUGUUAAGCCUCAGGGAAACACAGUACCGAACACAAGAACACUGAAUAUCCUGCACAUAACUUCAACAAGCAUUGCACUGAGUCUGCAGGUAACUUGGCCCAUCUGUUCUGGCUGGAUGAAGAAACAAUGCUUGUUCCAGUCUUCUUUGCCCGUGGCUGCAUGCUGUUUGUGUACAGUUUGUCUCAAAACAGUUUCAAAAGUUAGUUGGUGCAGAAAUGUGGAAGCAGUAUAACAGAGCCAAGGAGAGAGUAUGACUUCAAACAAAUCAAAGACCUCUAAAAAUACCUCCAUCAUCAGGGAGAACAUGAUGUUAAAACCUGCACUUGGUGAAGCGCUCUAGGGCUGUCACAAUAUUAGAUUUUCACCUCAUGAUUAUUGGGGCCAUUUUAUUUAGUGAUCAUUAUCCUGAUAUUUAUGGAAAAAGAUGAACAGAAAACACAAUCAGUCAAACCGAGUUAAGGCAGCACAUGACUUCAUAAACUCAUCUAAUACACAGAAUUUCUUAACAUCAUCAUUAAUUGCUAAUGAUGUUCAGAUUUACGAUUGAGCCACAUCACCAGGUCUGUGACUGAAACUUCUUUUCAAGAAGACACUGCCUCGUAAACCAUUAUCAUGCUUUUAUUUUGGUAUUUUCUAUCUUGUGUUUAGGUUGCUUUGUUAAUUGCACGAUCAAACUAUGCUUUUAUUUUGAAAUAUAGUCUUUCUGGUAGACCCCAAGUUACAGAACUUAAUGAAAAGAGCAAAAAUAACAGUUAGGAGCUCUUGUCUACAAUGUUUACCCUUUGAAAUUUGUUCUUUAAAUUUAUGAAAUGAAGAAAUUGGUGAUGAAAUAUGCAUGAACAAGUUGGGACCACCACUCAAAAUCAAGCCAAGGUGUGAAAUUGAGAACAGCUUCAGACAGGUAAGAAUCAGAAAUAAUCAAGUCAGUGGAUGAUGGUGAAGUCAGAUGAUUUCACUUAAAAAGAAUAUGCAUUCACAUUGCACAGUUUGUUUUGCAAGUAUAUAAUACAGGCAAAAAUCAACAGACACCUGCUCUGCUCAGCUUGGCAGAAAAGAAAUGCCCAGGUGCUCUCUGUAUCUCUCUUUCCUCACCUCCUUUUCUGUUUCUCCAUCUGCGUGUGUUUGUGUGUGCCAGUGAGCGAGUGUUUAUGCAUUGAAAACAGCACGGAUGCAUUUCUGCAUGCCUUAGCUAUCCCAGUGGUGCCUUGCACCGGUUUUGCCUACAAGCUAGCGACCUAUUUUUCUUGGCGUUGAACGAAGUAGACAUUUGAACAAAGAUAGAAGCGAGAGAUAGAGAGAGAAAAAUGGAGGAUGGGGAGGAGGGAGAGCGUAUCAGCUCCUCUGCUUUUAUUCAGGCCUGUGGAUUAAUUACCACGUACCUAAACCUGAUCCCGUGCUGUGAGCAAGACACUUUGGCAUCAGCCUGAUCAAUAAUGCAUUUUUCUGUCUCUCCAUUUAAUUUGCACACAGGCACCACACACUGGUAUUACCAUCUACCUUGAAGACUGCAGGAGACACUUGAUACCUCAAAUGCAACACUCCACCCCUCAUACCCACGCCAUGCUCCAUGAUCCCCCCCUCCCCUUCCUGCUCCUCACUGACAAAUUGAUUCUCUCUUAAUGUGCUGUAUGGAAAAAAAAAAUCUCCUCAAUCCUCAGGAGCGGGGUAAUUAGAUAUGUGGCAUGUUGGAUCAGCUCAUGGCUUUAGACAAAUUUGUUCCUGUUCAGGUUUGAAUUGUUACACUCGUCACUUUGUCGGGCGGUUAUUCAACAAAUGAGGGGAAGGCUUAUGUUUAAGGAGCAAGACGGUGCAAAGUUGAAGCCGCUUUUAAGAGAAGUAGCUCAGUCAGCAGCCGUCUAACAAGAGCGGCUCUCUGUCGUGGGGUCAAACUAACGGGGGAGACAGGUAGGUUAUCUGAUCUAGUGUGCCGUGUGUUUUUGUGUGUUUGGUCCUGCGUUGAAAGGAGAGCCGUAAGUCAGGACCUUCGACUUUAGCUUUGUGAAGCUUGUGGUUUUCCUCCAUAGCUAAUUGAGUGGCCAUUCUCUAAUGUCGAGCAGGAGACUCUUGACUUAGUGAACUGUAGAGGCAGGUCUGCACUUUGAGAAUAUACCAGUGUAAAAGGGACAGCUUUUACCGCUUUGCUGAUUUUUUUCUGCCCAUAAAUACGUGUUGUUUUUCAAGAGAAACUUCAAUCUCUAAACAUAUCACCAUCCAGAGUCUCAGCUUCAGAAAAAAUACAAAAAAUGUCUGUUUCUAAAGCCUAAUGUUGUUCACCUCAUCUGACACUUGUCCGACAUAGAAAAUAACUCGUAAGAAAUAAUCAAUCUUUAUGCUGAUGUCAUUUAACUUUCAUAGCUCAAAUAUCAAUAUCAGUUUCAGUCCAGCUCAUGAGUAACUUCAAACUCCUCACAGAGGUUUAAAGAUACAACAAAUUUAAGAUGUUGUUUACAACAUGUUUCUGCAAGGUAGCAGUCACCUACUCCUUGCCCUUGCUGAUGUGUCAACAUGCUUGAUGGCACAUUUCUCCUGCUUACUUUUGCCUGAAAUAGCAUGGCGUGAACUGAUAGGCCUGAUUGCAUGUUUGUCCUCAUAUGUCCUUGUGCUUGUUACAGAUAUGUGGAGGGACAAAAGUUGGCUUAAUCUUCCUACCAACAGAAAAGUGAUUUAAACAAGUGUUUGUUUAGUUCAACUUUUUAUAGUUUGGAUGAUGUCAGUGCAGCCAAAGUCAGGUGUACGAGAUGGUUAAAAAUGGCAGAUUGCGUCCAACUGUGAGUUACAGCUAACAUCUUAAUUUUAAAUUCAUCAGAGUGUAUUUCUUUAUCACAAAUACAGAACAAAGUAAUCAUGUACCCUGUGUUUUUCACAUACUGUGCAGGCUUAACCUUUAUUUAACAGCUGACCAUGUCUGCUGUGUACUUACAUUCUCACUGGGUUUCACAUAACAUGUGUGCUGCAUGUAGCAUCAUGAGCACUCAUCCUUUGCUCUGCGUGUGGUCCUGUUUUUCCUUGAAUCCUGUUUUGUUCAGUCUUUGUUCUUUAAGUUGUAACUCUGCUGCAGAGCUGCCACAAAGAUAGACUACUAAACUGCACGUUUACUGCUCUGGUUAAGUGUUUGAGAUUUGUCAGUGUUCACAUGUACCUUUAUGUAGGAUCCAGACUGGCAUCAUUAGUGUCUUCAGGAAAAUGCUGUGGCAAUUAACCAGCUGCCUGACUUCUGGCUAUGAAGUGAACAAAUAAACUUCUCCACCUUGUAUAUGUUUACUUCAGAGUCUCAUCUCAGUUAACUGCAAUGGAAUUUGAAUUUAAUCUUUUUAUUUUGUAUAAGACAGAAGCUUGAAUUAAUUGCUGAUUAAAUCAACAUUAACCCAACGACACCAUUUGUGGCAGAAUGAUAACACGGUGGCAGUAAAAGGAAAUUAAAAGGGAGAAUGUGUUUUCACCUCCUGCCAUCUCCACGUCUCCAUUGUAAUGAGAGGAUGUGGGAGUGGAGACUCACAUUACAAGCAUAUCUGGAUUAAUAUAUCACUGUAGAAACCAGUGAUGGUGCACCACUCCUAGGUUUCACGUACAAAGAGCUGCCAAUGAAGACCAGAAAUUAUCAGCUAUUCAGUCAUUCAUUAGGGGAUCCAUGAAUUUUCUAUAUAUAUUUUUCAAUAUAUUGUGGUGGUCAUGAAUAAACUACUACGAUAUUUUAAGUGCACUUUCAAUAUAAACGGUGCAAAGACACGCAAUCACAAACCCUCUAAAAAGUGGCUUAUUAACCAACUGUUGGGUUCAGGAAGUUAAACAUCCCAUCAUAGAAAACCAUUCUAAGACUUCCAUCCAUUGUUAGUGUUAAAAUCACAGACAGAUUGCAUUUAUUUUUCAUCACAUGCUCGUGGUAUAUAGAUGUCUGAACCUGGGUGUGUCAAAAGUGCAGAUGUUGCAUGUUUGAUGGCGUAUGGAAAAACCAGCUGAUCCUCAGUUGACGUGCAUGAAUGUAAAGCCGUCUGCUUACUCAGAAAUAUGAGCAGACUGGGGGAGAUGAUUAAAGGCCACCUUCUCAUUCCACUUAGCUUUAUAAGCUUAAAACUCUGAGGCCUAAUUUUUGACCUACAUGUGGUAUUUAGCACAUGUUACAAAGUCAGUGAUUCUCCUCUGCACUGUUGACAGUAGAAAAUGCCAUUAAAGCAGUUAAUUUAAUGCAGGCUAAUGAAAACACAGAGGUGUCUUUUUUUUUGUUUUGCCUGGGAGUGGAAACUACUACAAUUGGAUGACUGUGCACCGCAGGCCUGAGCGUUUCCUGCUUACAGCUGUCUGUAUGUAUCUGUCUCCAUUACAGACAGAGGUAGACAUAAAGAGCAGACAGUUGUGUAGUUUCUAAAUAUACUCAUUCCUGGUAAAUCAUAUUUAUGUGUGAGGCUGUGUAUUGUGUUCCUGGAGACACGGCGGGCAUAUCCUUGCUGUUUUGUAACCAAAAAGUCAUUUUCAGCCAGAUGUGGGGACAUAAACCCAGCAACCAGGGUAGCUCUGGGAAACAGUAAUGUACCCUUGUAACUCAAUCUCUAAGCAGCCCGCUGAAUGGAGAAAUGUAGCUGCUUUGGUUUGCACCAUUCUCUCCUUUCCCUGCUGUGACCUUUUUCAGUUUCCUUCUGCUGAGGGACCGCACUGAUCCCGGCGCAGUCAUUUGAGCAAGGCGAAAACAGUAAAGAGAUAGCGGCAUCAUGUUUUGCUUUCAUGUACGGUCAUAACAUAGGCGUGAAAGAGGUUGUAGACAUGAGCUUUAAGUGGCUUUUACCACACUAAAGUAACAGACUGAUACACUUUAGCCUUUGCUGACUGAAUGUUGCGAUAUUUCAUUACUUUUUUUUUUUUUUCUUCCCUUCAAGCGAGAAAACAGCCCUCAAACUUCUGGGUGCAUAAGGCAGAGCAGAGCAGAGCAGAUUUCAAAAAGGUCAGCGCUCGUCAUCAAACUGCUAGACUUAAUGUCAUUUUAUCAUCUGAGUUUCGGCUUAUUGACGCUCCUUUGAAAAGAAACCAAUUGGUUUUCCUUGAUUAACUCACCUGUUUACGCAGAUUUAGCUAAAUAUGAGCAAUGCUUGGAGCACUGUAGCAAAUAAUUUGAAAGAUAAACACGUGAUGGAACAUGGUGCCUUGUAAAUAUUGUAACAGCGCAAAGUCACUUAGGAAAUAAAUAAGUGAUGACAAAAAUACCUCCAGCUUGAUUCGACGGCUCGCAUGCAUAGAGAAUGAAGGAGCGCACCUCUUAGUCCACCGCUUUUCCAAGGCACCACUCAAAAAAACAGCCAGCAGUAUUAUAUCUCCCCCUUCCCCCCAGGGAUAAUUGCUUCAGACAUAUUCUUUGACCUAUCCCAUGCCUUAACAGGCGUAGCAGUCAAGAGAUUGAUCUCUCCAGACUUCAUAAAUGAUGGUUUGAUUAUCUUUCACACAUUGAUGCUGUACUAAUCUCCAUAUAGAAAGAUAGAAACGCACACAGGGACUUCUUAAAUCACCGUGGGAACAUCCUCUGCCACCAUGAGCUUGUCAACACAUCAGACCAGAACCUAGAUCGAGCAGAAAAACUGGCUCCUCCUUUUUUAACACAUCAGAUUGCCUCUGCUUGAAGUCUUUGACGCUGACAGCAAAUCCAGUAUGCAAGUAAUAAUGAGGAUCAACAUAUAUUUGAUAAUGGUUUCCUCAUUUUACACCGUCUUUUUGCUGCCUGUCUCAGGAAUUACAGUUCCCUUGACUCCCUCCUACAUUUGUUCCAAGAACAUCCUUCUGUUUUCCUCUGGUCAGGCGGUUCAGCCAUGUUCUGACAGAGAGAUGAGUGACAGCGACUGCAAGGUGUUUUGUGAGAUUGGACGGGGCUUGACAUUGCCUGGCUCUGAUAAGAACCCUACUUUGCAGUUGUGUCAUUUGUUAAAAUAAGCUGUUAGCAGAAAAACAAACAUCAGUGUAACAUCUGUCAUCUCCGCGCAUGUCUUUUGAGUGACGCGCUGCAGCUAAUGUUCUGUGAAAACUGCAGGCUGAAAUAUGAAAAACAGGAACAUGCUUAUCGUGUGACUUCUGUCCUGAACAUCAAUCUUCUAAUUGUUUGAAGAAUGGGAUGGGAAAUCUAGUGCAUAUUUUAUCCAUUAUAUGCAUAAAUGUGCAUAUUUUUAAAACAGUUUGGACCUGGCCUCGGUAGAGAAGGCUGUACUGUGGAAAUGUGUGGUACUCCGUGUUUGUGGGGGGAGGGGGUGAUGCUUACACACCCACAGGAGUGAAAACAAUCUAUUCAUACUGAGUGUUGAACAGCACACAUAAAGCAAAUGAUGCAUUUCUCUCCUAUUGAUUGUCACUUCCUUAUAUUCCACUGGUUGGGAAGGAGAGGAGGGGUCUCCUUCUAUCAGCUGACACGGCUCAUUGUUCACCAUGGACUAAUAAAGAGCUUUACCGGUACCAUUAUGCAUUUUCUGUGGCUAGUGACAGUCCGAUGACAAGCCUUAAAGAUGAAAGCCAUUUCACAUUUAAACAAUAACAGAUGGGGGGCCUUGCAAGCUGAAUUGCCUCUGCAAAAAUAACGCUGCGUUUUAUCAUUGUAAAUAGCCAGGAUGCCAUCAUGGAUGUUUGAUGUCAUUCAUAAAGCUAACGGGAUAACCAGGAAUACAUAUUUCUAUAGACAGUGAGAAGGCAAAGCAAGCUUGAGCUCUCAUUAAAAAAAACUAAGAUUUCCUUAUACCAUUUGUUCCUCCUCUGACCUAAACUUGAGUAUUUAAGACAAAGAGAAGCUUUUUAAUGGUAGCUUUCUUGUGCAGAUAUCUUUCUUUUUCAUUAUUGUUGUUUUUGGACAUUUUUUAUCUGUCUUAGACAGGACAGCUGAAGCGGAACAGGAAACAUUAGGGGGGUAGAGAGUGGAGGAAACAUGCAGCAAAAGGUUGUGGCUGGGAGUCGAACCGGCAAUCCCUGCAAUAAGGGGACCAUAACCUUCGUAUGUGGGGUACACUUGGACCACUAGGCCAUCCACGAUUCAGCAUGUAUGUUAGUUUUGAUCAUCUGAAAUAAAAACUUUGGUCAGGAGCUUUAUUUAUAUGUUGGCUUUGGCACCCCGCUUGACAGAGUUAUACCUUCUGUCACUUAGGACACAGAAUUAAUAUCAGUGCUGACAGUAAAGGCAUAAAUAAUUAAUUAUAUGUACUGGCAUACUCGUAGAUAUUAAAAUGCAUGCCAAUAAGUGUGUCCAAUUAGACAGUGCAUUAAUUGUACACGUCCAAUGAAUGUAUGCAUGCCAACAACAUGCUGACUUUAUGGAAGUACUUUGAAGUAUUGUAAACAGACAGUGUAGCUGCAGUAUUAGCAGAUCUUGUAGAGCCGUGAGAUGUGAUGAAGGGCAAAACAACUCUUUGAUCUAACCAGUUUGAUUGUGCCUCGAAAGAACUGUCAUCAAGCUGCACCAAGUGAUUCUCUAACAUGUGAAUUUAGUCAGUGUAAAGGUCCUUAUAGAGGUCAGAGGAUUGGGAAAGUGCUAUGAAGUGUAGUCCAAAUACCGUUAACAUUUUCUCUAGGGGCAAAUCUGGUACGGAAUCAGUGUGAUCUGACAUGCCAACUAACAAUGAACUCCAUGUCAUACGUAAGUGUGAGUCUAUAGUGUAAAUAUGUGAUAUUUAGACUCGAAGACGGUAUACUUCCUUUGAGCCUGACUUUCUCUUCCUUAGCUGCUUUUAAGUCCACAACAAACAUCCAGGGUCAUGACCCAGCAAAUGGCAGUUUCAAAGGACAUUGGAGUUGGGGACUUUGACAUGUUGAAUCAAGCACAGAAGGUCAGCGGAAGCGCACAACAGCUUCUUCCCUUUUUUUUCUUCUGUUUACCAAGUCAUCAAAACAACGAGUUUGUGGAUUUGUGGGAGCUCAAGUGUUAGGAGUGCAGGUCCCUGACUGAAGAGCCACAGGUCCAACCUGACAUCAGUGUCCUUGAAGAAGACACUGAGCGCUUCCUGUACGCCCACUGAUGGACUCUCUGUACAAGUUAAAUGCUCUGUAAUGGCAAUUCUCUGUUCACAAUGACCUUCUCCACAGAGAGCAGAAACCAACCCCACAGAUAAAACCUUGACCUCCCUGCUUCCUUCCUCUGUAGAUUAUUAGCCAAUCGCUUUCUUUUAAUCAUAAACUCUUUACAAGGAUGAGAACAGUGAAAAUUGAGACCAGUCCUUCUCUUAGAAUCAAAGAUUUCAUGCUCUCUUUUUCUUGGCACCAUGCAAACUCACUAUCACUGUUGAAAAGACUUAAUUUCGAUGGUGGUUGGAGCUAAAAAAUUAAAAAGAAAUGUUAUCAAAGGGAUGUCAUUGAAGGUUAAGCGACACUUUUUGACUCAAAGUUUUUAUCAAAUUUUAACAGAUGUUUGGGUUUUAUUUUCAAAAAUGUGUUGUAUUAUUGUCCCAAAUAUGUCAGAAUUUAACCUAGCGAUGACAAAUAACAUUAAAACUUAUUUUUUGGAGGUGUGAUUCAGAUUUAGUCUCGGUUAAAAAGAAAGAAAUGAUGACUCAUCUUGCACUAGAGGGCAUGUACUUCUGCUGUGUCUAAUUAAAUCCAUUUAUUAAUCCAAGUUUUAUGUCCUUCCACCAUGACCUUCAAUUCUAGCAAUUACCUCAGGGUACAGGACCUACAUGCUAACUAGCUGGAUAGGACCCUCUGCUUGCUAACUCUUUCAUUUUUCUGUCCUUUUCUUUGACUCUUGAAAAUUUGAACUUUAUAUCAGAAACAUAAUGAACUCCCUUUAAUUUACAAGAGAUUUGAGUAUAGUGUUAAUUCAGGCAGGUCAUCAAGUCAAGCUCAGCUGACUGGAUUUUACCAUUGUCAGAUGUGUAAGUCACUGAUGUCUGCUUUGUUCAAUACUGUGGUUUUUGCUGAUGCUCUGCCUGCCUCAUGCACAUGACAUGAAAGGGAGAGGUGUGCUUUUCCCCCAUCAAACACAUGUAGAAGGGCAAGAAGCUGUCAGGAAUAGGUGUUUCUAUUUUCAGGAAGAACACUCACAUGUAGAUUCAUGUGGCACUGUGGUAGCUGUUUUAUCAGAGCAGUAAUUAUACCUGCAGCAUCACAGCUACCAGAGCUAUAUAUCUGCACUUUGUCACUGUCGUCUGAAGUGUCAAGGCCUCUGCAAUAUCAAGGGAUGAUAAUGAAAUGCUGAUAAAAAUAUACCUUUGUGGUAUCACAGCAGGGACUUUAAAACACACAAAUGCGCUGAUGAAUUUCUCACAAUCAUCUAGUGUUUGGGUUAUUUUAAAGACAAGGUAGGACAUUGCAGGUGGGAAUGUAUGUUUAAGCAUCGGUAUAUGAGAAGGAAACAUGCUUUGCAGAAAAAUAACUACUUGAUGCAAUUUUACCUGCACAUAAGAGAUAAAAAGAGAGAAAACCAGAGCGGCUGAUGCACAUAAAGAAAGACCAAGAGCUUUUUUCCCUCUAUGUACAAUUUCAGAACACUUAAGUGAUUCUCAAUCCCAGCAUGCCUCAGCCUGCCACUGCCAUGACAGAUGCUCCAAAAUUGAAUAUAGAUUUCAGUGAGCAAGGCAGGCGUGCCUGAUGAAUCUCAAUUUGCUGCUGUCCAUAUUUCAUAGUCACCACUAUGGAUAGCUCAAGGGGAGGCGGUGAGAGCUCUGGCUGCACCUGCCAACCUGUCAGUUGGCGAGUGUCAGAGGAUGAUCUGUGCUUCAUAAAAGCCCAUAUUUAUCCCACACUAAUUCAUGCCCUACAACAUUUUAUCACCAAAUGCACAUCCGUGAGAAAGGGGAGGAAAUAGACAUUGAAAAGACAUGCUUCAUUUCACAACCUCAGUCAUCCUCAGAGAGAAAGAAAGCCCACACGAUGACAAUUGCUCAGCAGUAGAAGAUUGUUGAGACCGUGUACAGUAGCUAGAGGGUGGAACAAAUGUAGAGAGCUUCCCCAAAGGGGGUGGAGGUGCCUGGGCUGCUGUGUACCUGACAGUCUAUUUAUGGGUUGGUUUUGAAGUACUUAUAAAUGGCCGUCGAUGUGUUUGUUGUGCAACAUAUUGCUCCUUUUACAUGAUGGUUUCUGAUUUUUGGAAUGAUGUCUAUGUGAUUGUGUCAGAGCCGUCACUACUUUAAUGAAAACACCUGCAUAUCAACAUAUUUGUGGCAUAAUGUGAGCAUUUCACAUUAUAGUUAACUGUUUGCCAGUGCUUACACAUAAAUGCAGUUUCUUUUUUAUUCAGACUUUUCUAUAUCAUAUCCAAUUUUCUUCCAAGUGUGCACAUUAACAUCCCAAUAACCCACUUCCAUAGAUCUUCACCUUUAAAUAGUCCCUCAGAGAGACUGCAAAAAGCAAGCCUACAAAUUUUCCUCCUAAUGAGCAACCAGUCAUGUAACAAAAUGUUGCAGCACAGUAUGUCAUGAGAAUCGUACACAUUAUGCAACAUUAUUAGCCAAGAGAAACAGAACAAAGCACAAAACAGAUCUUUGCAUGUUGGGAAUACAAUUCUGCAGGAGCUGAAGCUUAGCAGCAGCUUAAUUCAGUUAUCCUCAGACUCCAACCAGAGUUAUUUGGUGCAUGGAUAACAUACUUUGGAUAAUUAGAAGACACUCAGCAGGACCAAAGUCUGGUCGGGAAGUGAAUGUUAAUGACUAUCCAAGUGUAUCAUCAGACUAAUAUUGGGGGAAAUUUAUGUUUUGUAGGAUGUUACACCAAAGAAAAUGUAAACACAAGUAAAAAAAAAAGGUAAAAGUUUGAGCGACUGAAAUGUUAAAUUCAUAAAUCAGAUUAUUGAUUAAUUCCAUUGAUAAACACUGGACUUAUUACUUAAUGCAACAGAAAUUCAAUCAUAAAGAAUUGAAUUAUUAUUUAAAUGUUUAAUUUGGAAAAGUAUUAUCUAUACAUGACUUAUGUUGUCCUGUUGGAAUCAGUACAACCAAGCUGACCUGGCAGAAUACUGUGCAACAAAAAGUAAACUUAAAGCUCCAGUGAGUAACUUUUGAUUUGAUUUAUUCGAUUGUUGACAGAGCAGUCAGAGCUUGUUAUGUCCUCUAUGUGCUCAAAUAGUGUAUCCUGAUAAGAAGUCCCAUAGAUUUAAACAGGGCUGUUUUGCAGCUGUUUCUGAUUUCCUUACACUAUUUUCAGAUAUUAAAAACUACAGUACAAGAAAUAUCAAUCAUGUCACUGAUUCUGUCCCUUUUUUGCAUUCAGAUUUCAUGUAAAAGCGCUGAUAUGAAUUUCAAUAACUUAUAUAUAACUUUAACUUAAUAAUAACGUCAAUAACCUCAAUAACUUACAGGAGCUUUAAGGCAAAUGAUACAAAAACAUGGCUUACAUACAUACAUACAUACAUACGUACGUACAUACAUACAUACAUACACACACACACACACACACACCCCCCUGUAACUGUGUUUUUAAGUGUCAUGGUAACCAUUGCCAGCACUGACAAUGAAGACUUUUUUAAAUCUGUUAUCUGCAAUGUCUGCAAAUAGCAAGGCUAAAGUCACCCAAGCAGUAAUUUUAAGCCUUGAGGGCUAAGAGACCCAAGAUAUUGUUAAAUUUAAUGUCAGAGCAAUAUACUUUAGCUGUAGAGCAAUACUCAUUACAUCUAUUCGCCUCCUUGUGAAGUUUAUGAUGCUGAAAUUGAAUCUGGUCCCCUAUAGUGGAACUUUUAGGGAAAUGCUUGUAAUGCAGUUCAAGUGUAAGAAAAAAGAAAGACAAAGUAUAUGUCUUUCCAGGUGUGUGCUGUAUUUAAUACAUAAAUAUUGAAAAGCAGGGAUUAACAUAAAUUGUAGUAAAUGCUUAGUCACACUGAGUGUGCUGGCUUUUUUCUCGAAAGUCUUCCAUCGUUCAUGACAGGCUCUGUAAUAUUUUACUCUUAAGGAAAAAAAAAACCUUUGGAGCAAAUUGCACGAUGCCACCAGGGGGUGCCGAAGACAGCAGAGCUUUCCGGUGUAAUUAAACCCGACGUGCUACAUGUGUCUGUGUGUUUUGCCGCAUCUCAUUAAGGGGAGGUAUGGGCCACUGAGCCGGCUAAGGGGAACGGAUGCGGAGCAUGUGGUGGUGUAGUUACCCCCACCACAGUCGUUGCCGCUCGCCUUUUUCUUUUCCUUUCAGGACUCACGUUGAGGCCCCUGGAGCUGAGGCCCGUCAAAAUGGUUCCACUUGAUGCAAAGGCCCCCAGGAACAAGCUGUCAAAAUGAACACAGAGCACACAAUACAAUAUAUGUGUUUGUAAAUGGAGUGUGGGACAUCAAGAAGAUAAAGAACAAAUGCUUCCACAUGGAGGCUUGUUGUUACAGCAAAUUGAAAUGUAUUGAAAACUAUGAACCAUUUAACAAAAAAGCUCUGAUGAAAAAUGUGAAUGUCGAGCCUCCAUGCAUGCAUGCAUACAUGCACAGACUUCACUCUGUAGAGGUCAAGUGUAGAAGCUGUUGGCUAAUGUAAAAAGUUGUACCCUAAGAAUCAAUCCCCCUGAUUAUUUUCUGUUUCCUGCUGCAUUUCACUGCGGGAGACUCUGUUGUCUCACACACUGCAGGGCCAAAGCAGGCUUUAAUGGUUUUACCCACAAGUGAUGAAAGUAGUCCUCUUUGCACAUAAAUGCACAUCUUCUGAGUGAUAUAAUUGAACAAUUACCUCAGUGUUACAGUUAUGUAAGCCCAUUUGACAUUUCUCUUCAUCGCUUACAUACUUCCUUGUACAUUUUUAUAUCUGUCUUUCAGAGAAAAAAGCCCCAAGGGUCCCCACAGCUUUUAUUUUUCUUAUCCAACAACAAUGUCAGUAAUCUCUCAUAAAAAGACCUUGAGUCUGUCUUCAUCAAUGCUGGAAUAGUUGAUAUCUUGGUGCUGAUUUGACUAAUAUUUUAGAGCCAAACUGCUGUUUGUGUUGUCACAAGUCGGUUGUGGAUAACAGGCCUGUAAAAAUCUCACAAAUCCUUGAAACCGCCCAUCAAAGAUUUAUGCGAAGAGGUUUACCCAGAGGGCAGUUUGUUUUUACUGAACGUCUGAUGGGACUUGAAAGCCUCGUCAGAGUUCUUGAGCAGUUCAGGCCAUGUUAUUGAAAACAUACAUACACUUUAAGCCAAAACACAAGUGGGAAAUUGAAUGUAGGCAGGUCAGUGAGUGGUUUGUGAUGAUGAGACAAUAAAGCGCUUCUGCCUGUGCUUUUAUUUUCUCUCUUAAGUGAAAAGAAUGAAGAAAGCUGAAAAGAGCAAAUAACCCUGUAUGUAGAACAUUCUAAAAAAAGACAACAACAAAGUUAGAAAUAAAAGGAGCAUAACUUCAUCCUAGAAAUGUGGCAGAUUUCACAACUUGUAACAUUAUUGCUGUUAUCACUUCUAUUAAAAUUCACCCACCAGCUCUGUGGCCCUUGAAAGGAUUGCAGGACAGGAUCUGUCUCCACUUUUUACUAUCAGAAAUGAUUGAGUCUUGGCUGCUCCCCAGGCUGCCUUCACAUCUGUGCCUGUUAAUGUCAUUACAUCCCAUCUGACGAGACCAGCCUGGGAUAGAAACAAACACUUUUGUCUCAGUGUCAACAGGCAGAGGUGAAAUACGCCAGACUCCCUGAACAGGAUUGAUUUGAUAUGACACGUGUGAUCAGGAUGUUGCUGAUGUCACUUUUGCUACUAUAAAUAAAUUACUCGUUAUGAGGUUUUGACCAAUCAUAAUCCAAUAUUCCUUGUUAAAAGAACACUAUGUGGGUCAUUCUUGGAGCAGAGGUAAGCAUCAAUAAGAGAUCUACAGCAUUAGAAAACACGGUGCCUGCUUUAAGAAUAACCUGGAUUUGAACCUGCAGACAAGCUCAGGUGUUUUGCAUGCCUUUUCGCUCACCUAGGCUUCCUCCAACACUUCAAAGACAUCAGGUUAACGUUUAUUCACACAUCUGCCCAAGCUGAACUCGGCCUCGCCGAAUCCCAGGGUAAAGCAUAGAUGAAGAGUGGAAAGAGAUUGCUGACCAGUCAUUGAACUCGCAAGACAAAAAGACAAGGCAGCUGAAAAUAUUUGAAUGUCUUGAAACUUUAUUUACUUUAGAUUUUAGAUUUGUCUCAAACUAAGUGAAAUAUGUCAAGACUUUUUAUACAACAUAAAUCUUAAAACAGGAUUUAUAAUACAAAAAUGUUCACUUUCUGCAAAAUUAUGCUUGUUUAUACACUCAGUACUCGGUUAGGGCUCUUUUUGCACCAAUUGCUGCAUCAAUGCAACGUGGCAUGGAGGCGAUCGGUCUGUGGCACUGCAAGGGUGAUAUGAAAGCCCAGGGUACUUUGACGGCAGCCUUCAGCUUGUCAGUAUUGUUGUUUCUGGUGUCUCUUUUCUAGAUGACACCCCAGAGAUCAGGUUAGGACAGUUGGUUGUGCCAAUCAAGCACAGUGAUACCAGGGUCAGCAAACCAGUUUCUGGUCGUUUUGACACUGUGUGUGGACACCAGGUCCUGGUUCGAAGGUAACAUAUUUAUUUAUUUAUUAAUUCAUUUAAAUGCAUAUUAAUGUAUUUAUCUUUUAAAGAACACACCUAACAAAUUAGCUUACUUAAGGGGAGAAUCCUUCAAUGGAAUUUCAAAUCAUAAUAUCCGUCAAGUGAACAUGCGGUCAGGAUUCUACUUUAUGAUGUUAUGAUUGGACUGUGUUUGCACUCAUAUGUUUCUGCUGUCAACUGAAGCCUUCUUAGAAGUCCCAUAACAGCACAGUGAAACUUCAUUCAUUACUGUAUAAUUGAUCUUUCCUCACCCUAACUGUCAUGUUUUUAUCAUACCCAACAGACCCCUGUUCCCCCCCCUUUUGAUUGCGAGCCGUGCGAGAGCUUUGAAAUGCAAAAACCAUGUCCAAGCAGAAAGAAUCAUCAUCAAAAAAUAAUUAAUAAAUAAUAUUGUCCUUUAACACUGGAUGCUUAUUAGCAAAGAACAGUGUAGAUAUGACUGGAGAUCAGUGGAUUCAGACUCCUACAUAAACAACUCCUCAGUGCCAACAUGUGAAACCUUCUAUAUGUGGCAGAGUGGGAGUGAUGGGUGUAAUAAAAUGGUUCACAUUAACUCCCUGGAAAGCUUUUCCUCUCACAGCUUCACCCCUCUCACUGAUUUCCCUCCAUUGCUGGAGCAGACGAACUUCUUAAGUGGUGUAAUAAUGUGAUUAAUUGCCUUCUUGUCAUUGGGCCCACUGAGUUUUACACUGUAAAGAAGUAUAAAUCAGGCGUGUAUUUACAAGCAAUCAAAUCCUCACAAUCUAAAAGGAACAUAUAAAAGAGACCCAGCUGGGUAAAGUAAUUGGUUCUGCUUUAUUAGCUGUGUAUCGUUAGCUAAAGGGAAAAACAUUUGGAUCAGGAAGAUGGGUUGUUUUUGAAGGUUUUUGAAACCCUCGGACUAACAUUGAAUUUAAACCAUUUGACUCAAUCUGGCAAAAAUCAUUGUAUAUGUAACAGUAUACACCAAACAUUACACAGAAUUUUUAAAAUCCCAAUCUCGUUUGAUACCUGGUCUUUAAUACAUACUCCAUGCAUAAUCUCUCUGCUGAGCAAAAAUGUAUAGAUCUGCUUAUGUGCUGAUGAGGUAGUUGGGACGCGUAGUUGUUGUAAACACAGAGCAGUAUAGAAUUGAGCUGAAUAGAUCAGUCCUAUGGUUUCUGACUGUUAGCAGAUGCGAUCGGAUUGUUGUAUCCUUACUUCGAAGGAUGGGGGCCAGUUAAAAAGUUGGGAUUCAAAGUAGGGGUGUCCACAUACAACUUUUCUAUUUCCGAUACGAUACCGAUAUUGUAGUCUUCAAUAUUGGCCGAUGCCGAUAUUGAUCAGAUAAUAGCACAAAAUUAUGCAUGACAAGUUUUGCACUCAGCUACAAUGUCUUUUUCGGACUUUAAUCAAAAUACUGCCCCAAGGCCGACGUCACUUCUACUCCUUGCUACUUUGUCCUUACCUUAGUACACACUGUUUUUGUGAUUAUGUGGGAUCUGCAUGCUGGAUCUGGGUGCUGCUAGAUAGGGGUGCCGGAGCGGAGUCUGGAAUGGACUGCUUGUAUCUGCACUGAUAUUGGAGAUAUUGGAUGCAGGCCGAUAUAAUCCAGUAUUCAUUUUUUUGCUGAUAUCUGGACACCCCUAAUUCAAAGGUUAUAUUAACCUAUAAGGUGAUGUUUCAUUUAAAGCGGAAGUAUUUGUGCUGUUCAAGAAUUCUUCCUGCUGCUGCUUAUUCUGUCUUUUAGCUGACCUGUAAAAUCGUUGGGAAAUGUUUAAAAAAAAAUCCCCUCUCUCUUGUAAGUCUCUCACAUUCUCCAUCCUAAAAAUAAGCACCAAUUAUCAGGGUUUGGGCUGCGGUUGUAAAGAAUGAAUGCUGAUGAAGCCCUGAUGUCUGUAACAGCAUCCAGGUGCUCCUGCAUAUUAAGAGCCGUUAUAGUCACAUAAUUAGGCAGAGACACUAUUGUCUUGAUUGGUGUGCAUCUUGAUUCCAGGUGGCGAAUGGCGAGCUAAUGUGUCUUUACGAGUCGAGGCCAAGCUUAUGGCAGGCAGGGGAAUCAGUGACAAUAUUUCUAAAGCAGGAUACAUCAGAGAUUAUCAAUGAUAGCUUAUUAAAUGAUAUUAUGUGUAAUGAUAUACUUGAUUUCCUUCUCAAUCACAAUCCUGUAUGAACAAUGUAUGCACAGGCAUUACACAGAGACACGGCCGUUAAUGUUUGAACACAUUCAUUAUGUACAAAGGACCUUAGACAGUGUAAGAGGAUAGCCGUUGGAGUCAUGAUAUUAUAAGUGUUAAUAAGACUAAAGCCAGACUUGGACUUUCAAGGUUUUGGGCCCUUUGAUCUGUUCUUAUGCACUAAUGUUUAGUCCAGGUUUUCAGAGACUAUUUCAGGCCUCACCAUAUAUUCCACAUCUUGAUAAUAAAGGCUUCAAAUCCUGAGAAUAAUUUGAUUUCACCCAAUAUGGGCUGAUAAUGACUGAAGGUAGUGAAGAGUCUUUAAGGAGACAAAACUCGGAGUGGUUUUGGGAAGUAAUCAUUGGGGCAAACACUGGUUAGCAUACAUUUGCAGGCUGUAAUCUGAGAAACUUUCACAUUUUGUAUGAUGAGGAAAGCAUAACUGUGAAUAUACUUUUGGUGCAGAAGAUGCAACCUAAUUUGAAAUCCAAAAUUUGAAAUGAGCUAUCCCACUUCUGAAUGGGAAAUGGAAUAGCUGUUGAAGGAAGGAAGCCAUUACUGAUACACUGAAACUCCUGAUAUCAUCUGGGCAUGAUUUCUGCAGCAGUGGUUACAUCUGAGAGUCGUUUUAUUUUAAGGAGGUGCAAUAAGGAAUAUCUCUUUGGUAUGUGUAGAUUCUGAUCUUGUUAAACUUCAAAAAUUGUUCCUGUCCAGUCUUAGUUUUAUUUCACUUUCAGUUGUAAAGAACAAUAAUCCCAUUCAUAAAGUAGAAAUGCUAAAGAGGUUUGGGAUAAACGUUUUGAUGAUAAUGUUGACGUGAAAGAUGUUGGUGUCAAGGAUUAGUAACUCAUGUCGUCCAGGCUAUGAUGGUCUAAAUCAAUGCAUCACUAAAUAGAGUACAUCUUAAAUAUACAUAGUACUGGACCUUUGAAACUUGGAGGUACUUGGAGUCCGUACGAGGUACCUUUUGGUAUUUAUCGCUUGAUUCCAGUAAUAUCAUAUUCAGAGUACAAGGUGGACUGCAGUGAGAUAAAUGAAUUCAGCUUUUCAAUCGGCACUGUCACAGACACUCAGCUCAUCUGUAAUAUCAAGGGCAGACACAAAGGGUAAUAUUAUAAAUUCAGUGAAAUCUUCCUUUCACAGCCCAUCAAUAUUCUGCGGUCACUCUGAGGAAGUGGAUUCGGGCUUAACAAGGAGAUCCAGCAGAUAAAUGAUCAAAAAACAGCACAGCCAUUGUCCUUGAACUAUUAAUGGAGUGCUAAUAGUGCAGAGUGUCAAGAGUGAUUUUAACAAGAGUGUCCUGAGUCAAACUUUUUUUUUAAUCUCUCUCUGUUGCCUUUGGACUUGGAGGAGAUAACUGCCUCCUCUUUCUCUCCCGCUUGAGCUCUCAUCAACGCAUUACCAACUCAGGCACGCCUUUUGCAUAAUCACCAUCCUCUGUGUUUCCUGCUGCAGUCUGGAUAAGGGGACUCAUUAUAGUGGAGAGGGGAGACGGCAAGGGACCGGCGUACUUUGCGUAGGUCACACUGUUUGCUGGGAACUCAGAGAAAAAAAAAAAUCAGGAACUUCUGGUCAAAAGAGAUCUUGGAACAAAAAUCUUACCAUGCACCGAGAACAAUGCUGACAGUUAAAUUGGAAGCAUAUUGUGUGAUGUAUUUCAUGUGUUUGGAAAGCUCAGCGUGUGGCAAAGCUUUUUCUAACAUGCUGUCACUGUUUCUACUAUUGAUUCCCUGUCUUUUCUGUGUCUCGGAGCAUUGUGUUUUAAAGAUGUAUGAAAUUGUGAUCCUUGGGUAUUGAUUCUCAAUGUGUUUUUAAGCUUCACCAUAAUUUUUCAUUCCAUUUUUUUUACCACUCUGCGCUCUUCUCCUUACAGAUAAAACAUCACGAAAUAGGGACGACUACAACAAAAGACGAGAGUGAAGAAUAGGCCAUGGCUGAGGGGAUGAUUGCUUCUCAAAGUGGUAAGCAGAAGACAUUUACUGUCUCCUGGCUGUUUUGUUCCAGAGACCUGUGUGUUCGUUUUGGACGAUUUCACUGCUUUUGCUUCAGUCUUGGUGUCUUUGUUGGAGAGACAUGGACGUAUUGCUUAAAAUGAAAAAGCCCUCUCUGUUCGGUCAGGGGGAGAUGAUUAUGUGACUCACUACCUGCAACCAUUUUGAAGUUGAGUGUCUUGGUCGUAUUCAACCACAUUUGCUCUUUUUAUUCCUUUUGCACAUUUUUCCUCCCUCAUCUGGUAGAUCGAGUGUGUCACACUUACCAGAACAGACUUAUGGAAAUGGAACAUAAAAAUUCCUUUGUUUUUGUCAACUUUAAGUCUUUUAUAUUCACAAAGGAGCAGGUCCCCUUUCAUAAAGCCUGCCAUCUGGCACCUGUAUGUUUUUAAAACAGCACAGAGUGGACAAACUAGUGUUUAGAGAGUUGGGAAAUGACGAAGAAGAGAGUGGUUGUUGAUUCAUGGAAGUUUUGACAUAGAAAAACAUGACAAAUGGAGGGUUAUACCCAUCAUGCAUCACUGUCGGGCAGGUUGAGCAAGGGAGCAUUUCCCCCCUUUAAGGUCUUCAUUUCUACUUACAGUGUUACUAAGCUAUCUGACAAUCAAGGUUAAAACAGUUUUGAAAUUUUUAUUUUGUUUUGGCAUUUUGAUUUCACUUUAGUUUUGAUCGGUUUUUAAGGCUAAUAUGGAUAAUUAGUUGAGUUUUUAAUAGUUUUUGAGUAAGCAUUACUUAUUUGUGCCAUGUGAUACUUGUCCUGUGCCAGACAACCCCACCCCCUCACCCUGAUCCCCAACAAGAAGAGUCCUGUCUGACAUUGUCACCCUGUUUUUCUGUCCAGGAGCAUCCUUUACAUUUCCAAUGAUCCUGUGAACUCCUCACAGCUUCGAAAAUAAUCACCCAUGAGUCAUAAAUCAUAAAUCAUAGAUGAUUAUGGGCUACAAAGUGCAGGAGGUGUAACAUCGGUUCUAACAUCACAAGAGGAGGCUAAUCUGGUGACUCAGUGGAGUUAAUGUAUCAACUUGUGUGGCAAAUAACUGAGUUUAUCAGUAGUCUUACGACAGUUAUUCAGGGGUAUUUAUCAUAUGUUUUAGAAUAAUUUUGAGAAAUUCUAGGCCUGUGCUUCUGGACCAGAGGUCUGGGCCCUUUCACAGAGGGUGCCAGGAAUCUUGAGAGAGUUGCAAGGCCUCUGAUUGUGCAACCAUCUGUAGACAAACCUAAGAAGUUAUUGGUACAUGUAUUUUUCCCAUACUUCCUUUGGUAAGAACAUUAAAAUGGAUAUUUAUUUUCGACUGCAGGGCACUUUUUCUCUUGAGGGUCCUGUCGUGGGUCAGCUCCACUUUGAGUCAAGUAAGGGGGCUUCAAAAAAAAUAAAAAAAAUCUUGGGAAUCACUGAUCUGGAAACACAUAGUGAAUCUUUAACUUUUCAAAUUUUAUUUCAGACAAAAACUAACUGAUAAAUGCAUAAAAGUUACUAUCUUAAUAUGUAUAAUAUAAUGUAGUGGACAGAUGUUUUCAUGACAUCAGGGCUGUAUACCACUCAGAUGAACAGCACAGAUCAGUGUAUCCCCUCAGGCAAGUUUGUUUUUCCAGGCGUACUGAGAGCAGAUCCAUCAUCUCUAAAGCCAAUCCAGUAUUCGCACAACAGAGAGAUUAUCCUGACAAGAGUUUUAAUUUACAAGUCAAACUCCAGUUGACUUCACGAGCCAGAAGCUGAGCUUUUGUCAGAUUUUAGAUUGCAUUUGAGUGUGUGAAUUUGUGCGCGUUUAUUCCACACAUAUUUGUGUUUGUUUACCCAAACUUAAGUGCAUGCAUGACUGUGUAGGCAAGUGUGUCGUCUGCAUCUGUGUUUUGGGGGGGAGAACGAGAUAGAAAAGCAACGGAGGUGAUGUUGUGUGAAGAAUCAGGAAGCUGCAAACAGAAAGUGUCAUUCCCUCAGUAUCACCAUUAAAUCUUAAUCUUCGGGCCCCUCGUGGGAGGAGCCAGCCGAGCAUGGGAUUGUGUUUUGCAUCCAAAUCAAGUCGUAGUGUUCCCUCAGAGAGAGCCGAAUCAAGACCAAGUUUGAUGUGUCUGUUCUUAACUCUGCAUAUGUCUCUGGAUACACCGGCUGAUCAUCCAGCUGCUGUUGUUUGUUCUAAAGUCUUGUUAAGCUCAAUUGCCUCUUAAACUGUAACAUCUCUAAUCAAUUAAAAACAGAGAGAAAAAACUUAACUCCCGAGCAAGUGUAGUUAAGACAUCAACCGCUGUGGAAGUUACAGCAGGUUGCAUCAUGGGGGCUGAGUUUUUCCAGCAGUCAAUAUGCCGACUAAAACCAGAGGUUGCAAUUACACAUUACAGAGUUUCCUUUUAUUCCCCUUGCACUGACUAAUUGACAGCAACAACAUGCUAGCUUUUUGAUCUGUGUCUGCAAUUCUCUCUGAUAAAAAUGAAGCAAAACACUAGUCCCUGAUGCAAACCCCAAACCCC